GUUGCUGUAGGUUCGUGAUCGUGCUACACUCUAUCUCCAAACUCUUGGUGGUGAAGUUGUCAUUGGUAACAAUGAGAAGGAUGCGAAAGACUUCCUAUUUGGAUCUUUUGAUGUGCCACUUGCCAACUUAGAAGCAAGCCUAAGAACCUAUGUAUGUUUAGAAUGAGCAUUAAACUUCUGCAUGUUUCAACUGAAUGCAUACCUUUUGCUUAUGUCUUCAAGAACUUAACAGGAACCUUCGGAGGAGCCUUUUGACAUUUCAUUGGUGUCGAGAGAUAUCAGGUCGCUACCACUUCAAGAGAAGAAGGCCCCUGGAAAGAAGGCACCUGCUGCCGCGGCCUCUGCACCUGUUUCAGCUGUUGAUGCUUAUGAGAAGAUGCUUUCAUCCAUUCCUGAGUUCUCUGGGUUUGGAAGACUCUUCAAGGUUUGCAUAACUUUUAGUUUCUUUUAAUUUUUUGACAAGCACAUAUGCUAAUUUUCUCAAUUUCUGCAGUCCUCUGAACCCGUGGAGCUGACGGAGGCAGAAACUGAAUAUGCUGUUAAUGUGGUUAAGCACAUUUAUGAUAGCUAUGUUGUAUUGCAGUACAAUUGUACAAACACUAUAGAAGAACAACUGCUAGAAAAUGUAAGCAGUUUCAAGUAUUUUUUGUCAAGCUGUAAAUGUUAACUCAAACUGAAGGCUUAGUAAAUGUCUUUGCUUCUUUCAGGUCACUGUUUGCGUUGACUCCUCAGUUGCUGAGGAGUUUUCAGAAAUUUGUUCAAAGCCUCUGGCAAGCUUGCCUUAUAAUUCUACUGGGCAAAUUUUUGUUGCUUUUGAAAAGCCGGAGCGCCUACCUGCUAUUGGAAAAAUGUUUAAUUUGCUGAAGUUUACUGUUAAAGAGGUAAAUGUAAUGGUGCAUGUAUAUAAUCUUCUCCAAUAUCAAACAUUACUCAUGUUAUCCUGUGUUUUCCAGUGAUUGUAGUAUGGUUAGUUCUGUAUCAUAUGAAUUUGGUAUACGUCUGGGAUUUUCUAUUGAAAUCACAUGAAUUAGCUAGUCUGGAAACUCUCUGAGCAAUCUGUAAUGUUUUAGUUUACCACCUUUAAUUCUGAGAAAUUUGAGAAAAUAUUCUAGGAUUCACAUGACUAUUAAGUCUUUUUAAUUUAGAAUGAAAUGAAGGCAUGGGCUUUAAUAAUUAAGCCACUGUAUUUGAAUUGUUCUAUAACUAAGAUACUAGAUACCUUCCCACUUUGUCAGGUUGACACAUUUACAGGGGAAGCUGAUGAGGAUGGUGUGGAUGAUGAAUACCAGUUAGAGGACUUCGAAAUUUUUGCAGCUGAUUAUAUGCUGAGGGUUGCUGUCUCAAACUUCAGAAAUGCCUGGGAAAAUAUGGACCCAGAGAGUGAGCGUGUUGAUGAGUAUGGUCUUGGGGUUAGAGAGAGCUUGGCUGAGGCUGUCAGUGCUGUUAUUAACAUCCUUGGGAUGCAGCCGUGUGAGGUUAGCUUCCAAUUCUCUAAAUUUAUCUCAGAAUAGCAACUGCCAGUUUCCAUUUGCAUCAUUACAUAUUUCUUAGAUCAUCAGUAAUAAAGCUCAAUGCAAGAAUUUAGAAGCACUUGAAAUGGCAUCUUAUUCAUCUACAAUUAUGUCGGACCUUGAUAUCCUCAUGCUUUGUUAUGGGGGUUAUUGUGUGAUAGUUGGCUGGCUAUAAAAUUUGAAUAAUCCGUGUGCUUUAAUUCGGAAUAUCAAGACACUUCACUUGGCAUAGGAUGCUAGACGAGUACAAUGCCAUUGCAGUCCAGUGGGGACUUAAGAUCCCUAGAGCAUCCGGAACUUGGUACAUGAAGGGUUGCUAAUUGCUCCAGUAUCUCUUUCUUUUUCAGGGCACUGAGGUUGUACCGAGAAAUGCAAGAUCCCACACCUGCCUGCUUUCUGGUGUGUUUAUCGGUGAUGUGAAGGUUCUAGUCAGGUUGUCAUUUGGACUCAGUGGGCCCAACGAAGUGGCGAUGAAGCUGGCUGUCAGAUCAGAUGACCCUGAAGUCAGUGACAAGAUUCACGAGAUUGUGGCCAGUGGAUGAAGCACUAGACCCACAUCUUCUGCCAAAACAAUGUAGAACAGUAGAUAGCCUUCACUUAUAGCCGUUUGUGCUAGAAAUAGUGGUAACAUUUCGAUGCCUACAGACUCCUCAUCGCUUCGUGAAUGUCGUGAAUAUUCUCAGAUAGCAUACGAUGUAAUAGGUUCUUUUUUGCUGUACAAAUAACUUCGCAUAUGGUAGUUUGCUACACUGUUGACUCAAGUACAGAUUUCAUGAAACAUCGGGAACAGAAAUGUACCCUUUUGUCGCCGUUUGCUUUUGAUGCGUGCUGAACGGGUAGUUUGCUACUAUUUUGAGUUUUUUUUUUGCGAAAGGCUAUUUUGAGUUUUUAACUCAUGCUGUCUGCUAUUUUAACUCAUGCUGUGAAUGGUGUGCUUGAACUUUGCCUGUUUGGAGGGCCGUUUUAAGGCCGGUGUGAGUUACGUGCGUGGAAUUUUCUUGGACUGACCGACUGAGCACAAAAUUGUUACUAGGAUGGUAGAUAAAACAAGAAAAUACAAUUGAAAAUAAAAAAAAACUCGCUGGUGACAUCCUCGACUGUAUCGGCUCUGGCUCCGACGCUUCUUAAAACUUCCUGACUGCCGGCGAGGCCACGUCUUCCUCCGCACCGUCGCCUUAGCUACUCCCUCCGUUCCAAGCUCUUAUACCAUUGUUUUGAGCUCCAAUUCCAUGCUCUGCUAUCCCUAUUCCUAUAAUAGAACGCCAUGCUCUGCUAUCCCUAUCCCUAUAAUAGAACGAAAUCCGCUCCAUAGAUUCUCAAACCACGCGCUUCCACAUCGUCUCUAAAUUUGAGCCUUUUGACGGAGAUUUAGUAUGAUCUGAACCGUCGGUUCUUUUGCCUUGCCUAUUGUUAUCAUCAAUCUAUUUCGAAACUGAACUGCCUUGCAAGUUGGCGCACGCACACUCGCGUUGCAUAGCGUCUGGAUUAUCCUAUUCUCAAACAAUACUUCCGAGCUUGCUUUGCCGGUUGGUUUGCUGCCGAGCCAUAUCCCUGCGUACAAAGCGUGCUACAGUAACUGAAUCCAUAGGAAUGGGAAUCCUACGUUUUUUCCUCCAUUCCAAAGGAGGCAUUGCUGCUUGGCUCAUUGUGCCUUUCGCCGACUGUUUCUUUCCCAGCACUAUCCUGCAAACCACGCGAGCCUGAUGGAUUGAAAGAGGCACGGAGCUUCAGAUCGGUAACGCGACGUUGACAAGGGAUGAACUGAUGGGGUGGUCAUCAUCAAGGAGACAGUGCAACGACGCAUGCAGGCAUGGAGCCAGUCAGCCAGAGCACCACUGCCCAUGGUUCUGUCUAGGCACAGUUUGAUGAGAGGUGUGGAAGAACAUUCAUGGUUGGGCCCGUUGAUGAUACGCCAUUGGAAUGUUCAGGACUGUAGUUUGAUUGAUCCCGUUGCACUCGACUCCUCCUUCAGCUCUUGGCAAUCUUCUCCUCCCUUGCAAACUCAAUUGAUCAUGGAUUCAUCGGGUGAUGAGAACAUGCGCGGGAAGCAGGUUACAAUUUCCUUGUCAGAGUCUGACUCCCAAAAUAUGCACCAGCAGGCAUAUCACAAGACACAACCUUCCAAACACACUCUCAUGGCUUGAUGCAUCUCACCUCAAUAGAUGCAAGCGGCGAUCAAAGAUCCAUAAUAAGCAGGCUUAGGCCACAUCAUAAUCUGACAAUUUCCAUUCCCAAUCCGCCAAACUGAAUCUGGAUACGCUAUUUACCUCUGCUCAUCCUGGAGAAGGGAGAGGAUGGGCAGGCGGCUGACAAAAGAGGACUACGGGGAGGGGCAAGGUGAGGGGAAUUCGUGACCGGGAUAUCCGAUGCAGCGCCGGCUGCGGGUCUCCGCCUCUCCAGCAAGUCAACGUCGCCGGCGUCGGACGGGAAAGGGCAGCCAUAGCAAUGGGAGAGCGAGCGAGGUUCACCGAAACGAAACGAGGGGCUAUUUUGAAAAACUAUUGGAUCGCAGAGAAUAAUCGCGAUUCAAAAAUAGGGGGUUAAAUGUAAAUAUCUGGAUUGCGGAAAAUAGUUGCGAUCCAAAUUAGGAUUUUAUAUGAAAAUAUUUGGAUCGCGGAGAAUAAUCGCGAUACAUAUAUGCAAAUAAUUGGUUCGCGGAGAGGAGUCGCGAUCCAAAUGAGGGUCUGGUUUGCAAAAUAGUUUUUUGACCGCGGUCCUAUCUCACCGGCGUUCCUCCUCCCCUCCAGCCGCCGCGCGACGAGAAGACGGCAAGCGCUGAGACUUCCACCGCUGCCGCACCUUCUGCAUCCAGUAUCCGUACCCGUUCGGCGCGAGGGUGCUCCAAGCCUCCAAGGUCUUCACCAGCUUCGGCGGAGCGCGCCUGUGACGAGGUGCCCGGAGACACUGACGGGGAGGCCUACGCUCCUGCCGUCGCCAUAGCUCCGCCCCGGAUCCGAACACCGGCGCAAACACGCACCACACAGCGCUUGAACUCUCUCCGUGCUUCCUACAAGGCCCUGCCUCGGCGCCUCGCGUUGGCGGUCGCGCUCGAGUACGAGAGGACGGCGACCGGCGACGACCUGCGGGCAAGCAGCUCGAUCCCUCCCGCCUCUCUGGUCAUUGCAGGACGCAGCAAUAAGAUGCAGCGACUGCGAGAUGCUGUCCGUUUGAACUUUGUGGCAGAGAAUCUGAAAAUGAAUUCGAUAAUCAUCUGGUUCUGAAUUCUGAAGUGUCUUGCUGUUUUCCACCAUGGGUAUCGCCCGAAUUUCAUUACCACAUAAGCAACGAAAUUACAGAUGUUAUCUCGCCAUGAUGAGUAGGAAACUUAACUAAUAACCGAACAUGAGGUAGGUGCAAAGACCUCCACUAGAACUAGAUACUGAGAGUACCAGGUAGCUACUAGAAAAGCAUAGGAACUCUACUGUGUGGAAACAUCACUCCACCAGAAACAAAAGAAAGGAGACUUUGAAGUUUCAGGAGUGCUUCCUCGCACCCAACUCCAACUUUUGUCACCAGGUAUUCACCUUCCAGUUUCUCCAGCACUCGGGCAUCAUCAUCUUCUACUGAAGUAGCACCAUUCCAGUGUCAUUAGGGUUGGCUUCUUGCGGAUAGAAGUGCAGCGCCGUCCCCUUCAUUACUUCAGCUCCCAUCUCUAAACAGGCCUUGUCCUCCGGGGUUUGCAAACCUGCCCAAUAUGAUAAAAAGGAAGAACCCAAACAGAUAAUCUCAGUAGGAGAUCUUAUUAUUUUUUCUUCAAGACAAACUGAAUUUCUAGACUUCCACAAUGCCCAACAAACAGCUGAUAAUCCAACCAUGUGAAGUCUAUUGCACUGUGGCAUAUAGCAGUUUACUCAAACCCAGAACUGAUCGAAAGAAACUGGCCCUGCAGGGAGCUCCUGCAAUGGUACAGUAAUCGCUGCUUAUUCAGGCCAUUCCGAUACCCAUGAUUUGUCACCGUCAUCUGCUUGCUUCCCGCGUCGAGAAGGAAGGUCACAGAACCGCUUGUGCAGGGGUAGAUAUGAUCCACAUGGAUCAGCAAUGGUCAUGUGCAUUGUACAAGCAGCGAGGCAUGAUCGAGAAGGAAGGUAGCAUUUUGGCUGAUGUCGUUAACAAGAGUACAAGACGUUGAAGACUCAUGAACUGAUGGCGACCAAGCUGUUAAGCAAUCUAGUCAAUCUUUUGGAGAUCUCAUCGGCCACUUUGUUAUGCAGUAUGCCUGCUUCUGCAAGUCUCAAUGGAAUUGCGGUGAGGAGCAUGCUAGCAUUUCCGUUGUUUUGGAUUCAGUGAUAAUUGAUUGACAAGGGAAUGAUCCCAGAGACCUGAAGGAUAAAAAAAAAACUCAAAAAAUUGUUCCCUUACCGGGAUGUGAACCUUGGUCGCCUGGAUGAAAGCCAGGUAUCCUAACCGGACUAGACGACAACGGAUUUGUGACCCAUUGGGACAGAUUAACAUUAUAUUAAUAAAUAAAGCGCAGACCUAAGCCAGGCCACCCCCGUCCAUAGCCCCUCCCUGGCUGGCCUGGCGCUCAGCGACUGCCGCUGCAGCUCCUCUUUCCACACCGCCCGCGCAUUCCGUCGAACGCCUCGUCCUCCAGCCUCAAUCUCCAUCCUCAUCUUCCAUCCCAAUCCCCACCCCGUAAACCCUAGCCAUUCUCCCCGCCACUACCACCCCUCCACCAUCCCUCGCGGGAGAUGCGGAAGAGGUAGCCUCCGCCGAUGGCCUGUUGCUUCCUCCGCGCCGCCGCGGCGCCCCGCCUCCACCUCUACCGCACCGCUGCUUCCCAGCAGCUCCCGUCGCCACUAACCGUUCUCAGGAAGGUAAAUGUUACAAUAUACCCCUUCCUCCUCUCAUGGCGUGACGACUUGGGGAUUAGGAAGGGGCGGGGCAUAGUUACGAAAUCGGAAUUGUGCUGUUCGAUUUCUGUGAAGUUCAGGGUUUUUUUAUUGCAGUUUCGAAUAGUCAGUGGUUUUUUAUUUUGUUCAUAGUGUGUUGGAUUGGUCAAGCGUUUUUUCGCUUCAAAAUGGUUGUCAUUCAAAGUUAUAUCAUCACAAUAGGUUCAAGGAUAUCAGGGCUUAAAUUUAAAAUGAUGGUCAUUCAAACUAACUGUUGUUCUUAAAUUUCUAUUUAAUAUCAGGGCGUUUCAGGGCAGUCAGUUCUGCCACUCACAGACUCGAUUGAGAGUUUUCAAGGACCAUCAGUGCAGAAUACUCCACGGAUUCCACUGUAUGAUGACAGCAUACCCUCAGGCAUAUUGGACACAUUGUCGAAUCCGACCGAUGGUGUCACUCGUGCUGAUCCUUCAAAGGGCAGAAUAAUGCUUGUUGAUGGAACCUCAGUGAUGUACAGAUCCUACUACAAGAUAUUGGGUUAGUAUUUUUCUGAUUUCUUCUUCAAUGGACCGUUUUGUUGAUAUGUGUUGUUAGCCUUUUGCUUCCUGUUUCUUAUUAGCAAACAUCUAGAGAGGAAGCACCUUGAUGUCUUCAUUUUAAUAUAUACUUUGAUCAGCAAAUGAUAUACUGGAAUUGAACUUGUUCUUCUGUGGUUAUGUUAGUGUCAUCAUGUCAAAGUUGUGUCAAUGAAACCGCCUUUGUCUAAACCACAUGAGCUUCCUCCUGCAUAAUAUUGAAAUUCACAAAAAAAAAAAAGGCCACCAAAAGCAACUGCUGUACAUAUGCUCAUCUCAUUUUCUAUGCAUUCUUUUUGCAUUUUUUUUUAAUUUCUGGAAUCAGCAAUUCAUCUAUUUUUAUUUCUAUGGGUGUAGCACAACUGCAGCAUGGCCAGUUGGAGCAUGCUGAUGGAAAUGGAGAUUGGGUUUUGACUAUAUUCAAAGCUCUAUCCCUGGUAAGUAGGAUUGUUCCAUGAUCAAACGAACUCUUUCCUAAGAAUCCCUGAUCCAUAGUGAAAACUAUACCCUUAAAUUUCUAUAUAUUUUUACAGCUUUGUUUUCUAAUUCAUUGUCACAAAUAGAGUAAAUGGACUGUGAGCAUCAACCCUGUCCACUCUCUGUAGCAAAACUCUUAUGAUGUUACAGAAUUGUGGAAUAGAUAGGGUGUUUACCAAGUGUGGUAGCCUGGAUCUAGAUGGUCAUUUCCAUAGCAAUUUUGGACGUGCUGGGAAGGCUAAAAGUCAAAGGAAAAUUUGCUGUACAUAGCUGCCUGUUUCAGAGGAUUAAUCUGUUUUGCGGCUUACAGAAGUUCACUAUCAGUUAAUGUUAAUGUAUGUUUUACUUGUGUACUGGUCUGUUGUGGCUGCACAUAUUUUUAGUGUUGAGGUGCCAAACUACAUAUUAACAUUGUACAAUUUCAUAUUUUGCUUUGUAUGCUUUUCAUCUUUGUGAUUCUUUUGAUUAUUUUCUGCAGCUUCUUGACAUGCUGGAGUUCAUUCCAUCUCAUGCUGCGGUAUGUUCAGUUCUAGCAUGGUUUCUACUGCCAUCAAUAUCUGUUUGUUUUUUCAUUCCCUCCCAUCCCUCAUGAUUUUGUUAACCCAUUUGUAGGUCGUGUUUGACCAUGAUGGUAAGCUGUGCCCAGGAUAAUUCUUAUACUGAGUAUACACAUUCUGUUUAAUUUUUUAGUAUUCAUGCCACUUGUUGAUCACUCUCCGCAGCACACACUUGCCACUUUUUUAAUCAAUAAGCAUUGAAUCCUUGUCAUAAUAUGAUGUUUGCAUUGUUCAGCUUAUUGAGCUUAGUCACUGCACUAGACCAAGAUAUUGAUAUGUCGGAAGCUUUACCUUGCUAUCCGAUUUCUCGUUACCAUUCACGAAAGUUGUUUAUUCAAUGUUUUGUCAAAGAUGUUUGAUCAAAUAUGAAAUCAAUAUAUAUGUUUUAUACCUUUUCCUUUUUUGGGUGAGGCGGGAGGGAGGGGGGUGGGGGUCGGUGGUCUUUUAUUUUCAUCUUAAAUUCCUUGUUUGAGCAUCCCUAAAGGUUAGAUUGUGAGAUGGACCUAGUCUCUGCAAAUUUAAAGUGAUGCAUUUCCUUAAACUUCUGAAAGCAACAAAUAAGUUACCAAACUUUUCUUUUCAGGAGUUCCAUAUGGUCAUUAUACUGCCAUGCCAUCCAAAGAAUGUCACAUGGCAAAAGGUAAGGGUGUAAGAUGUCUCGAAUUGAUGGGAUCAUGGGAGAAGGUAUCUGUGGCUGACAAUUAGCAGAUCUUGGACGGAUCCGCGUAUUGUCUUCUUGAUGGCCUGGAGCCCUGACUUAGUGACUUGCACAUAAGCCAUGUUUUGCUAUACUCGAUUCCUUGACCAAGGAAGUAGCAGUUGGAGAGCCAGUAGGAAUGAUAUAGGAAUGUUUGGAUAAAGCAGUUCUGGAAUGUUAUGUAAAGCCAUUGUAGCGCUGCCAACUUUUAGUUUCUACGACUUCUAUUGCGCUUAGUUCUUGAUUCUGAUUCUCUAUCCAAUCGUUCUUUCCUCCACUAAAAAAGCGCUAAGUAGUAUGCUCCAAGUUGGCAGGUUCUUAGAGAUACUUUGCUUAUGUAUUGGAAAGAGAACAUGUCAAAACUUAAGUGUUGAUGUUUGCACAGCCACUUGGCAGAAGAUAUCUUUGCUUUAGGAGGGUCAGGUGCCAAUUGGGUGCUUUUCAGUUGCAGCUGUUUUAUCCUGUUUCCUCUCAUAUUUGAACCCAAGAGACAAUACCAUUCUCUCUUCUUUCCCCUUAGGAAUGACCUUUCGUCAUAUGCUGUACCCUGCUUACAAGAGCAACCGCACCCCAACACCAGACACAGUUGUCCAGGGUAUGCAGUACUUGAAGGCAUCCAUUAAGGCAAUGUCAAUCAAAGUAAUUGAGGUAAAGUAAUAUCAUUUAUGCAUUUGAUUACAACCUGGAUAGCUAUUUACUAUUUAGUAUGUUGGGUAACACGCAGGAGAGUUGCAUCUCUCUCAAAUGAUAUAGCUGUUGAUAUUUGGCUUUGUAAAAUAAUUGAUGCAGGUCCCAGGUGUUGAAGCUGAUGAUGUUAUUGGCACCCUGGCUGUAAACAGUGUGUCGGCUGGUUACAAGGUAACUACCUGCACCAUUGAUCUUCUUCAAUUAUUCUAUCCAUUGUUUAUCAAACAAACAAACAAAAAAACAAACAACCUACACCCAACCACAAAGCACAACAGGCACAUAUGCACAAGGUAUAAUCUCGUGUAUUUUGAUCAUUUUUAUGACUAAUACAUUGUCUUAAAAUGCCCCUCUUUGAAGGUGCGGAUUGUCUCUCCUGAUAAAGACUUCUUCCAAAUUUUGUCACCUUCUUUGCGUUUGCUCAGGAUUGCUCCACGCGGUUCUGGGUCAGUUCAAAUGUUUUGUUACAUUUCAAGUGUAACUGAACGAUUCAAAUAGUUAAAUUUCAUGAUUCGGACAUGCAGAAUGGUUUCAUUUGGGGUUGAAGACUUCGUCAAGAGAUAUGGAGCUCUGAAACCCUCGCAGUUUGUUGAUGUUGUUGCGCUUUCAGGAGACAAGGCUGACAAUAUACCUGGUAGUCCUUUGUUGCUGUUUUGUCCUAUGAUGCAUGCCUCUUCUAGCAAGUGAUAUCCUUUUCCCUUUUUUAUUCCCGUUGACUGAUAAAGAAAGAACUAAGUAUAUGAAUGUAACAUACUUUGGGUUGUUUGGUCUGUUUGCUGCAUGAACCUGGCCUAUUAUCUUUUCUGAUAAUUGUUUCGUGACAAACAAGGAGAUUUCAUUUCUCUUUUGCACGAAGCUAGGCAGCCAAGCACACUGGUGGCUAUAUAGAAAUACUGCCUGCCUAUUACUUCUUCUACUUGUUUACUUAUUGCUUUGUUUGUUCUGUAUUGUGUGAUUGAAUUGUAACUUUAGCUGUUGAAUAAAGACCUUGGCUGACCUAUCAAAUGAGGCUAUAAACCAUAUUAAGUCUACUUACCUUGUAAGUCCAAAUGCAAAUCCUUCUGUGCCCAAAAUUAUCUUCUGACUAUAACUUUUACCAGCGAUUAUUCAUCAUUCUUUGCCGCAAUGCAUCUCUGUGAUCUGAAUUUAUCUUUGCUGGAACCCAUUGACAGUGAGAUGCUUAUGAUGUGACUGGAAACACUUUCUUUUGCAGGAGUUGACGGAAUUGGAGAUGUUAAUGCAGUAAAGCUGAUAACUAAGUUUGGUAUGUUUUUAAUAGAAUUUUGCCCUUGAAAGACUAAUUAGAUCUGGAUUAUUUAAAAAAGAUUUAUAUGCUGUAGCAGAGUUAUUUAUUUAUUUAUUUAUUUUAGCUUGUUAGUGCAAACUGAUUGAUCUAAGUGCACAUGCUAUAAAAAUUGGAUAGAUUUUAGAAUAGCUUGCAUACGCACCACAGUGGAAAGAUUACCAGGGUCCCUUUAGGAAUCCACCUGAGUCUUUUAUAGACUAUUCACCUGUUUAGUCUUGUUUGUCAAGCUUUUUCAUAGGGAGCGUUGGCAUAUCUGUCACCCUGAUUACCUUGAGAGGUUUCAAAGGCACAGCAAUGAUGUUCUUAAUUUUUAUAAUUCUAAAUAGGUUCCUUGGAGAAUCUACUGAAAUCUGUGGAUGAAGUUGAGGAUGAGCGAAUUAAACAGGUAACGUGUACAUGGUAACUCCUCUCCUUUUUCGCAUGUAUAAACGUUCACUUGUGUCUUUGCAAAGAAACUCUAGCAAUGCUGGAUUUCACUUCAUUUGGUUAUAUUAUUCCUUUUUUGUAAUGGAUGUGGUCAGCACCAUGUCUCAAGGAUGGAGUGGUGGAUGUGAGAAGGCAAUGGGAUAGGAUUAUCCUAGUUAGGUUUGUCGUUGGUGAUAUGGUCCUGAACAUAAUUAGUGCGUAUGCCCCCCAAGUAGGCCACGAUGAGAGUGCUAAAAGGUUUUUCUGGGAAGAUUUAGAUAGCCUGGUUAGAACUAUACCUUCUAGCGAGAAGCUUUUCAUAGGAGGAGAUCUUAAUGGGUAUGUAGGUACAACAAGUGCAGGCUUCGAGGCGGUUCAUGGAGGUUUUGGGUAUGUUAGUAGGAAUCAGGUGGGAGAGGAAGUCUUGGACUUUGCAGUAGCUUUUAACUUGAUGAUAGCGAACACUUUCUUUAGGAAGAGAUGGUCCCAUUUAGUGACUUUUAGUAGUAGCCAACACUAUAGCCAGAUUGACUUUAUCCUCACAAGAAGAGAGAAUAAACGGGCAUGCUUCGAUUGCAAGGUGAUACCAAGGGAAUGUGUUGUUUCUCAACAUAAGCUUGUGGUGGCGGACUUUCGUUUUUAGAUGCGCGCAUGCAGGGAUAAACAAGCCAAGAUUGCAAGAACAAAGUGGUGGAAACUGAAAGAGGAGACGUCAGAGGUCUUCAAGGAAAGGGUAAUCAAAGAGAGUCCUUAGAAGGAAGGAGAGAAUGCAGACAACAUGUGGGAGAAGAUGGCAAACUGCAUUCAGAAGGUGGCCUCGGAGGUGCUUGGAGUGACCAAGGAGGGUAGAGGCGUAGAUAAAGAUACUUGCUGGUGUAACGAGGAAGUCCAAAUGACUAUUAAGGAGAAGAAAGAAUGCUAUAGGUGCUUGUUCCAUGACAGGAGUGUGGACAACAUAGAGAACUACAAGGAGGCAAGAAGAUCGCAAAGCGAGCUGUAAGUGUGGCAAAGGGUAGGACAUAUGAGGAUCUUUACCAACGAUUAGUGUCGGUGCGGAAUCUGGCUGACAGGUAAAUAUACGUAGUUUGCCGCGCGUUAAAUCAGAUAUGGCCUAGCACACAAAGCACACAAUGACUCAGGAUUUAUACUCGUUCGGGCAACAGGCCCUACGUCCAGUCAGGGUCAUCGGUCGAUUGUAUUCCUAAGCACAGGUGCUUGAAGUUUGCAGUGGGGGUACAAACGAGUGAGGAGUGGAGAACGGGGUGUUCGAGGUUCGUCGUGCUCUGGUCCGAGUGGAGGAGAGUGACGGGGGCUUGAACAUGCGCUGACUGUUGGAGAAGGUGUUUGAGUGCGUAUGAGCGUCGGAGUGUCUCGAGAGAGCUAGAGAGUCCCUGAUCGAUCGAGAGAGAGAGAGCGUUCCUCUUUAUAGUUUAAGGGGACAACCUUACAAGUCAGGGAGGGAGAGAAAAGGUGCACAGGCGCUGCCUAAUCUUGUCAAUGCCCAUGUCACUGUGCAUUGCGUGCGCAGGGCGUGGUGAGGUACAGUCCUUUGUACGACGGUUGACCUGAGCGUCUUUCCUUAUCCGCUCCACUUGCUCCCGGGCCCAUACCGAGCGGGUGUCCCCGCUCAGUCGUCCCGGUCGGUCCCGACCGUGUCAGUCGGGAGGGAGCGAUGUGCGUCGGUCCGAUUAGAGGCACAUCCCCGGUCGAGGGAACUUGGUCGGAAUCGGACUAUGGUCCCGACCCUGACUAGACCUCCUAGUCGAGGCACCGACCAGGCCUUCUGGUCAAGAGCGGACUAGACCUUUACAUGAUAAUUGAACUUCAAAAUGGAUUUAAAUCGUUAUUCUAGUUAUUUCUUGUGGCCUUGCUGAGUACCGACCUUAAGUGUACUCACCCUUGCUUACUGCUGCUCGGAAGAAGGUGCGUGAAGUUUUCUUAAGGUGAUGCUGAGUUUUAGGCGUACGCAGCCCCCAGUCGAUUGCCCGUGAAGUUUGGAGCUUUCGUUUCCAGGAUUAAGCGUAAAUCUCUGAUAUACUCUCUUGUUCUUUACGUGAUAUUGUUGUUGUUAUUCACUUAUGAUGUCGCUAUAUGUAUGAAUACUUAUAGGUAGCACUUGGUUUUGUUUUAAAAUCGGGUGUGACAGUAUUUUGACAAAUUCUUCAAUGGUGAGAAUGAGAACACAACUUUGCAGUUGGAUGACUCUUUUGAUGACACCAACAGGCACUUUGUACGGAAGAUCCAAGAAUCUGAGGUUAGAGAGGUGUUGAAAAGGAUGAAAAGUGGUAAGACAAUGACCCCAAUUAAGGUGUGGAGAUGCCUUAGGGAUAUAGCCAUAGUAUGGCUGACCAAUUUGUUCAACCAUAUUUUUCGGUCGAAUAAGAUGCCGGAAGAGUGGAGAAGAAGUAUACCGGUACCAAUAUACAAGAAUAAGUUGAUGAACCAUGCUAUGAAGCUAUGGGAGAAAGUUAUCGAGCAUCGUUUGAGAAGGAUAACACGGGUCUUUAUGAAUCAAUUUGGUUUCAUGCUUGGAAGAUCAACCAUGGAAGCUAUUUUCUUAAUAAGACAAGUUAUGGAGGGGUAUAGGGAGAAGAAGAAGGAUCUACACAUGGUUUUCAUUGACUUGGAGAAGGCGUAUGAUAAAAUACCAAGGAAUGUUAUGUGGUGGGUUUUGGACAAACAUAAAGUCCCAACGAAGUACGUUGGACUUAUUAAGAGCAUGUACAACAAUGUUGUAAUUAGAGUCCGAACAAGUGAUGGCGACACAAAUAACUUUUCGAUUAGAAUAUGAUUGCAUCAAGGGUUUGCUUUAAGCCCUUAUCUAUUUGCCUUGGUGAUGGAUGAGGUAACAAGGGACAUUCAAGGGGAUAUCCCUUGGUGUAUGCUCUUCGCGGAUGAUAUAGUGCUAGUUGAUGAAAGUCAAGCAGGAGUAAAUAGGAAACUGGAGUUGUGGCGGGAGAUCCUAGAGUCAAGGUUUUAGACUCAGCAGAACUAAAAUUGAAUAUAUGAGAUGUGACUUUGGCACUACUACACAUGAGGAGGGAGAUGUCGGUUUGGAAGCCAAGUAGUGCCCUGGAAGGAUACAUUUCGAUAUUUGGGAUCAAUGCUAUAACGAGAUGGGGAUAUUGAUGAGGAUGUUAGUCAUAGAAUCAAAGUAGGGUGGAUGAAGUUGCACCAAGCAUCAGGAAUUUUAUAUGACAAGAGGGUACCAUUGAAGCUAAAAGAAGGUAAGUUUUAUAGGAUGGCGAUUAGACCCGCAAUGUUGUAUUGUGAGAAUGUUGGCUUACAAAAAAGACGACAUGUCCAGCAGAUAAGUGUUGCGGAAAUGCGUAUGUUGUGUUGGAUUUGUGGUUAUAUGAGAAGGGAUCGAGUCUGGAAUGAAGAUAUACGUGAUAGGUUAGGGGUAGCACCAAUUGAAGAAAAGCUUAUCCAACACCAGCUAAGAUGAUUUGGACAUGUCCAAUGAAGGCCUCCGGAGGCACCGGUGCGUAGUGGAAUCCCAAGGCGUGACAGUAAUGUGAAGAGAGGCAGAGGAAGACUAAAAUUGACAUGGGAAGAAGCAAUAAAAGGAGAUUUGGAGGGAUAGAAUAUACUUAAAGAUUAGCCCUGGUUAGGAGUGCUUGGAAAACAGCUAUUCAUGUGACCGAAUCCUGAUUUGUAGCUCUUGUUGGUUUCAACUCUAGCCUACCUUUCAACUUGUUUGGAACUGAAAGGCUAUGUUGUUGUUGAUGAUGAUGACGUGGUCAGCACCAUGGUCCUGAAAAAUUAAAUAUAAUUUGUGUUCUUACACUUUAAUUAAUCUGGCAUCUUCUUAAUUAUUGAUACCAUUGUUCUCUUAUCAAAGUAGAACAUAUUUUAGUUUAUGAAAUGAUAUCAUGGAACCAAGUUAACGUGAAAUAUUUUCAGGCUCUGAUAUCCGACUCGGAACAGGCAAUCCUUUGCAAAAGCCUGGUAUUAUUUAUUGGUAUUUCUGUGAAAAAUUGUUGCUUCCUUUCUAAUUGUUAAAAAAUCACCUCUCAACCAAACUCUUCUCACCCAAUUGUAGGCCACAUUACGUUCUGAUCUUCCUCCUUAUAUGGUUCCUUUCAAGACAACUGACCUUGUAUUUCAGAAGCCACAGGUGACUUAAAACUUAGCAUCAUAUCUUUGUAGUAAUUACAGCUAAAAGUGUGCUCGUUUUAUGCUUCUCCCUGUAUAAAUUCUUCUCACCUACUGCUUCAGGACGAUGGAACCAAAUUCAUAAAGCUCCUACGAGCUUUGGAAGCAUAUGCAGAAGGCUCCUCAGCAGACCCGAUCAUCAGAAGAGCAACCUAUCUUUGGAACAAGCUUAAAUCAUGAUGAUGCUGAUGUUUCCAGCAUUGAUUAGAAAGGAAUUUUGCCAAGUAUAAGAGUUAGGAUUAGAAGAUUGGAAGCCCAGUUCGAUUGUGGUUCCAAGAUAUUGAUGCCAUCGACGUUGAACUCUGCGCCCAGCUAUAUCUGAAUUGCAAAAAUCAAGUUGUUGCUGGCGUAGAUAUGCCAAAGCGCAUAAAUCGAAGAUGCAGCAGCUUAAGCAAGCAGCUCAAGUGUUCAUAUCACGAAACUAACUUUAGUUAGCUCUGUAGAUAAGAUGCACAACAUUGCUCGUGUAUCGGCCUUUUGUUUAAGGAGGAAGGCUCACGCAAUCAAAUCUUACCUUUAUAUCCUUUGUAUUUGUAUUUGUACUUCAAAAAGGGUGCAACCGUUAGGGCAAAUCCGCAAAUGCAAGGAAAAAAGAACCGGCUCAACGUUCGACUGUGUGUAGCUGUUUUCGUGAAAUCUAAUAUAUAUACGGUGGUAGCGAGUGGGCUGCAAAAGCCUAUACUGUAUACUGUACUAGUUCCGACACAUACAAACGCUGUAUUGCUGUAGCUACUUGCCGGCGACCAUGGCCAGGCACAGCAAAACACCAAACCAAACAAGCUGCCGUGUCCCGGCGUCAGCUCGCCGCGACACGGCUUCGGCAGGGGAUGUAGCACGAACUGGUCUGCGUCACCUGUUGGCCUUGCGUGCUGCCCGGCACGGCGGCCGUCGUCUGGCAGAACCCCGUUGGCGUCGGCGUCGCCCCCCUGCUCGGCUGCAGCAUGCCCUGCAAAUUCAGACGGCAUCAGUAACGCCCCAUUGUAUCAAACCAAGGCAGCAGACAGAAUUGAUAUUGUAGAACCUGCUGCGGCGGAGAUGGAGUCAGAAUGGUGGGAAGCCGCCGUGCUGCUGCUCUUGCCGAGCCUGGCGUCGUAGUUCGCGUCAGGUCCGUCUUGUACAGCCCGAAGGGGCGCUCCGACUCCGGCCCGCCCUUGAGGUCCUCGUCGUAGAGCGCGAAGAUGUACGUGUCCACCGACUUCCCCGGCGUCCUUGGCGUGCCGGCCUGGGACUUGAGGUGCGCCACGAGGUUGCCGUUGUAGGCCCUGGCGUUGUCCACCGUCGCGCCGGCCUCGUCGGCGUCCCCCUUGUACGGCCACCCGAUCUCGGAGAUGACGAUGUCCACGUCGGUGUACCCCUUGGCGUCCAGCGCGGCGCGGAUGGCGUCCAGCUGCGCGUCCAACAUGUUGGUGUAGGUGAGCCCGAACGCGGCGUCGACGCGGUUGGCGUUGGGCUGGAACAGGCAGAACGCCAGCGUCUCCGGCCGCGUGUCAGAAGCGUAGGCAAAGUAGGGGUACGGGUUGAUCAUGAAGGGCGCGCCGUUCUGGUGGAGGAAAUCCAGCACCGGGUCCAGGCUGCCGGCGAGGUCCGGGUGGAACGCGCCCGACGACGGCGGGUCCGACGCCGACGUGCACGGCCAUGGAGUGCACCGUGGAGAUCUGCUCGUAGUUGCCAACAACUUCACUCGCUCAACAACCGUUCGUCGGGGCAACCGGGCAACCAUGCGUGUAUGCUCUGUUUUUUAGUUAAGGCGUUGAUCGCACGAGUGUGACGAGAGAAGAUACGUGCCGUGGUGGUGAAGCCGGCGGGGAGCGCGGCGAGGAGGUUCUGCAUGGCGGGGAGGAGCUGGGGCGCGAGGGUGGGGUCGCCGGACUUGAGCAGCUCGUUGCCGACGGAGAUGGCGGAGACGGUCACCAUGGUGGGGAUGUUGGCGGCGGCCGGGGAGGACGCGAGGUUCGGCACGUCUCCGUUGGGGAUGCCCAGCAGGAUGGAGAUGUUGGAGCCCGCGAGCGCCGCGAUCAGGUCCGGCUGCGGCUCGUAGUGGUGGAGCUUGCCGAUGGACGUGGACAUGAGCAGGCUGGCCGUCGACGCCGCCGGCGGGAGGUUGUCCGCGAUCGUCCCGUAGUUGAAGCCGAUGAACGACUGCGACGCUGCAAACAGUGAACGGGCGUGCAUGAGAAGACGUACAAGUUACGGUGCACGCACAGUUCAUUUCGUCAGUUCAGCAGUUGCAGAAAAUCAGCUUAAAAACUGGAGUAGUUGCAGAAAACUUAGCCAGGAGGUGCAUAACUGAUGACGAAACGAAUCAGAUUUUAAAGUUUCAGAGAAAAAGUAAAAGUAUCAGUUCUUGGGAUGGAGCCAAAUGGAAGUGAGCAUGAUUUGUGGGGGACACGACGCAUGACGCGUUUGGUCACAUGCAAAUGUGAGCAAGGAGUGCUUAGAUAACAACGAUACGGACACCACGACAUGGUGGAUCAUCUCUGCUUCGGCGCGCGGCCUAAGCAUUGGUGGCUACUGCAACUACUCUUGGGUUUUGUCCAGUAGUCGUCGAUUAUUUGAUCGGAGGAGUUGUUGAUUUCUAUGCAUUAAUGAUUGGGCAAUUGCCUUGCUCCUGCUAGAUUCCCUGACCAACCGGUUUGGUGGACUCAAAGUGUGAGCCUGACACAUGGGUCAAAGUCUCCUUCAUGUCAGUCCACUUUGAGCAUGACCCAUGCCAGAGCCAAUGAACAGUUCAUGUGAAGGAAGAUGCUUAGCAACUAGAGCGUUUGACACCAGUAGCUAAACUUUAGCCCUGUCACAUCGAAUAUUCGGAUACUAAUUAAGAGGAUUAAACAUAAGUUAAUUAUAAAACUAAUUGCAGAACCUCUAGGCUAAAUCGCGAGACGAAUCUAUUAAGCCUAAUUAAUCCAUCAUUAGUGAAUGGUUAUGAAUGGUUACUGUAGCACCAUAUUGUUAAAUUAUGAACUAAUUAGGCUUAAUAGAUUCGUCUCGCGAUUUAGCCUAGAGGUUGCGUAAUUAGUUUUGUAAUUAGUCUAGGUUUAAUACUCCUAAUUAGUGUCCAAACAUUUGAUGUAACGGGGGCUAAAAUUUAACCCCCUCCUCCCAAACACCCAUACUCUUCCUUCCUAACGCAGUACUAAUGCACAGUUGCUGGUCACACAACAGGACAUGCAACUACUCUAUUCUACUGGGCAUAUAUCAAUCAGUUAGAAUCAUGUAUGUUUUUUUUAUGAACUUGUGCCCAACUUGGCGUGGUUUGAUUUUGUGCGGUUCGUCAACGUCUCCUUUGAGAGCAAUUCCAUCAUAAUUCCUUUCUUUAUCCAGGCGUUAAGAACACGACUAUGACACAUGGCGAGGAGAGAGUGAAGCUUCACCUCUCAGCACUGAGCAGUUGUAUUUUUCUUCUUCUUCUUUUUUUUUUAAGGAAAAGGCAUGAGAUUGUGCCUAUUUCAUUGAUAAAGAUGGGUUACAGCCGGCUAGCCGGUUAAAGAAAAGGAAACUGGAAAAGACAAAAAGGUUUCCCGCCGGUGAGACAUCUAUGGUAGGAUCGCCGCUAAGACUUUCGCCCCUGCUGUUAUCCACAUGUUGGCAGAGAGUUUGAUUUUUGCAAAUAGCGAUGUCGUCGGGGAGCCCUGGUGGCGGAAGAUGCGCGAGUUUCUUUCGUUCCAUAUUUCCCACAUGAUAAGUAGGGUGAGGGUUCGUGACGCUUUUCGCGGAACUCCUGUCGUUGAUGUGAUGUUUGUCCACCACUCGAUGGCCGUUGUGCUGUGUUGCCAGUGGUUUGGUUUCAGAUUCUCUUGGGACAGCCAUUGUCCUAUUAGGUUCCAAGUCUGCUUUGUGUAUCUGCAGUCAGCUAAGAGAUGGUGGGCAGUCUCCAUCGUGCAUCUGCACAGUGUGCAUGUUGGGGUGUGGUCCCAACCCCGUUUCGCUAGCCUGUCCGAAGUCCAGACCCUAUUUUGGAGAAUUAGCCAUGCGAAGAUUUUGCAUUUUGCUGGUGCCCAGGUUUGCCAUACUGUUGCUAGGUCGGGCGUCUUCAUGUUGCCGAGGAGUUGGGCCUUAUAUGCUGACGCGGUGGUGUACUGCCCGCUUAGUGCGAAAUUCCAUGUAAUUGCGUCCUCCUGGAUCGGGUUUAGAUUGGAUUGUUGAAUUAGGGGCCAGAGAGCUAUGAAUUCGUUCAAAAGUGUGUUUGUAAGGCCUGAUGUGAGUUGAAGAUCUCUGAUCCAGUUAUUGUUGUCGAGGGCCGCUCUCACUGACUUCUUCUUUCCUUUGGUUUUUGCGUAGAGUUGUGGAGCAAUGUCUUUUGGUCUUCGGCCUGUAACCCACGCAUCUUGCCAGAAAAGGGUCUUGUCGCCAUUGCCGAGUUGUAUCGUCGUGCAUGCAGCGAACAACAGUCUGUCCCGGUCAUCACAUGGAGUUGCUGUUCCGACCCAUGUCUUGUCCGGGGAAAUCCAUUCCUGCCAUAGCCAUCUGAGGCGGAGUGCUCGUGCAAAUUUGUGGAGGUCGAGGAUGCCCACGCCACCAUUCUCUUUCGGUAAAGUUGUCCUUAUCCAGUUGACCUUGCAUUUUCCCCCGGUGAGUUCGUUGUCUCCCGCCCAUAGAAAGCGUUUCCUGAUUUUGUCGAUUUCCUCUAGCACUUCUUUGGGGGUUCUGAGAGCCGUGAGGGUGUAUAUCGGCUGUGAGGAUAGGACGGAUUUGGUGAGGCAUAACCGGCCGGCCUGUGUAAGGUUUCUUCCCUUCCACUUGGAAAGCUUGCUCGCCAUUUUGUCGAUCAGAGGUUGGAAGUCUAUUCGACGAAGCCGUUGAAUCGUUAGAGGAAGGCCCAGGUAUUUUAUCGGGAAGUUCUUUUGCGUCACUGGUAGAUUGCGGAGUACUUCUAGAAUAUUAAUGUGUGAGCAGCUUAUUGGUGUAACACUAGUUUUUUGUAUGUUCGUCUUGAGGCCGGUCGCUUCUCCGAAAUUUUGCAGGAGGUUCUUUAGGUUUGUGACGUCCCUUGUGGUAGGUUUGAUGAAAAUCACCGCGUCGUCGGCAUAGAUUGAUGUUCUCAUUUUUGCCGCUCUGUUAUUUAGUUUUUGGAGCAGUCUCUUAUCCGUGGCGGCCGACAGCAGAUAUUGUAGUGGGUCUAUUGCUAGGAUGAAAAGGAGCGGUGAGAGCGGGUCCCCUUGGCGUAGUCCUCUGCCAUGCUGUAUGUGUUCUAGGGGUAGGCCGUUUAGUGAAAUUCGCGAUGUUGACGUGGACAGGAUAGCGGCAAUCCAGUCCCUCCAUUUUGGUGGGAAACCUCUGUGUUGCAUCAUGGUGAUGAGGUAGUCCCAUCGUACGGAGUCAAAGGCCUUGGAGAUAUCCAGCUUCAUAAGCAGUGUUGGCUGGUUGUGUCUAUGGAAUCGCCGUGUUAGGUUCUGGACAUAGAGGAAGUUAUCAUGGAUGCUUCGUCCUUUGAUAAAAGCGCUUUGGCCCGGUGAGGUCAACUGGUUCAUGAAGGGUGUUAGACGUAGGGCUAAGGUUUUAGUGAUAAUCUUCGCAAUUGCGUGGAUCAGGCUGAUGGGUCUGUAGUCAGCUAUGUUCUCUGCCCCUUCUUUUUUGGGUAUUAGAAUUAUAGUUGCUUUGUUAAGCAGGUUAAGGUCUGCGCAGCGAGAGUUGAAGAAAGACACUAUUGCCGCCAUGAGGUCUCCUUUGAUUGUCUCCCAGCAGGUUGUAAAGAAGAGACCUGUAAAACCGUCUGGGCCGGGCGCCUUGUUUUUUGGCAUCUGUAAGAUGGCCCGUCGGAUUUCAUCUUCGGUGAAUGGGUUAUCGAGCGAAGACAGAUCAACGGACGCGAAGGUUAGGGCCGACCAGUUUAAGUCGAGCGUUCUGUGCGGCGGCUCUCGCAUAAUAUUUUUGAAGUGAUCUUGUACUAUGUGUUGUUUGUCGUGAUGGGUGAAUGCCCAGCCAUUGUCGCUACUCAGUUUUUGGAUGAAGUUUUUUCUCUUUCGACCAUUGGCCUUCAGGUGGAAAAAUCUUGUAUUAGCAUCCCCUUCUUUAAGAUAUGUGACCCUGGCGCAUUGUUUUUUCCUAGCUCGUUCGAUGACUGCCCAUCCCAUGAGACGCUUUUUGAGUUUGUUUCUUAGUAUCGUUUCUUCCGCAGAAAGGGCACGGUUAUCUUGUGCCUCAUCGAGGAGUAGAAUGAUUUCUCGAGCGAGGUACAUCUUCAUUUUCAUGUCGGAGAGCAUGGAUACACUCCAGCGUCUGAGCGCCUGCGAGGUGACGUAAAGCUUAUGGCCCAGUCUGUGAAAAGGCUCCGUGUGAUGAGUCGGUCUGUUCCAAGCCGUGGAGACGAUCUGUUGGAAGUUUGGCAGGCGUACCCAGAAGUUUUUGAAUUUGAAGGUAGCUGGGCGUCCCGGGGUGUCAUGAUUGGUGAUAAGUAGUGGGCAGUGGUCGGAGUGGUCUGAUGAUAGUGCGUGUAGAAGGCAAUUAUCAAAUCGGAGGUCCCAGCUUUGAUUGUAGAAAACUCUGUCUAGGCGGACAAGCGUCGGUGUGGUACGUUCAUUGCUCCAUGUGAAGCGUCGGUUUUGCAGAUGUAGCUCCUUUAAACCGCAGUAAGCGAUGGUGUUUCUGAAUCUAUUCAUAAGACGUCGGUUGAGGUUCGUAUUAUUUUUAUCUCUUGCGCGAUAUAUUAGAUUGAAGUCCCCUAGGAUUAGCCACUUUGUGUCGUCCGGUGGUUUUAACCUCCGCAUGUGUCUUAGGAAACUUUCCUGUUCGGGUCUACGUGUCGGGCCAUAUACCGCUGUCAGCUUGAACGUGGUCAUACAGUGUCGGAUUGUAACUUCCGCCGAUAUGGAAUAACGACCAAUAGAAAUGUUUUGCAUUUGUACCGCCGUAUCAUUCCAUAGUAGGAGAAUCCCUCCUUUGGUGCCUAUCGCCGGCUUAUAUGCAAAAUUGUCUAAUUUGUAGGCUCCUAGGAAGGCGGCCAGGCUGGAGUCGAUAGAUUGUAACUUUGUUUCUUGGAGACAUGCGAUGUGACAUGGUGUCGAUCUCAGUACGUCGUGAACGGGAAGGCAGCGUGCUGCCGCAUUUAGGCCUCUGACGUUCCACGAGAAGAUGUCCACGCUACCGUACGUCAUGUGCCAAAAUUGAUCGCAUGCAGAAGGAAUUAUCGCAGCAGUGGCGCGUUUGGCGGGAAGCUUCUUCAGCGGGUAUGUAGACGAUGCUGCUUGUGGAUGGUGCUGUUGUUAGGCGUGGCCUAGGAACGACGUGGAGUUUAACGGUAGUUUUGAGGUUCGUGGUACAGACGGAUGCCCGAAGGUCGAAGCCAGCAGGGCGAUUAAGCGUAAAAGCCCGAAGGUCGCAGCCAGCAGGGCUAUGCAGUACAUAUGUUGAUACAAACGAUAAAGUGGAUGACAUGUAGGGUUGGUAGUCGCUCGGAGUCGAAGUCGAAGACGCCGCUCUAGAUUGCUGGGUCCCCAUUGAGCUGCUGGAGGUCCGCCACGGCCGUUCCUGCGUGAGUCAGGAGCGCCUCAUCAAGCAUGUCCGCGCCUUCGUCGUCCAAACCAAAAAUGGCUGUCAGUGCGGCCACUAUGGUUUCCGGAAUAGGUCCAUGGAAGCUUGACAGGAAGUCGCGGAGGACUUCGUCAACAGGCGCCGUUUCUUCAGGAGUGAGACCCAGUUUGCGACACAGGUUCCGCUGUGCUUUCUCGGUCACCGAAAUGGAGGGCUUCCGUGCUAGCCGCGCACUCCUUCGCACCGCCUUCAUGUCGAAGGUACGGCGUUGGCGUUGGCGACGCGGUUCCGGGGCCUGGAUCAAUGGUGGAGUCGGAGUACGGAAAAGGGAGGUGAUCUCCAGUAGGUCCAAGUCCUCCUCCCUCUGUCUGGUCGGUGGGCUGGGCUGCCCCAAGUGACCCGGGAGGCCUGAGGCUGCCGGCCCAAUCUGGCGAUCUGCCGCAUUUGCAGAGAAGACUGCGUGGGCCGGCGGCCCGGUCAUUGGUACGGAGAGGAUGUCUUGCGCCGUUGGGCCGUCAGGUGUCGUCAUCUGGGUGGGCGUCGUGGGUCUUCGGCCCGGCGUGGGAGAGCCGUGGACGGUGUCCCCGGGCGGCGUCGGCCCAUCAGAGCCGCACAUGUUCGGGCCCAUCGUGGAGAGUCGACGGCCCGGAAGGGGCAGCCCACGGACCGCUGGCCCAGCAGGCUGCCGCUCCAGGGUCGGGCUGUCUGUUUGGCCCAUCGUGAUCUGCUUGAUGCCGACCGUCAUGGCGUCGAGCGCCCGCUCGACGUCGGCCACCGUCGGCGAUGCCGUCGCCGGGAGGGGCGCCGCCCUUGUCGAUGACGUCGCCGGGAGGAGAGCCGCCCGUAGAGUGUUGAAGACUCGGGGCAGUGGGAUGCUUGCGGACCAGGCCUUUUCCCCCGGGGCAGAGUCGUCGAAGCUCAGGCGGUCGGCGAUCCAGGAGAUCCUGCCGGCGUAGCCGUCGUCGUGGAGGCUCCCUUCCCUGUCUUCCAGAUCAACACGGUUAAAAGGAGAUGUUACCUUGCUGUUGUGCCUCAGCGUGGACAUCUGGGCUUGGAACAGAGCUCGUAGGUUGGAUGCGGGGAGGGUGCUCUGCUCCUGGAUGCCGGUGGUCUGCUGACGUCCUUGGGGCGGCGCGUAGCUGCGGCGAGGUGGUGAUCUGGUACGGUCACGGCGCCCCGCAUCCGCGCAGCCCCAGUAUGCAUCGCCGAAUUUGCGGCCGUGGCCUGGGUGGUUGUAGUCGUCGUCGUCGUUGUCGUCGUCGUCGCCGCGGCGCUUGUCCGGCCAGAUGAAGUCGCCUUUGCAGGAUUGGCGGGUCGGCCGGAGCUUGGGGCGGUCCCUGUCGUUCUGGCGAACGUGGUGUCCCCGGCCGUGUCCCCCCGCAUCCACAUCGGCUUCGCCAGAGGCGCCGCGCCCGCCGACGCCGCCGGCUGCAGAGGCUCCGCUUUUGCCGCGGCGCUGGUCCUCCCGUCUUCGGUCGCCGUGGUCGUCGUGGAUCCGGGGAGCCGGCUCGCGCGGUGGCUUCGGCAGCCUAGCCGGGAAGCACGAUCUGGCGUCGGAUGGGGCUCCAUCCACCAGACCGUACCGCCAUUCGUACCUCCGGCGGAUCGGUGUGAUGUUCUCCGGGGCAUCCACUGCUUGCUGAAGAUUGCGCGCCGCCGCCGUGUAGUCCUCCAGGAGGGGCAUGUGAAUGAAGAUCUCAUAUCUUGCUCCUUGCUGCCAAGACAUUUGAGGGGGCUCGGUCGAUACAGAGAAAGUGGAAGAUUUAGUUACCGGGCUGUGGGCGAACGCCAGCCAAAUCUUCUUGGGGAUCUCGCUCGGGUCGACCGUCCACGCCCAGAGCUCAAUGUGCCUGGAAUCCGCCGGCUGGAUGAGGUCGGUGACGAUGUGCUGCAGUGUGCAUUUGUGGCCGAUGACGCGCUCGACGAUCUCCGGCGUCCAGGCGUGACGCGGGAUGCCGUCGAGGCAGAGCCGCACCCGGUAGAAGAUGCGGAAGCCGAGGGAGUGGGUGAGGCUGCGCCAUGGCCGGAGGCAGAUGUCUAUUCCCCCGCCGGUGAAGCGUCCGCGUCGCCGUGCCUCGGCCGCCUGUGUCGUGCUGUCGAAGUGGAUGAGGUACGGUUCCGGUUGGUGAAGAGUGACACUGACCUCACCGGGACGCAGGCGGAGCUCCCUGCUAAUGAGCCCCGCGAUGUCGCGGGCUCCGGCACCUGACGGUAGGUGAAGCGCCCAAGGGACGAGGGCGCAGGCCUCCCACUCCCGCGCGUCGUGCUCGAGGUGGAAGGAGUCAGAGACGAAGAUCGUCUUGACCUCCGGGCGCGUGUGAGGGUCACCAAUGGCCAUGUCGUUGAUGCUCUUGCGGCUUGGCGGCGGUGGUUGGGCUUGCUUGGGUGUUGUGUGUGUCGCCGGGGAAGCAGGUAGGUGGCUGGCAGGGAGCGUGUGGUGGUGGCGGGUGGGGGUCUUGGUGCUGGAUGUGGGCGAAGCGGCGAUCUUCUCUCGGCAAUUCCGCUCCUUGUGGCCGGUGCGCCUGCAGCGGAAGCAGCGCACCGGGUCGCGGCAGGAUGCGGCGCGGUGGUCGGGUGCGAGGCAGAUGAAGCAGCGUCCCGCCGUCACCAGGUUGAAGUCGAGCAGAGCUUUGGUGGGUGGCCGUCUUGAAUAGCUUCUGUGGUGGCGGUCAUGUCCGUCGAGUCGCCGCGGGUUCUCGGGCGGCGCUUGCUGGCGCGCCCGACGGUGCGUCACCGUCUGCCAUUCCUGAUCCAGCUGGCGCAUACGGAGAUCCGGUGUCAAGACGCGCUUGGUCCGGGGAGUCGUUGACGUCGUGGCGUGGUGAAUGCGCCGUAGAGCCAUCGUGUCGCCGGAGUAACUGCUCCCUCUGCUGGCGUGGUGGCGUCGGGCUUCGUUGUGGCGCUGGACGGGGGGAUAGGUGGGGUAAUUGAAGACUCCCCCCCUGACAGCCUCCGCGUAGGAUCUCCGCCCUCUGCAGCGGGGCUCCGGCAGGAGAUUCGCCAUCGGGAUUUGUAGAUCGGGCGGGGAGGUGUGCGGAUCUGGCGAAUCCGGCACCCAGACAUCGUCGGGGGUGGGCGGACGGCCAGCGCAGGGGGGUGGCGGCGGGGAUGGGGAGAAGAAGUGGUUCAAGGAGGAGCGUACGCGCGGGGAUGUUUUUGGGUGGGGGCACGGUUGCGGGGGGGGGUGAGGUGGGAUGGUGAGCGGCGUAGGAGGAGCAGGGCCGGGGGGGGCGCCGGACGACUCCGGCGAAGGACGGGGUGGCAGCGGGCGGUGGGGCGGCGGUGGGGGGAAGGGGGGUGGGUGGGUGCCAUUUCCGUCCUGUUGUAUUUUUCUUUGAUGUUGGAGGAAUUUCAUUUUCAUGGGGAAGCAAAAGGCAGAGAUCUCAGCAAAUCCGUCCCACCUUCAGAAUAGGGAAAAUUGUACCCUCAAUCGCCAUCGGCUUUACACGCCACUUGGGGAACUAGCAACAAAGUCCGGUAACUAAACUACCCCCACCAAUGAAUGAGUCAGCUACGUAUGUGUAAUGUAAAGUCUAACGUAUGCAGAAUUUUUGUCUCUCCAGAAACGAUAAAGUAAUGUAACAGUUGUACACGCUCGCUCGAGGAACCAAGAAGUAUACUGAAAGUGAAUCCACUCUCCCAAAGGGAACUAAAUUGAGAAGGCUACUGGACUAGUAGAGAAUUCAGAGAAUUAUCUUUUACUCCGAAGGGGGGAAAAGGCAACUGAUAUGAUUCGGUUUAGCCUGUAUGCAUGCCGAUGUUCACCCCUUUAGGAGACAACGCUUGUAGCAUAAACAAUCAAUUGAGCUAACCAAGCAGUAGAAGCAUGGCAAAAUUGGUUACUCGACAAUAAAAUUGCAGAGUGAGGACGAACUCUGAACAAUGAAGAGUACGCUAAGCUGGGGGGAGUAAUGGCACCAUGAACUUACUCGCCGGGUGGAAGAGGAAGACAUGGAGGAGGACCAAGAUCGUAGCAGCAGAAACCAACCACCUCCGGAUCCCCAUGCGACCACUUCCCAUGGCAACCGCCCUACGCCUCUCCAAUGGCUAGUCGGCGAGUAGCGGCGAGGAGGAAGACGAAGGGGCCGAGGAAAGCAGGCAAGGCGCGGGAGGUUGGCGGGGGGCGGGAGACACGCAACGCAAGGGGUCGCGCCGUCGCGGAGGUCUUUCCGCCUACCGCGCGUAAAAGAAGAGACGGAGCGCGCGCGGCAGGACGCCGUGCGUUGUACGCGCAGUAGAAAGAGCCCCCGGUCACCGUCUCUGCCCCCUUUGCGCGCGCGUAUCUGAAAUUCUGAUUCCGCCUGCACGAGCUGCGCCUAGACCUGAUCGCUCUACCGGCCUCCACGUCUGGAAUCUUUUAUAGGUGCUCACUGCUCAGUGCCUCAGUGCUCACCAGGCCGGCCGGGUUGCUUCAGGUGUAAUGCUCCUGAGGCUGACCGGAUCAGAUCAGACCGGUGGCGAGAAAGCAGGGGUGAGACGAGAGGGAGGAAAAUGGAACCGGACGACAGGGAUCGCUUGCAUCGGGAAUCAUGGCAGAGCCAGUGCAUUGCAGCAGCUCUCGAACUUUCGUGUUUGCCGAAUUUAUGGGGGGUUCCGGGAAUCAUUUGCCCGGCCCUGGCCCGGGAGGAUGUGGCUGCGCGCGCCUGCGCUCGGUGCCUGUCCCGGCGGGCGAAAUCAGCAGGCUCGCGAGGUCGUGGUGACGGGGAUUUGAUCUGGUCUCCGUCUCCGAGUCUCGCCGGUCAGCCUCGUCCAAGUUUUGCAAUUAUGUGCCGUGCUAUUCGACCAUAGGCUGGCGUGUCAUAAGUAGGAUUUUGAGUGGAUAUUAUGGGCGAUUGCUGAUCACGGUGUGGCGUCGGGGCGGCCACACGUGUAGUUAUCGCGCCAAUUAUUGACGGAGGCAGGGACAGGAGUGCUUGGAUGAUCAAACCCGCGCGCUGAGGUCAGGCGAAAGGGAAAAGGUUGGAUGCGCCAGGGCAGGGCGAGACAGCAACUGAAAAGCGCGUCGCACCAGACCAGACCAGAGCUCGGACGGCCAGCGCUGCAGCCAUGAUGGAUGGGCACGAGAGCGCCUGUGGAUCAUCGCUGCCCAUGAAGGGCACCAGCCUGCCGUCGGCUCGUCGCCGCGCGUCCCUCCUCUGAUCUUCUCCUCGCGUCCUCGGUGAGUCGCGGCGUCCGUCAGACGCUCCAGUUGGUGACAACGACCUCGCGCGCCUCCGCCGAGCAGGUUUUCCGCCAAAUAGCACCGCAGCGCACCUCAGGGCUCCGGUCGCUGCCGCUGCAGAUUGCAUGUGCCGAUGUGCGUGCGUGCAGCGUACCAAGAUUCUACAGCGCACGCAGGCGUGCGCCCGGCGGUUCUUCCGCCUCCUCAUUCUGCAGUGCAGAGCAUAGUACACUCGGCAAAGUUUGAUGGCAGUUUCAGGACGAAAUAUUGAUGCCUGUGUUUUUUCAAGUGAAGAGCGCGUCACGACCUUUGAGCACAAGGUGCUCGAUGCAUUCAGAAACACCUGUCAACCACACCGUCACGAGUAGUAAGUAGCUCGAGCGUUACUUAAUUUUGGCCUCUAUUUGCAUGAUGGAACUUUUAUCAGCUUUAUCCCCGACGUACACUCCCUUGCAUCCACAAUCUAUUGCGUAGAGCUUCAUUGAUCUGUUUCACCCGACGUUAAGCUCCGUAUACAUGUGCUAGUGUCGGAUUCGAGGAUGACAGAACCAUGGCAGCAUUGCAAGACCGCCCCUAAUCCCAUGCAGCAUGAUGUAAAUCUAGCCUCCUUUCUGGUAACAGUGGAGCUAUUUUUUUCAGUGGAGUGCUACUAAACACCUCCAUAGUAAACAGAUGAAAUGUUCAGCACUUUAGUUUGUACGAAAAUCUGAGGGAAAUUUUGUUUUGCUCGGAAGAUUGAUCUACAAUCCUCAUCUCUUAAUAUCAGGUGAAAAAAUGUUAGCACUGUAGCAAUAAAAGUCCUGCAAUGAACAUUAUUUCUUCAAGGAUCUUACGAGCUCCAGAUGGACGAUAUCAAAGCGUCGAGCACUCCAGCAACAUGCUAACUCCAAACAUUACCCUCCAAACUGCAUGUUUCUUACAGACGAGAUCACGAGCGUUGAUCUCCGAUCCAAGGGUGGUACGCGCCCAACAGCAGGAGGGAGGAUGAUACCGAGCUCCUCUUCUUCCUCCGAGGCUCCAAUCCCUCUUCUUCCCUCCGGCUCCCUUCCACCGUUCUUCCUUCCCGUCUCCGGCAAUUCGAGGAUAGUUUUCGCGUGGGUGGGACCAAGAGAUCAGCCGUCAGGUGAGUCGGGAGGAGCGGUUGCACGGGGAGAGAGGAGAUGAUCACGCGAGCGAAGCUCGCGGAGCAGCUGCGGGAACACCAGAUCCGGUCGGCCCAGUCCUACUCCGCCGCGCUCGCCGUCUUCUCGCCCAACCCCCACAUCGCCUCCAGGUCAGGCUCCCAUCAACCUUGCUGACGUCCGAUUUCCGAUUCGGUGCGCUUGACUGUUAACGUGACGCGUAGGAAGUAGGGAUCGGCCAGAUUCGCGCGGUGUAGACUGCGCCUUAUCUUUAAUCUUGUGCAGACAUGACCUUGUGGAUUUUGUCUGAUCUGUAUGGGCCUUGGUUGCAUAGCUUUUGCCUCUGUUUGUUCCGGAUAGGAGCCAGCAGGAAGGGGCAGGGAUGCACGAGAUGGGUAUGAGACGAGAUGGGUAUGAGUAGUUAGAGGUUUACUUCAAGAAAACAAAUCAAUCUGUGGCCUCAUUGGUGAGACAGAAGAUGUUUACUUACAGGCAUAACAUCUUGCAAAAUGUAACUUUACAAAUAUAAACUGCACCUUUGAAGAACAGAAUUCUUGAGAAGUGUUGGCGUAGAACUUCUUUUUUCCCUGAGUAUUAAUCUUUUUGUCAUGUUAUAAAUUGCUAGCUGGAAGCACGAUACGGGGGUAUAAGUUAAGACAUGGGUUACUGUUUGUGCAAAGAGAAUAGCUUAGCUACUGUGCUUGGUCGGCAUUUGGGUGGAGCAUAUGGGUUUGUUUUUUAGUGCGACUCCGACCAACUUAAACACUGUUAAACCAUGAACAUUUGUCUGAUGGCUUCUUCAGUCGCUGAAGAAAUGAAUUCUUGAACCUAAUAGGAGUUAGUACAAAAUGAAUAUUUGUUUGAGCAAAAAAAAAGGGGAAGAAAAUGGAUGCCAGCAUCACAACAUUAUUAAACUUGUGAGCAGAACUUUUUCAGACUUGCUUUUGCCCAAAUUCUUUUUUUUUAGAUCAAAGGAAGAAUUGUAUUAAAUCAGAGCUGAGUACAUCAUCAUGUCACACACAACACUCUCGAAGCAAAUAAAAUUACAUUUAAGAACAAUCAAGUACUGCUUUUCAUUUUCAUUGUACUCACGCGUCAUGCAACUCCAAAUCUCAAUCUCAAACCUGUAUAAAGAUUCAUAUAGAAGGCCACACAGGCAUACGCUCAGCAAGCAGGCUGAGAACAAGCACCCAAAAAGCGACGACCAACAUCCCUGUAGGCUGGACCGAGCAAAAUCUUCUUCUUCCUUUUUGCGUCUUUCUUCUUCCUCUUUCUGCCACCGAUGAAGAAGAGAGACUGAUCCCAAUCUACCAACCCAAGACUGAUCAACAUCAGCUCAAUGGGCAGAAUUAUUCUCACAAGCCUUUCAUCGUGGUUGGAUCUAACCACGACGAAAUGGAGAAGGGGAUGGAGAAAAUUAUUCCACGACGGCAGCAUCAUCCCCGCCUCGAUAUCGCCAUCCGGAAACCUAAUUGUCCAUGUCGUCAUGCCAAGGAAGUUGCCGACGCCGUAGUUGCCGCCAUCAUCUUCAUUGGAGUUGCCAUGGACAGACAAAAUCCACCCUACCUCCUCACUGUUGCUGGAAAAGAGGAGUCCAAUACCACGAACUGCGGCAUGGAAAAACCUAAACCCUAAAACUGGACUCGAUCUACUAAAACCUAUUAGAGAGAUGGAUCCCCACUCCCUCUAGCCUCCGGCGAGAUGCCGGAGGUGGGAUUGCGGUGGUGGAGGUGGAGGGCCGGCGGUGGGAUUGCGGUGCCGCCUGUGUCACCCUUCGGGACGACGCGGGGGCGAUCCUUUUUUUCUGGUGCUGCGACGUGCUUUUGGCCAGAUUCUUGUUGAGCCAGCUGACAUUGAUUCAGGUAAAUAGGUAUAGCCCCAAGGCUAGUUGAGUUUGAGCCAGCCAACUGCAUUGCCUGACCCUAGCUCCUGAGUCCUGACUUUAGCCUGAUCCAAGCCUGUCAAUCUCAAGUCAAGGGUUCAAUUUGCUCAGAUCUAACUUGUGCUACUUCUUCACUUACAUGCAAAGAUUCAGAAAUUGCCUAGUAUGUUGAUAAUCUUGUAUAGGGUUGGCACUUGGCAUUAAUAAUUCAUAUCAUUUUGAAGUAAAUGUAACAGAAAUUUUCUAAGAUAACAUAGGACCCAUGUCAGAAACUUGAAUCAACAUUUAAAGGGAAUUGUUGUACUCCAGAACUUCUCUGUUCCUGCAACUUGACAGACAGAUUGACACCUUGCUUUUGGGUGCCUUUCCCUUUCCAUCCAUGCAAAUACAUGCAAAAUAUUGACCAACAUGGAUGAGGAAUUAUGGUACUAUAAGCUAUGUCAAGUCUGUUCAUCAUCUGGAUGGAUAAAAGUGGCCUUGAUGCCACGUGAAGUUGUCGUGGUUGAAUGCAAAAACACCAGUCGCAUUUGCAUGGCUCCCAGUGAGCACUCUUAGGGUGAGAUGGAAAGUGGGAGAGUUCCUCACUUCUCCACAUCUAGUCAAUUAACACACUUUGUAUGCUCCCAUGGUAGAUUCUAAUGCUAUUUCUACUGUCAAGAGUGCCGACAGAACUACAGGAGCAUCAUUCUUCAUGCUGACAGAAAGGAAAUGUAACUCAGCACGAAAGUAUGACAUGAAGAAAGACUAAGUAUUCCUGUUAGUAGACAUUUCCUAUACAUACAAACAAAAACCUAAAUGCUCUAGUGAAGUAGUGGCUGGCAAGUACAGAGUCAUCUAAGAAUUAUUAUUAAACUGUAAGAGCAAAGCUAGGGCAAUGUCCCUCUCCCCCAAGUCGAGUUCUUUUAGUAAACAAGUAGUGCUUAAUCGAUUUUUGAUCGUGUAUUUUUAACUUGCCUGAAAAGUUUUGAUAUUUUCAAUUGAACUUUGAAACAAUGGCAUGCCCUGUAUUAUUGGAAAAGAUUUGGCUCACUCUUGGAUAUCUCCAAACAAUGGAAGGAACAAAUUCGUGGCAGUGGGUCUUACAAGUUACAACAAUAUAAUAUAAAACUACAGCAUAAAAUAAUCAAGGUAUACUGGAACAGGUGCCAGGGCUUAAUUCAGUGGAAGUACUAGAUAAAACAUGUGUUCAGCUUCAGAGGAAGGGAGAUUUGCAGGUGGACUGUAGCUGAACAAACAGUAGGGCAUGGUCCUGGACCUCUCCGGCUUAGCGGUUCUGUAGUACCAAGAUACGCGUUUCACCUGAGGAGGCAGGAUGGUAGAAAGGAGUGACCAGGUGAAUCAAUCUAUUGCUUAGUUUUCAAAAUGAUGUGUGCAGCCAACUCCUAAACAUAUCUCUAAACUGAUCGCCUAAUUGAAUUCCAAGCGAACAAACUGAAAUCCAGUCUUAACCGAGACUAACAACUUAAAUAACUAGGUUGUAGCAGCUGCGCCCCACUGAACGGAUGGCACCUUCUUUCUCCCUAGGUACUGGAGCCCCGCAUGACAAUUAUGUUCUUGAUUAUGCACAGAAAGUCAUCUGUCUAUAUCAUGCUAUCCCACCCUUCAUUUCUGAAUUCUGAACAUGUAGGGUGGCAAGGCAGGCAAAUCUACUUCUCAUUCCGGCAUGUCUAGUUUCUCAAUGUGUCAUAAAUAACUUCUGCGCUGAUUUGCACAUUAAUUUGAUACUGUAAAUCCAUGUAGCCACUAGAGUUAGCUUAUUUUAUUGACAACGAAUGUCUUCAUUUUCAUUAAUAAAAGAAUAUCAUCAGCUUCCCCAUCCCGAACCUAAUUGGUUUUGGCUGCUUCUGAAAUAAUAUCUGAACUUACUCAUAUUCAUCAGCCUCCUGAUGCCAGCAGUUUUCUCAUGUGCUAAUGGAAUGUGACAAUCAUGAAAAGGAUUCAUUAUGUGUCAAGCCAUUAUUGCAGCGAAUGUAGUAUAGUUGCAAAUGAGCUAAUGUAUUGCAAACUUCGUAAAUUCCAACUGAUGGAUGGUGUGGCGGCUAUUUAUGUUGCUUAUGUUAAUCCUGUCUGUACCUAAGCUGUGAAGCCAGUGCAAUUGCUCUUGCAUUUAGUCAGCUUUUUAUUAGUUAUAUACUCAAAACUCUUUUUAUCUUUUUGUUUCGCAGGAGGGAUCUCAAGGUUGCUCUCAUCUAUGCGGUUUUGUUUAGUUUUCUCAUGGUGUGCUGCUAUGUUGCCCUUUACUUGAAAUGGUUCAAACUUUCAGCCAUGUUUGUAAUUUUCGGGAUUCUUCUCCCAGUGAGUCUCAAAAUCUCUAGGCAUAGAAGGCUCAAGAGGAAAAGAGAAAGAAGAUUACUGUUACCUCUGUCCAUGUGAAUACGUUGCCACAUCAUGUAACAUUUCAGUAAAGUUGCUCAACUACAGAUAGGAAAUUUCCGGCAGAUUAACUCAAUUCACAGCCCCAGGUUACACUUUCCAGAAUGUUGUAUGUAUCACCUGCUUUGCUGUUCUGCGCAUGCCUACAUAUGUGCCGACACUUGAGUUUUCGCCUUUUUCUUCUUUUUUUAAAAGUUAGCCCUUUGAAAGGUAAUGCCUAUUGUUGGAGUUUGUGACGGCAAAUCUUGGACAAAUCUCGUAGCUUGUUUACCAGUGCAUUUGAUGGUGGCUGCAAUCAUGGACAAUUGUGGCGUCAGGUGGAAUCAGUUCUUGUUCAGUGUACUCGGUGAGCUGCUUUGCCAGUUCUAGCCUCCCAGUGUGUGAAUACUGAUUACUGAAUAUGGUGUCGAAUGCACAAAGGUCAUGCUGGUUUACGUUAUUGUAGAUUUCGUUUUGCAGGACUAAAGCAUAUGAAGUCCCAAAAACAUGAGACUCUGUAUGCUUUGAAAGUCUCCAGUGCGCCUGAUGUCUUCUUCCAGUUUUAUUGAGCGCUGUCGGCCUAACAUCCACUGUUGUGCGUCCCUGCAACCGCAAUCUUUUCCCGACACUAUUUCUGCUGUCUAUCCUGCUUGCCGGUCGCUUCUGUUGUGUGUCUCGACUCUCUCGAGCCCGGAGGACCUGGUAAAGGCAGCAAACCCAGGAUAACAGAUAAUGGUAAAGGCAGCAACCCCAGGAUAACUUAUUACAAUAGCUGCUCAGGCCAGCAAACAGUUCAGCUCAGACGCACUGUUGCUGCUCACGUAGCCGUGCCCGCCGACCGCGAGGAUAAGAGAUCUUUAUCACUGGUUCGGCACAGCGGCACUGACGCUAUCUGCCUUGUAAACCGUAACCCCAAGGACGCGGUCGGAGUGACGUGAUGCAACAUAGGAUUGGGUUAUCCGCAACAGCAACACUCUCGCGGCGACGUUCCACGGCCGGACGAGUCGGUUCCCUUCCCAACCUCUCCUGCCGCUCGAUCACCGACUGGCCGCUCAGCUGCUGGCCGGGGCACGAAGAACCAAGGUGUGUGGCCGUGUGGGUGGCCUUGUGGGCGAACGCGGGCCGCGCGGGAUUCCACCCCGUGCACCAUCAUCCCACGGUCCAGGCGCGGCCGCGGAACGGCAGCCCACGCCCCACAAGGCCACAACCCGGGCUGAGCGCACGAAACCAUUUGUUGGUGACGUCGCCUCCUCAGGCAGGGGCGCAGGGCACUUGGCUGCAAACGCUGGCACGCUGCCGCAUCCGUCUGCGGCCGACGGCAGGAUCGACCAGGGCUGCUGCACCGCACGGCACGCCUGUGCCUGUGGCGCUGUGCGUGCGCCCACCAAGUUGGGGGCUCACGGCCAUCAUCCCCCUGCCCCGCCGCGAAUCUAUCAUGGCUCGCCGGACGUUGAUCUGCACUGCUCGUCCGGCAGCUUUUUGACCCAUCCGCUGUACGCCGCUGAUACCCGAGAGCGCCCUUCCUUCCCCAGUGGCAUAUUCCAUUUCUUACCAGAAGUGUUAAGUGCGUGGUUUUGACACCGCAUACCAGCAAUCGCAUCCCCUGCCGUCCUCGCAGUCGCCGCAGAAGAUAGCACGGGCGCACGGCACCGCACAGCCAUUCGUUCCGCUGCGUGCCCUUAUCAGAGUUGCAGAACCCAGCUAGGCUCGGCUCGCUGGGGACGACGACGAGCACGACCGAAAUAUCUGAGCUACUACUCCUACUUACUCAAUUCCCGCACGUGCACGCAUAGGCCCCGGCUCGGUGGUUGCGUAUUUGACCUGCACCCUCGUGUGCACUACCGCACUCGCCGGCCACGGCCUGGUCCGGCCGGCAUAGAUAGCCUACCACCCAACCCAAGCAUGUACCGGAGCCUACUCAUUGUGUACGCACCACGGGGUUCUCUAGUUUAAGCAGCGGCUUUGCACUUGCACGCUCCAUUCGCCACGCUUUUCCGCCACUACGCCGAGGCAACUUUGGACCCUGCUGCCGGCUGUCGCGGUGUCCAAGUUGGGCAACGCGUCCACUACUACUCUCGCCCUCUGCCCAAGAGGUGGGCCGCAAAGCCUCCGCCUCUCCCAUCAUCUUCUUUUCUCGCAGCGAAAAGGCCUGGCCCCUCGCGCUGCCACAUCCGUUUCAGCGUCGCACGGGCGCAUGAGCCCGCCAAUGUUUUAGUAGGUUGGUUACCAGCAGAUCCCAGAUUCCCAGUUCGUGUUCGUUUCUUCCAUACACUCCACUGUGCCAUUGACCACCAAAUUAGUCGUCUUGGCAUCAUCUGCCCAACGAGGAGCACCACCACCACCAGCCUUUUCACGAUAAAAUUGUUUCUCCCAUCCAGCGCCCCCAAGUCCCCCAACGUACGUGUCCGUCGCUGUCCGUCCGAAGAGCCCCCCUCCCUUCGCGUGUUCGUUCGUCCGAAAGCUACUGCUGCUGGGUACCACGGGCCGGCAUGGUGUAGGAGGAGUAUCUCCCGCGGAUUAGACCAGUCUUAGUGGAGUGUCCUGAGAGAUUUUAUGAAUAUUAAAUUUUAUACCACAUAAGCAGUUUUGUUGACUUGGUAGUUUAAUUAUGAAGAGAGAGAAGAGAGGAGUUUCAUGGAUGAAACUCACUCGGUAUAGUUACCAAGUCCAUGAAACUUGUAUCGAGGAUAUUAUAGUUUCAUCACAUGACACGUAUGAUCAUUAAUUUCAUGCAAAAAUUAAAUGUUGCAGGCUGUUUAUAAAAUUGUGCAAUGAAACUGUACACGGAGAGUGAGAGUUCCAUUCCAUCCAAAAGAUGACAUGACUAUCUUAAUAAUAAUGUGAUGAAACAAUGCUCUAAGACUGACAUGAGCGGAAAAAAAACGAGAGCCCGUUAAAUCGUGCCGCACGAGCGAGUGCCCAAUGGGGACGACGCCUCGGGACCGAGCGAGCCCUUGACAGGUGCCCGCGGCGAAUGAUGGCCCGUCCUUUUGGUGGCGAGCUCGCUCUCGCCGUCGGCGACGCAACAAUUCCGCACGCUUCAGGAGCACUAUCUAGCUGCUAACCCAUCCAUGGACGGCCUUUUCGUCGUCUAAACCUAGCUGGGUCACAUCCUGCGCGGACGAUGCAAUAAACUAAGUAACCGAAUGGCGAGGUCAUCGAGUUGCCCGUUGAUCCUGGCCGCCAUUUGUCUCUCCAGCAGUCGACACAUCUUCGUGCACUCGGGUAUAUAUAUAGUUGCGUUUUUAGGUAAAAGGCUAUAGCCAGGGAGCAAAGUUGGAGAUCGAGUGCUGGCCUCCUUUUUCCUUCCGUCGAUGCGCCCGGCCGGCGUCAUCUUUUCGUUCAUGCACAUACAUUCAUGGUGUCGAGAGACAUCAGGACAUCUUUCCCGGCCUCUGCCGCUGUUCUAUUCGCUUCGUUCCGGCUUUUUUUAUUCUGCCUGUUCAUGUAUAGUUGGAAAGAACAGGGUUGCCGACAUUAAUGUUGUCCAGUAAGAUCAUAUCAGAUCAACGUUAAAUCAGACAUAAUCAGGCACUGUGAUAUAUUGUUUGCACUUUGCUGAAAAGCAGGUCAGACUGAACAGAACAGGCUGAAGAACUCAUCUUCGAGCUAGGGGGACAAGAAAACAGUUCAGUAUUUGCUGAAACCUUUUCCUGAUACUACGAGCUAUAGCUAGACAAUCUCCGACCUUUGUAGCCCUUGCCUUUAUUUUUUUUCCUUGAAUUUUUACGGGAUAGGAGGGAGAUAAGUAUUGUUGCAAGGGCCAAAGGACGACCGCAGGGCACUCAUGGGUGUUUGGUCUUGGUCAUAAGAAAUGAUGCAAAAGGUGUGUAAUCCAUAUCCACGAAACGGCACGGCGUGCCUCCUUUUUCCAGUCAAAGGCUUUCGUUUCGUCGGCCAUCCCUACGCAUGGCACUGUGUGCGACCUGCUUUUCUCGAUGUCCAUGCACAUUUUUUGUGCAAUAGUACAAGCACUGGAAUCAUGCUGCCACAAGUCAUGUAUGGACUAUGGCUGCAUAUAUAACAAGUAAAAGGGGGAGGGAGAUGUGGAAAAGAGAAGGACAACGGUGCAGGCGCGGAAGGGCCGUCACUGUGCCCGGAUCAAACUUUUGGAUCUGCAAUUUAGUAAUGAUCAGAGACCGGAUCAGAGAUUAUUGAUUUCUGUAGAUAUUAGAGUUGUCAUCUUUUGCGGACAAGCAGCCAUGAAUUUGCACAUUUGUGGAGAAAAUGACGAGCCUUGUAGUAAUAAUUGCGUGGAACAGUACGCUUCUAUCAAUCCAGGUAACCAAAGCAAGGACAAAAAGCGCGACAACAAAGUUGUACCAUCCCGCACCUGCUUGGACAGAAUUAGUACAACCAGUACGAUUUCAUCUCAAAAGAAGAAUUGGUACAAUUAACAUGGACCUUGUGGUAGUUGAAUUUAAGGAACCAGCUGCCAUGCGACCUCAGCUAGCUAGCGCGUUUUGCAUUCAUAAUUAUUAGUCGUUGACCGGCUUGCUUUCAUCAGGAUAUGCACCAUGAAUGUGUCGUCGUCAUGCACGCUCAAUGGCAGAAUGGCGGACAUGGAUUUUUCUCAUAUAAAUGUGACCACAUGGUUUGACCAUUUGAAUCGUCCAUCUUGAAAUCAAUGGUGAGAUGAAUCAUGGAUGAGUGAGAGAAUCAUAGGUAGGUGAGAAAUUCAAGGUUGGAUGUAUAUCUUAGGAGAGGAAUGAACGGCUGAAAUAACUCAUGCAGCCACAAGUACACGUGGAAUUUAUUUUACCAGAAGGGCUACCUCCUUCCAAUCUCAUCAUCUCAAGCUCCAUCGACCGAAACCUCGUGGAAACUUUCGUGCACAAGUAUAAAUUCUAAAUAAAAUUUUAAGCGCGUGUGAACAAGAGGAAAAAAUGAACGUAAAGGAUGGAUCAUGAUCAGUUCAGGUCCACGAUCGCCUUCCAAUGGAACAGUCAGCAGUGUCAGAGAACAAAACUGACGGCAGGACGACCCGGCACAGCCCGCACCUGUAGACGGAUGGGGAAAGGCCGCGCCCCCCAAGCUCCCAACGGUUGCCAGCGUCCCCAGCCGCGGCGGAAGAGCAGGCGCCAUCGCUCAAUCACGCGUACGGGAUCAUCAGGCGAUCCAGCAGCAGUGACUAGCGAGCCCGUCAUCAGCCGUGCUGUACCACCAGGACGGAGCCCGCUACGCAACGCGUCCAUUGUGCGUGCAUGCACCCAGAUCAAUCCAAUCCGGAGCGAUCACGCAAGGAAGGCAGGCUCCCCGGUGCAGUGUCCGGUCUUAAUUGUCGACGGAGCUCGGUCACCCGAGAUGAGAUGGGCGCACCGGCCGACCCCACUUCGCCGCGGCGAGAGAGGACAGGGAGGAGGCCCCAGCCCCAAUGAUACGCAGGACCGGUAGCUCUCGGCUCAUGAAUAGCGCGCGAGAGGAGUGUGGUGUGUGGCGGCCCGACCGGCCCCUCGCGUACGGCCGGCCAGCUAAGCCAGAGGCCCCUGCCCCCCUGCCAUGCCUCCGCCCGCCUCCGCGAGAUCUGCGGCCCGAUACCCUGACCUGGCCCUGGAGAGUGGAAAGCGACGUCGCGAGCCGUACGGCAUCCCGUAGUCUGACCUGAUUGAUAUCCGCGGGGCAGGGGGAGACGGUCAGACGGAGGAGGCUGGCGCGUCGCUCUCGCCUCGCGCAUCGCGUCGGGGUCGCCGCCCCUGUUCAUUUCGCUGGCACGGCGUGCGCGCGUCCGGCCGGGCUGGCUGGACCCCGCCCGAUCCCCCCGCGCGGCGGGGAAAGGAAAGAAGAGAUCGAUACGCGCGCGACGCCGGCGUCCGAGCCCCCGACCUCACGUGCGUCACCGGGUGCGUGCGCGCGUGACGGCGACGGCGAGAGCGACACGGAUAUGGGGAGCCAUGCGACCGACGCAUAGCGGCAACAUAAACUACUGCUCCCCACGGCCACCUCCCCGGCCGCAGCUUGCGUCGGCCGAGGAGGCCGCGUCAGCCAUCGUCGUCCAUCCAUCGGUGGGUCACCGCCGUUCCGUUCCAUCCGCCCUGACACCUCUCGGGGUAGAAUCAGUUCGUCAGGUCGCGGCUGGAGCAGUAAUGGUAGGCAACGCUGGCUGGCUGCUACACCAGAGGAUACGCGCAUGGGCGAGGAACUAGCAUGGAAUUUUCCCUCGUGUGCUGCUGACUUCAACCUGAUCAUUGAGCCGAAUCUAAUCGGAACAACUGUACCACACCACGAUACAGUACAGUGUCUGCCUCCUCUGCACCUGCAUGCAUCCGAGCUGUUCACACAAACGCAUUCUAGUUCCGCUGGAUGGGCGGCUGCCGCGUGCAGAGGAGCAGCGAUCGCGUGGAAAAAGUUGUGCGCAUGAGAGAUGACCAUCACGGCCGAUGGGCGAUGGGCUAUGCUGCCACAGACCACAGUACUCGUUCGCAGGAGUUGUAUAUUGUUGACCUGUGCCGGUCAGGGGAUGCCUGAACUAAUCCUGCUAUGCUGCAAGAUCCGCGAACGCUCUGACUGUUAGAAUGUACUGUAAGUGUACAUGUGCUCGGCAUAUGGAAAAUCUGGUUCGCGGGCUUUGCCCCGUUUGCUGACCACGACUGCUUUCGUAGCACGGAUGGUAGGGAGAGGAAGAAAAGUUGAGGUACCACCGUACCAGGAGUCCAGGAUUCCCCUGCAGUUAGUGCUGUGUUGGCAGGGGAAGGACCGCAGGAACGUCUUUUAAUGAAACCCCUUCAAAUUUGGAGACUCCACCCUUCCUUAAAAUGGCCUUUUGGGAUAUUCAAAUUUCAAAAGACAAUGUUGACUUUGCCAAAUGAAAGAUUGGAAAGAAUUUUCACCAUUUCGACUCCUCAAGUCUUAGGGGAUGUUUGGGUUAUGCCAGUACUCGCAUCGGCGAACGAUUUCACCGUCCCAUCUCGCAAUCUCACCAUGAGUUGGCAAGAAAAAGACUGAAUGGCCGGCGCUACUCUUGCCAUGCCAAAAUAUUGAAGUGAAUCUACAAAAGCCCCAAGGAGCUAGUUCAUGGCAUAAGAUCUUUUCCUCCCCGAAAAGACCAUCCAGACAUCAAUCCAAACAAGUCCUUACUAGGCUACUCCUAGUGAGGAUUUCAUGCUCAUAUUAGCAUGCCACAUGGGAAUAUGGGAUUUUUCGGUGACAUGACAUCAAAUUUAAUAAGAGAGAAAAUAAAACCAUGUGAAAAAUGAUACCGGAUUUUGAUAAGUCAUCAUGAACUUAAAUAGCAACAUGAAACCAUACACUGGAGGGAUAGUUUUAAAUAUCAGUUCAUUGUCUUCCUAUUGAUGUUGCUAUCUUGAAAUCGUCUGUAUAAAACCCUCAUUGGAAUUAGCACUGUUUCCCCUUUAAUGCCAAAUAAUCACUAGAGCGGAAAGAGAUAAGAGUAGUCAGCCACCAUAAUUAGAGGAAAACAAAAUAAUACAUAGUCUCGAUUGUAGGUGUCUUACUUAAGAAGAUGCCAUUACUAGAAACAAGCAUUGUAAACCUAACUCCCCAGCUUAUUAUGAGGCGAAGCCAGUGAGGGAUUAUGAUCAUUACAAUCCUGAAAAGACUCUGAAUAAGCCACAAGCAACAAAGGACGUCACAUCGUCUUCUGUUGAAACAGCCACACCGUACCCCGUCGGCUCUAUUCUCCCCACGUAACGUAACCUUGCUAUCUUUCACUUGCAUAUACAGGAUAGGAGUUUUCCCCAUGCCAAAAGCAACAUCCCGGAACAACAAAGUUGGCCCAACGCUACGACCGGGACUGCUCGGGCCGUUUUCAACUGUAGUAGGCACGGCUUGGCAACGCCCGCGCUUUCCGCCAUAACAUGGCCGGAGGCGAUAGAUUUGGAGCUCGUCGUGUUGCAGCUGCCCACGUAAACGAAAGGAGCGAGCAGCAGGUGACACCCUUAUCUGGGGAGCCGAGCGGGACGCGGCCGGCCCCGUACCUGCAUGGAACGUGAAGCCGGGGUCGAGCCAGGUAUGCGCCGGCCGCCGGCUGGGGCUGUGGAUCGAAAAGGAAACGAGGAGACGUACGUCCAGCGAGGGAUAGACGCUUCUCUAACACAUGUGUGACCCGACGCAUCGAUGCGUCGUCGACGUAGCAAGUCGCUAGAUAUGGCACUGCACGGGACAUCUCUUUCGGUUCGGGUGUUGUCUCGUUUCGACCACCAGUUUGGCGCUAUUGUAUGGGGGGGCGGGUGCGCCAGGAGAAGGAGAUGGCGCCAAGGACUCUCUGUUUUGUUUGUACCAGCCAGGGCGACUAGGGAGCAGUGGAGAACCGGGAAACGUAACAGUGCCAGAAGACGUUGAACGCGCGCCUCCUCCAUGGCGUGGAGUCCUCCAUGUUCGGUACAAGAUGAGCUCGAUGUUUCGAUGAAAGGGAAAAGAAGUUGAAAUCGUACGAGCAGAUAUUUUGAAUUUUUGUCUGACUGGAGUACGUGUGGAUAAUCGUCCAUUGUCUCUCAAUUUGUGGAUAACCUGAGACAAUUUACCACAAAAGCUGACACGAGCUGUGAACGAGAUAUGACAAGUAACCGGAUCGGAAGGGAUGAGGCCAUUGGCUAGGGUCUCGCUCGAUCGGUUUCUGACGGUGGAACCGGCGUCAUUUUCAUGCCGUCCGUGCUGAUCCGAUCGAUCCCGCAGCGGAGCGGCCGUGCCAAUCGGAUUGGACGGCAUGCUUCCGAUCAAAGCUUCGUCGUCGUCGCCGAUCUUGUCAGGCGGCGGGGGUAUCGAUCGAUCAGGGCCUGAAAUCAUGGGGGCAGGCGCGGCAUCAUUGCACGUAGCAGCGAGCGAGAGCAAUCGAUGGAUUUGAUGCUGCCCUGCGGGGUUGGGAUCAGUCGGCCUCGCCAGUCGAGUCACGCACCCACUGAUUGGUACGACCGCGUGCCGGCGUGCGCGCGCUACGGCGGAGCGAGAAGCUCGGUUUUGUUCUCAUUACGUGAUCGGAGGGUACGGUUAGCCGGGAUCGCGACCUGAUGGCGCCUGGAAAAAAAAAAGGAGAUUCGUUUUGAUGGAUGGAUGCACCCUGCCAUGUGAUCGCCCAAGUAACCCUUGUUUAAUCUAUCCGUUGUUUACUAUGAACGAGAUUGGAGGCAGCCUGAGAAAAAAAAGUUUAAUUAAUGAAGUUGUAUUUGUAAUAGCCUUGCAAGUGGAUGAAAUUACCGAAGCCCCGACCCGGCGGGCUCCACCGGAGGAGAUUAGAGGCAGCGUGAGAAAAAAAAAAGUUACCGGUGCGGGAUCCAUCCGUCCGGUACUCCGGUCCUUGUGAUGAUGCCACGGCACAAGUACGACCGGGCUGACAUCCCCCACACGUGUGGUCGUUCCGUGGGCCCCGCGGCACGUCGUAUCAUCGGCUUUACACGUGUCGAGGCGCGAGUGGGCUGGACGCCCGCACGGGUGCUUGGUCGCGUCCGGGCCCGUCGCUCGCGCGGAGGUGCACAUCAACAACGCUGCUGCUUUCGGCUUUUGUUCGUAGCUCGCCGGGCUGAUCGAUGAUAAUUUGAAGGAUCGUUUUCGCGCACAAGGGUAAAGGAACAAAAAAGUGGUCGCGGAUCGUGUAGGAUGGUCAUCAGUCCUUGAUUAUCGGAGAUGGAUGGUAAUCGGUCGUCGCGACUGCGUCGGCGCGGUUUCUAGAAUUAAGUCACUGCUUCGGCCAAGCUUGCAUCACAUGCAUGGCCGGGUUACCAUUCAGUUCAGCAGCAAUAAUUAUAUCAUCAAGGGAUUCCGGUAAAAGUUCUACUGCGUGUUUAGAAUUUUGGUUACCUAGUGUUCAUUUUGCUUACCACAACUAACUACUCACUCCGUCCCCAAUUACUAUUCGCUUUGAUUUUUUCAGAUACCUAGCUUUUGCUACGUAUUUGGACAUAAUAUAUAUCUAGAUGUAUAGAAAAAGCUACGUAUCUAGAAAACUUAAAAUGAAUAGUAAUUUGGUAUGUAGGGAGUAGAAUAGUGAUGUUUGUAGUAGAAAACAACUGGAUAUGAAAAUGAAGAUGGCUAUCUAUAAGGUCGGCGUUAAUGGCACUUAAGAUGAAGAGGUUGUAGUAAGCAUAUAUGGGUACUGAAAUUUGAGAACACUUGUUUAGAGUCCUCUACUCUUAGCUUUUUGCAUGAUCCUUAUUCUAUAUGCUAAAAUAAAGUGAACAAGAUGCCUCACAAAAAAAACCUAAUUCUACCCCACAACUCUUGCUUUGUGUAUUUUUAGAACUACAGAUAGCUAGCAAGUUUUCUUUGUCCCGAGCUGUAGCUCCUCAGAACAAGAGCCUUAAUAAUAUAUACUGCAGGCAUUUGUUUUGUUGUCAUGGUUACCGUUGCUGCUUGCUGGAGAAUGUUGGUAGGAGAGACUAAAGGCAAUCUACAUAUUGUGAAUAUAAAAGUUAUAUAUCAACACUAAUACGCUUUGCCAAAUUCUUCUCUGAAAAUCUAUUUAAUGGUAUUGAGGAUUUUUUUUUACAAAUUUUAUUUGCGUCCCAUGCUUGACUUUUGUCAGUCUCAGCCUGUGCAACAAAUGCUAUUUUGAAACUCUGUCAAUCCUCAAAGGCACACCACCACACCAUUAUUAGAUGGGACCACCGCAACAGCCACUGAAUUAUGUACAUCAUUUAAAAAAGUAUCAGUAAACAUCACCCUAAUCAUCUACCCAUGGCACCAAAUUAACAAUGAUGCUGGCCUAUCUGGAAAUCUGGAUCCAGACCCCUCCUUUUGAUGAUUUCAAUUCCAUGCUCCCUCACGCCAGGGGCCAUCUCCGCCAUUCAUCCACCGAAAAGACUAUCAAUGCCUGCAUGAACAUAACCAAUCAAUCAACUCCAGAGCCACUCGAUUUCGUUAUUGAGCUGGAAUCAACAGAAAGAUGGUGAUAUUUAAUUCGAAUACUAUUAGUAUUGAACAUAUUCCAAAAGCACGACUGCUCAAGUCCCUGACAGAGCAGCAGCUUAUAAUAUUCAUGUUCCACAAUACAUCUAUCUAUACUGUUAUGCCUCUCACUGAUGCGGCCUGCAGGAAUCUUUUUGGUGAAGGUGCAUUAUAUUUGCUUAAUUAGUCUUACUUUGCUAAAUGUGGUUUACUAUUUCCAUUCCCUAGAAUGCGUUCAAGUAAACUUUUGAAACCGGCUAUUACGGAGUAUAUAUCUAUGAACAUAUCUGAAAUAAAAAAAAUUCAUUAUCGGUAUACUUGACACUUAAAGUAAUUCUACAAUUUAUAUUCCUGUAUACAGUUACAUAGUGAAAAAAAAGAAUGGAAUAGUUUUUUUGGCGGUUAGAGUGGAGACAGUUUUUCUUACGGUUCAUGCAUGAUGGUACAGCUAAUCUGACAAGGUCUCAUAAAAUCUAGUUGCACGUAAACUAUUUUUAUAUGUCAGAUGAUACAGACAUUCUAUAGGGUUUAGAUUGAUAAAUCCAGAGACCUGCCAGGAGAUGUGAUAUAAACCCUUCCUCGAUAAAUGUAUCGCCCAACCACCUUAGGGCUUUGGGUUUUUCCUCGAUACUGAACACACUAUCAAGUAGCAGGAAUUAGAUUGAUCUGGCGAUACUGUUCUGACCGGGUGGAUCAUUCCUUUUGCAGCCAUCCAUGCAUACAGUACAAGUUGUAUGCAAUGAUAAAUAUAGGUUGUUCAUUAAUCAGUACUGUAUGUUUCUGUAUAUAUCUAAAUUAAACCAGUACGGAGUAUAGGCCUUGAUUCCCAAAAUGAAUAGGAUAGUUUUGUCCUUUUAUUAGACUUGUGCACAGGAAUUCUGCCGGCGCUAGGCGUACCCAUAUGAAGGUGGAGAAACAAUUUUUAUGGGAUGAGUAGAAAUUAUUUUCCAUUCACUUAACUGUGCAUAUCUCUUUUACAUUAGAUGAAAAUGUUUUUAUUUUAUUUCUCUAGCAACUUAGAAUAUCAGGGCACACAUUCAGACACACCAUGAAAAUGAGUUCGGGAUAUUUACUAUUCCUUUAUAUAAAAAUGAGUUGAACUUUCCUAUAUGGCCGAAAAAUGCAAAACCACAUGCACAUGUCCCUCGCACCUCCGGCAUGGUACCCUCCUACCUCACAAGUCUUCUUCUAUACCCAUAAUGUUUGUGCUACCGAAUCCACCCUCCUUGUCCUUGCUUCUAAUACCAUGCUAACUUCUAUAUUUUGUUGUCCACCCCCUCCCCUCGGCAAUGCAAUUCGCCAUCCCGCUAGCCGCCGGUAGUGUUCCCGCAUCUUCAUCCUCCCUUCAAGAUCGGGUUUUGCUAGAGGAUCCUUCACAACCUUAAACUCUACUAAGCCCUCCUCCUAGCUAGAAGAUGGUCGAUCGGGCACUAGAAUCGUGUGCUCAUACCAUUCAACUGAACAAAUCCGUGAUUUCAGUCGACGCAGGCUCGGGGAAGCAGGAGAAAUUAAACAUUGGAGAUGCAUAUGCACCGACCCAACUCCCUGCGCGCCGCACCAAAGAAAGAAAAAAUUUCUGGUUAAAGAGCUCCCACAACCACCUCUUCCCUGUCAACAGAUCUCAAAAACUUAUAUAAGAGCACCACAGAGCCGAGAGGGGGCGAAGUGGGCGCCUAGCUUCCUACCAAUUUUUUCCUUGACGCGAAGCUUGCACUUGUAGAGAGAGAAAUCCAGAGCCAAAAGCGCUUCUUUAAUUUAGCUCUCGCCCCCUCUCCUUCCCACUCUUGCUUUCUCUCUCUAACCCAUCCCCUUCUCUCUCUCUCUCUCUCUCCCUCCACACGCACACACAAAAACCAACAAAGCGGGCGAGGUGAUCAGGCAGGGCAGGGCAAGCGGCAGGAAAUAAAUUUCAGCAAAGCUAGAGACCUCAGAUCAGUAGGAACUUGUGGGUGCCAUGAUGGCCUCCAUAACCAGCGAGCUCCUCUUCUUCCUCCCCUUCAUCCUGCUGGCCCUCCUCACCUUCUACACCACCACCGUCGCCAAAUGCCACGGCGCCCACCGGUGGCGGCCGACGAAGAAGAAGCGGCCGAACCUGCCCCCCGGCGCCCCCGGCUGGCCCUUGGUCGGCGAGACCUUCGGCUACCUCCGCCCCCACCCGGCCACCUCCGUCGGCCGCUUCAUGGAGCAGCACGUCGCACGGUCCGUCGCCGCCGCCGCCGGUGCACACACCAUCAAUUAAGCUCACACGCACGACGCAGUCGUAGCUUAUUGGCCGUCGCCAUGCGUGUGCAUGCAGGUACGGGAAGAUAUACCGGUCGAGCCUGUUCGGGGAGCGGACGGUGGUGUCGGCGGACGCGGGGCUGAACCGCUACAUCCUGCAGAACGAGGGGCGUCUGUUCGAGUGCAGCUACCCGCGCAGCAUCGGCGGCAUCCUGGGCAAGUGGUCCAUGCUGGUGCUCGUGGGGGACGCGCACCGGGAGAUGCGCGCCAUCUCGCUCAACUUCCUCAGCUCCGUCCGCCUCCGCGCCGUGCUGCUCCCGGAGGUCGAGCGGCACACACUGCUGGUCCUCCGGUCAUGGCCGCCCGCAGACGGCGCCUUCUCCGCCCAGCACGAGGCCAAGAAGGUAUAGCAUCUGAUGACUCCCCGGAGCUACCAGUGAUGAUUAAUCUAUCUAAUAAUGCUUUGGCUCCACGCAUGGUGCCAUACUACCGAUCCAUGCAAGCUAAGCUGCUAAGCAAGGAUCGCCGCUAGCUAACAACCCGCGUGCGGAUGACGAGUGCAGUUCACGUUUAACCUGAUGGCGAAGAACAUAAUGAGCAUGGACCCCGGCGAGGAGGAGACGGAGCGGCUGCGGCUGGAGUACAUCACCUUCAUGAAGGGCGUCGUGUCCGCGCCGCUCAACUUCCCGGGCACGGCCUACUGGAAGGCGCUCAAGGUGGGUGUUACCCGUCUCCCUCGCUCUCUAGCUCUGAGUGAUCCCUGUCUCUCUCUCUCCCGGCCCCCGUGCGCACUCGCUGUGCCCACGGAUUUUAUUUGUUGUUUUGUUUCCAAAAAUAGGCGGCAACCAACGUUUCAUCAGACGAUGCUACACGCAACAACCGCUACGGCGAUCUGUUUUCUAUCUGAAAUAUAUGAUGCACACGAGCGGGAGCUACAGGGAGAUAGACAAAUAUAUAUAUAUAUAUAUAUAUAUGUAUAUAUACAUAUAUGUUACCUAGCCUAGCCUGUCAACGUUUUGUUUGGUACUUCCUUCUCAGGAAAACAAAAAUACGAGAGGUAGUAGAGAGAGAUAGGUUGCUAAGUUUUGUUUGGCGCCGCAUGGUCCAUCAAUAUAUGUAGCUAUAUAUAUAUAUAUUAGAAGAGGGCCGGAUCGAAUUGCUAUAUACUACGUGACACGAGAGCAGUGUGGGCUUCAGAUUUAUUCGUGGAUGGUCCAAGGAUCGCUGUGUUGUUAUGCACACGUCCUAAUAAACACGUCCAAUCAGAGAGACCAGUGGAUCAUCUCUUUCCUGCUACAGGCAGGUACUUGGAUAUAUACACAUCGUCUCAUGCGUUCUUUUCUGUACAACGGAUUUUAUGCAUCCACAAAAUGGGUAAAAGAAAACAGUUUAGAAACAGUAGUGGUAGACAGUAAUUGCUACUCCCUCCGUCCCAAAUUAUACGCUUGUUUUGGUUUUUCAAAAUUUAUAGAUUUUAUAAUGUAUCUAGAUAUACGCUAUGUUUAAGUACAUAGUAAAAGCAAUGUGCUGAAAAAGUCAAAACUACAUAUAAUUUGGACCGAAGUGAGUACUUGCGAGACAAAGCCUUUUCAGGUUUAUCUUGUAUCAGCUUUUCUACUAAACUACUGCAUAGUUGAAAGCUAGAUUUAGUAGAAUAGAGGCUUGCUAUAUUUGCAGCUUAUUUUCUUUAACUUCCCUUGCUACAUCAUACUUUCUCCCCACAUCACUCAUGGCCCCAUAAAAAUGCUGCCCACUUUUCACUGCCUGUGAGGUCACCCUCAAACGAUCUUUAGUGAUUGCUCCCAGCUGCAGCAUGCAUGCUUGCUUUAUUCACAGGAUCUUUGCAUCAUACAAUUGCAUGUGGGAAUUUCUACUCUUUUUUUAGGGAGGUAGACUAUUAAGAAAAAAAAAUCUAAUGAUCAAUCUCCAUAGCUUCACAUGAUUAUGUGUUGGAAGAAUCCAUCAUUUAUCAUGAUUCAACUGCUGACCAACUCUUGACACGCUAGAGCCGCAUUCAUUUUUUGUUAAGCAAGUGAUUAGAGACUUCAUAAUUUGCACUUAGCAGUUAAUGAAAUAGCGGCAGGCUGUUUUGUUAGCUGAAGUCAAUCAUGCCCAUGCAUCCUCCAUACCUGAAAAAGCAAAACUUUCUCAACCUCUUUUACUGAUUAUAAAUCGAUGAACACGAGAGAAAGAAAAUAUGUGCUACUGAACCCUCUCUAUCUAUAUUUGGCGGUAGUUACGUGUAUUUUUUACUUCCAAAUGAAAGGACACAAAUUUUCUUCAAAACAGACAGCUAUGAGAAGACAUUGCACUAGACCAAUAGGCAGUUAGGCGAACCCUAAAUGAUAGUACAGCUGACGUCCAAUAUUUUCUUGCAAAUUAGAGGGACUUUGCAAUAAAAAAAAUGUUCGCUUUCAUUGAUCUAAAAAUCACAUCAUGCAAUUGUCGUGUUUUUUUUUGUGUGUAGUCACGCGCGUCCAUACUUGGAGUAAUAGAGAGGAAAAUGGAGGAUAGGCUUGAGAAAAUGAGCAAGGAGAACUCAAGUGUAGAGGAAGAUGAUCUUCUUGGAUGGGCGCUGAAGCAAUCCAAUCUCUCGAAGGAACAGAUCCUGGACCUCUUGCUGAGCCUGCUCUUCGCCGGGCACGAGACGUCGUCAAUGGCACUAGCCCUCGCCAUCUUCUUCCUUGAAGGAUGCCCUAAGGCUGUCCAAGAACUCCGGGUACAAAUUCAAAGCCUACUAUUAUACAAUAUACAUCCACCUAGCUCUCACUGAUCAUUUUUCAAACUUUCCACAGUAAACUAGAUGUUUGGUCAAAGAAAAUACUAUAUAUAAUGGAAUUAUAUAUAUUGUUACACUGACAUACGAGUUGCAGGAAGAGCAUCUCGAGAUUGCAAGGAGACAAAGGCUACGAGGGGCGUCCAAAUUGAGCUGGGAAGACUACAAGGAGAUGGUUUUCACGCAAUGUGUAAGGGCCCCUUGUUCUGAUCGUUCUUUCCAUCGCAAUGCUAGUGCGAGAUCGCUGUACGCUCUGCUCCCUGGCCUGCUUCAGUCCAACUCGUGCCAGCACAAACCGUCUCGUCUAGUUGCGUCGUACAGGAUAGCAACUUCCCGUACGAACGGAGACCGAAGGCGCGUCAGAAUAAUUGGCUGGCCAAUUUUGGAGUGCUUGUCGUCCGCUUGCUCUCCCAACAGAGUUUCUUCUUCUUCUUCUUUAUUUUGUUUUGGAAGCUUUUAGAGGGUGAUGCCUGGCAUUUUGCAACAGUCGAGAUGCGUUGAGAAGUACACAUUGUUCUUGCAUAGCUAGCAUACAACAAGAAGGUAUCUGUGUUGUAUCUCGCUGUUCAAAUGGGACAAGUUGAACUCGUAUUUCAGACAUCACUCAGCCAAUUAUCAACUGAUCAGGGGGAUAAAAAACUGGUCAGGUCUAAAUAAGACAGAACCCCAAAGAUGCUGAAAGCUUGUCGCUAACCCUGAAACACAGUAGUAGAUGUCAAAUGCCUUGUCAGAUGGCUGCUAGAAGCACUUCAAACCCGUAGAAAAUGGUAGGUGUGUUUUCGUUUAACAGUUUCCUUUUUGUUUCUUGCAGGUUAUAAAUGAGACAUUGAGACUUGGCAACGUUGUCAGGUUCCUGCACCGGAAGGUCAUCCGAGAUGUGCAUUACAAUGGUAGGUUUAACCCUAUAUCCUAAGCUCGAAAUUCUGAAUUCGACCACACACGUGCAGCAAGAACAUGAUGUACUGAACAUUUCUCUGCUUCCAUAUUGUCUCUGCCAAAAUGAAGGGUACGACAUACCGAGGGGAUGGAAAAUUCUUCCGGUACUGGCGGCGGUACAUCUGGAUUCGUCGUUGUACGAGGACCCCAAUCAGUUCAACCCUUGGAGAUGGAAGGUCAGUGGCUCCCCCUGCAAUUCUGCAAACUAAGUUUCAGUCUACACAAAUUAACUGAAACCAAUUAGUAGAUGUCACAUGAACACCGAUCACCAAUCCAUCACGGAAACAAAAAUAUCUGAGCAUUUGGAUGCAGCCUCCGGCCGUAUGCAGGCCAGUGAAUCCGAUCGUACGCUAACCUUCACGUCGUGCGCUUUUACUAGAAUCUGAAAAGGGGAGCAUGAGAUAAAUGUGUGCCAACUCUGAACACUGAAGAAUAUCCAGCGAAAACACGACACCUAGGGGGUGUUUGUUUCCUCUGACUUAUUUUUAACACCCAUCACAUCAAAUGUUUAGAUACUAAUUAGGAGUAUUAAACGUAGACUAUUUACAAAACCCAUUACAUAAGUGGAGGCUAAAUAGCAAGACGAAUCUAUUAAGCCUAAUUAGUCCAUGAUUUGACAAUGUGUUGCUACAGUAAAUAUUUGCUAAUAAUAGAUUAAUUAAGCUUAAUAGAUUCGUCUCGCCGUUUAGCCUCUGCUUAUGUAAUGGGUUUUGUAAAUAGUCUACGUUUAAUACUUCUAAUUAGUAUCUAAACAUUCGAUGUGACACGUGCUAAAAAUAAGCAAAGGAAUCAAACGUCCCCUACUCUGCUGACCUCCAUUAUUGAUAGGAGCAUGGGCCUGACACGAAAGGGAAUGUUCGACGCCCACACGUGUGCCCGAUCUCGUCGUGGUCCGAUCGAAAGAGACGUGCUAGUUUGCCAGCUGCACUCUCCCUCCGACGAUUCCAAGAUCAUAUGGUCCAAUUGGGAAACGAACGGCACGUUGGAAGCUUGGAAUCCAGCCAGCAGAGUGCGUGGAAUCCAUCCGUCGCCAACACAUCGCUAAUUCUUUAUCCGCCGCAAACCGAUGGGGAUGUCCGGCGCCGUCGUCAGCGCCCCUAGGGAGUAGGGACUGCGACUGCGAUCGUGGAAGUACGAUCUCAAUUCACCGAUGAACCAAGAAGACAGAUGAUCUAGAUUCUCUGAACUUUCACUGAUGAACCACAAAUAAGAUAAAAUGAUAUAGAUUCUCUGAACAGUCAAGCCUGCGACUAUUCUUUCACUGAUCAUGCUCGCCGCAGGUGUCUGAUUCUGCUGGUGUUUUGUUGCAGAGCAAUGCGCCGAGCAGCUUCAUGCCGUACGGCGGCGGGCCGCGCCUGUGCGCGGGGUCAGAGCUGGCGAAGCUGGAGAUGGCCAUCUUCCUGCACCACCUGGUGCUCAACUUCCGGUGGGAGCUGGCGGAGCCGGACCGGGCCUUCGUCUACCCCUUCGUCGACUUCCCCAAGGGCCUGCCGAUCAGGGUCCAGAGGAUCGCCGGCGAACACAGCGUUUUGACCGAGAGCACAGCGACGUAGUGGCACGGACGUAGGGUACGUGUCUAGCAGGGGAGUACAGAGGAGCGUACAAUUUUUCGUUGCGUUUUGGGGUUUGGCGGUUCGUGUUUAUGUAGAUGUCAUGAAAGAAGAAGAUAGGAGAAGGAUGAUGUAUAGAUAAAGAGUAAAAAGAAAAGGGGAUGGUUGGAAAAUUUAGUAGGGUUGUAAUAAGGCCGGCCCACGGCCCAUGUCAAGUAAUAAUAGAGAUAUAGUAAUUUUUCUGCUUUCUUUUUCCGAGAAUCGCGUGUAGAAUCUUUUGCGACGUCGCAUCAAAGUUUUAUCUUUUUUGUUGAUUGAAUUCAUCUUGAUGCACACAAUUUUAUACGAUUUUAUGCACUUAUCCGUGCGUUAGUACCUAAGACUAAUAUAUAAGAUUUUGCAAAAUUAUUGAAAUGUCUCUUGUUCAUGAUUCACCAAAAUUAGCGCCUUGACCUUUUUGUUUGAGCUGCACCUUCUAGUUGUUUGAAAAACUACCGCUGGCUUUUUUCUAAAAAUCUUGAAUUUUUUGAGCUCAAAAUGCUACGAAAGCUACGAAAAGCUCGUAAAACUGACCUUUCAAGUUUUUCAUAUAAAACUCAGCUUUUGUGCGCUUCCAGCUUUUUAGAAGCUGCACAAAAAAUUUACUGUUUGACUAAACUUCUAACUUUUCACGUGGAGAAACUGCCGAAACCUCGGUACGAGUCUGUGAUAUUUCUUUCCUGCAGAAGCUAGCAAGCAAACUGGGAGGGCCAUGGCAGGCCCUCCAUGGCCGAAAGUCUUCUUGCGUGCGGUGGCCAUAUAACUGGAGGCCCAAAAGGCCCAGUCUGAGGGUUGGCAACCGCCGCGAACCAACCAAUCAGAACCACCGUCAACGGUGGCCACAAGAUUUCCUUCCGCAACAGAUCCUGAAAGAACAAUGACGCAUGCAGUGACGCUAAUUCCCGCAAGUUGCGGUCGCCCCACGCAAUCGACGUGGCACCGCCAAUGGUCUUCGGACACGUGCGCGCUAUCCUGCCGUCCGACUCGAACCGCCUCAUCGCCGCCGUCGGAUCCCAGCAACCGGACAAUAAAUACCUUGGAUUCCUCUGCUAAUCCUCCCGCACCACCCGCUAACCCUAACCUUGCCUACCCACCCCGCCUUUUCCUUGGCCCUUAAGUUGCUUCGUUCCCCUGCUGGAAAUCCUUUCUCGUCUAGAUCCAAACUACGUUCCUUUCUACAUGCCGAUCUCGUCUAGAUCUAGAUCGAAACAAGUUUCCUUUCUCCAUGCCGAUCCGUGCGGUUUACUUCUCGUCGGAUGCUUUGUCGGAUCGACGAACGGUGAAUAUCUCUCCGUUGUUUGUCUGCUCGAAACACAUGGGCUUGUUUUGUGAUGUGCAGAUUCAGAUCUGAUUAAGAGUUGCGCGUGCGCCGGCUCGGAUCGAGACGAGGCUGCGUCGAUGUGUGCGCGGUGGCUGCUGGUCUGCAUGUUUGGGCGCGUCGGAUCUGAUGUUGGUUAGUCCUUUGCCCAAGGAACCCGUGUUGAUUCAGUCUGUUUCGGUUGGUCGUACGGUGCCUUAUCCCUCGAUUUUGUUUUCUGCUGACCUUCAGAGCUGGGACGUCUCGGCGAGAUUGGGGUGAUCUGGCGGUUUCGGAGGCGUGGAAGGGACGCGGCGGUGUGGUCGGAUUGCUGGAUUUGCUUCAACUCUCCUGAUGAUAUCUCUUUGUAUUGAUAAUUAUUGGAUGGAAUUUCCAUAAUUAUUAGAUCCGAGAGAUGUUGCUCGGGGAAAUCCGUGCCUUGAAGGCGAGGUAAGCUAAACACAUGUAACCAGCGAGUUGCGUGUGGAGUCGGGAGGAGAAAAGAAAAAAAGAUGUGAAAAAAGAGAAGAUGUGAAAAAAAAAGAUGUGACAUCUUGAAGGCCUUUGCCAUGAUGGGUGCGCUCGCAUGGCAGGCCACCGUAAUAAAGAUGUUGAUUUUGUGCCUCGGGUGGGAGAUCGCACGGGGGGUUAUUUUUUUUAUCCCCCGGGUUCUCCCUCCCCUUGUGUCCCUGUGCCCGCUUCUUCUUGUUGGCUACACGUCUCCCUGGUACACCUCGGGCAUUCUACAAUUUGGCAAGGAGCUACAGCGCCGCACGCAAGGUACAAUUGGCAAUCUGAAGUUGCAAUUCAUAUUACAUACUAAUCCAUACUUAUGCUGUUGCAAUUUAUAAUGCAAACUAGAUAAAUUUCUUAACGUCUAUAACUAAGCGAAGUUUAGUGGUGCAAUCAUCAAUCCUUGUUGCUUGUAGUACGUGCUUUCAUUAACUCAUUAACUUCACGGUUAAAGCAGUCAUCCAUGCCAUGCUUCUUAAUUUUAGGACGUGCCAAGUCAUAGUGCACCCAUCUGUUCUUCCAUCCGAGCAACACCACUGACACACGAACGACGCGUACUGUUCGAUUUUUAAGUCGAUCUGCGUACCAAAUUGAAAAAAUGAAUUAAUUAAAGGGAAACCUGGCGAUGAUAACUGCUGGUUUCUGAAUUACACCUUCACACCUCAAUACUAUCAUCUGUGAAUCUACUGAGUUCAAUUAUGUGGCAAAUGUGUCACGUUCUGAAUUACACCUUCACACCUCACCUUCACACCUUAAUACUAUCAGCUGUGAAUCUUCUGAGUUAAAUUAUGUGUAUGUGGCAAAUGUGUCGCGGCUGCUACGCUGAUUCUUUUAAGUGUUACUUUCAUGCUUCAAUUAGCACCUCACCUAGGAUUUCUGUCAAGAAACAUGAAAUUCUAUAUAUAUUGGGCACUGUAAGUUCUCUGUUAUAUUUUGUUCUGAGUGUUAAUUUUGAAUUAUAUCAAUAUCUAGAAUGAUCAAGUGUUGCAAGUUUAUGUGAUAUUUAGUUCUAUAGUGGUUAUGCAAGAUGCAGCUAUUCAACUAGUUUAUUGUAAUCAGUUUGUGUAAGUGCAAUUUGUCUUCCCUUGUAAGUUGUAUAAGGACAUGUACGAGGAUGUAUGGCGAGAUGGCGUGCUGGUUUAUGAAGCUUCCAGCUGUUCUCUUCCCUGGAAGAUACUGCUGAGGCUUCGUGCCUCCUGGGAGUUCCGCAGCUGCUCAUGCUCCUGGGAGUUCUGAAGUUCUUGCUGGUGCUUUCAGCGGUUAUGUUGCUGAAGCUUCCUAAAUGUCUUCGGUUGGAGGUUCUGGAGUUAUGAUGUCUUCUGCUGAAGUCGAAGCUUUGCUGAAGCCUCCUAAAUAUCUGAAAUUUUCUGUGGUUUUAUUGGUCGAGCUCCCCCGUGGUCUAGAAAAGUACUUCACCACUUGAGCGGACCGUCUGGCUGCUUGGCGGGUUUCACAAUAUAUGGUGACUGAUGCUGCUUAAUUUUUGUAACACAUGUUUUGUCGUUGCAAUUGUUCUUGUCGUAUUUUUUGAGGUUGAGCUGUAAGAGUAGUUCACCUGGAGAGUACAUUAUCUACAGUUCUGCUGGCAUUUUUUUGGAGGAGACAACGUGGAAGAGGUUUGGGCUGAAGGUAUAUCUGAUUUCACUCAUUCAUUGCUAUCCGACACUCAACUUUGUAUUGUAAUUUGUUGCAACUGCUGUGCAUGUGUCCGAAGCAGUUUACAUUUUGUAUAAGCUUAGGUUUUUUACGCUGUUCUGUUUGUGGGCAGAUCUGUCUCGUUGCUGGUUUUCAUUUCAAAUAAGCGUAGGUUCGUACAAGUGAUUUUGGCAACAAAAUUGAGGUUAAGUUUCGCGUAUAGACCGCUGUGUAGUCCUCGUCUGUGUCCCGACUCUGUCUCUGGAUCUUAUCUCAACACGGUGAGGUCCUCCGUGGACUGGUCAGCUUUGCCUACCUGCCCGGACGGAAGGUGGUUCGACUCCACCAAGAUCCUGUAGUUGUGUAGUUUAUUUACUUUCAUUGUUAUAAAUUAAAUUUAUUGCUAAUUGUUGCAGUUUUUAACCUUUUUAACGGCUAUCAAUUGUUUUUAACUUAUUAAAGUUACACUGUUUAUGUUUAUUAAAUGAAAUUGUAACGAAGUUAACAUUCUAACCUCUACUAUCGAAAAUGAUUUUAACCUAUUUUACAUUGUUGUAAUUAAAUCAUAACUUUACAUGAUUGUGUUUUAUUAAACAACAUGUACUGAGACAAGUUUCCUAAUUUGUUUCACUCAUAUCGCGCAAUUUAACGUACAUAUAUAUAAGAUUGGAGCAUGGUUUUCAAGGUAAUUUGUAAACAAUAUAUUUUUUUAAGAACAAAUUGUUUGUUGGACGAUUGUUCAGAACCUAAAUGAAAAUAGUAUAACCUAAAUGAAAACGGUAUGGCCUAUGGAGUUUAGUUUGGUCAACAUAAGGUUUAGUUUAAACAUUAGCUAUUUUUGGUCCUCUUAUUCUUUAUUUGACUUAAAAAAGUAUUUAGGAACUUUUCAAAUCUUAACACCAUUUAUAAAAGUUUGAAAUUCAAACACUACUUAAGUCCUGGACCACUGUAAAACUAAAUCAUGUUGAAUAAGGAUUGGUUGUAUGGUUUUAUAGCUGAGGGUUUAGGUUGAACUUUUAGAUUGUAAACUUUAGAAAUUCUGCCAUUCUAAUUUCAAAUUGAUACGAUAUUUUAUGACAUUGAAUUUUCUUUGUGAUGGAUGUAUUUUAAAUUGAAAUUAUGACUUUGAAUGUUAGCCGCUAAAUGAAGCUAUGGCUAGCUCCGUCUUGCAAUUUAUACCGAGACGAACUUUGCUCACCUUUAUUUUUGUAAAAUUGACACUAUUUAUUACCUCUUCUGUUUUUUUAAUAUAAAAUGUAGACACUUGUUGGGUAAGAAAUAGACUAAUUAGCCACGGAGGGGUAAUUGAUCAUAUCUUUCGUGGGAAGGCACAUAGGCUGAUCACAGAUGAAUACCAUCGUGAUGAGCGCAGAAACAAAGGAAAUCAGUGGCAAACACAAAAUGGCUGCUUGCUUCAGCCAGAAGAGUCCUCUGCAGUGCUGAAGCCAAUGUUCUGAUGGCCGCCACAGUAGUCUGAGGCUCUGAGCCUGCAUGAACAAAAGCCUCUGCAGCAGUGCGGUGCACCGGUAUUCAAAUUUUAUUGCGCCGCUAAGCCUCUGCUGUUCGCCGAUGGCAGGUCCAGGCCAUCAGGGGUCUGACGGUUCGCAGCGCUUCCUAAAAUGCGUCUUGCUGUAUUCUACACUGCACAGCAUCCUGUCGCCAACAGUGCGCGCGGGGUGCGGAGUUGGGAGACUGAAAUCAGUGACCCACCGCGCAGGCACCCAUAAGCUUUUAUUGAGAAUUUUGGGGUGUUUGGAUCUGUAAUUCGGACUAAAAUUCACAUCACAUCGAAUAUUCGGAGGUCAUGUUAAUUAUAAAACUAAUUACACGGAUGGAGGCUAAUUCCUAAAACGAAUCUAUUAAGCCUAAUUAAUCCAUCAUUAGCACAUGUUCACUGUAGCACCACAUUGUCAAAUCAUGAACUAAUUAGGUUUAAUAGAUUCGUCUCGCAAAUUAGUCUCCAUCUGUACAAUUAAUCUAUGUUUAAUAGUUCUAAUUAGUAUCUAAACAUUUAAACAUUUAAUGUGACAGGAAUUUUAGAAGCUUCUAAAUAAAUAAUGUAAUAAAACCCACACGGUCACGAGCCCUGAUCGUGCACCCGACGUUGAGUGCCUGUGCCGCCGCCUCGCCGCGCGCACCGCGCUGCUCCGAGUCGUCCGGCGGCGCGGAUCGAACGCGCAACGCGUGAUCUCUCCCACGCCCCCACACCGCUCGUCGCCUCCUGACCACGGCCGCGGCACGCCGAGACGCUCCCAUCUCGGCCGCGGCCAGCCGGGGAUCGGCCGCUGUGAGGAAUAAUUGCCCGCGGUGGGGUUGCAGCCACGCGUGCGCGCGUGAUGGCGGAACAGAACCGCGGCACAAGCAAUUCAACCAUCAUCCACCAAUGGUCUAUGCCAAACAUGAUCAUCGCGUCUCUGGCUGGCCUGCUGCCGCACAGCAUGGUAACAACAGCAUGAAAAAAUUUUAUCAACCCCGUGGCAAACCAUACAUUAGGGCAAACGCCAUCAAACCUUAGCGGGCAGCAUCACAGAUUAAACCCCUGUCAUCCCCGCUGUAAAUAAACAACAAAAAUUUACACCCGGUGAAAAAGUCAGUCCAGCUCCAGCUCCUCGCACGUACGCCGCGUCAGGUGGGUGCGUGCGUGGUUGCUUGCAGCUCCGAUCCCUCAUCUCCACAUCGACUUGUCCGAGUCGUCGGCGGCCGCGACGUUCUCCGACAGGAGCGACGGCCGCGUGCCCGUCGACGUCCGGUGAGACGCCCGCGGCGAGCGGUGUUCCUGCACCACCAAGAACAACUGGCGUGUCAUGUCAUGGCCGUGGCAAUGGCUGCCCGACAUCGGCCAAGCAAGAACAUACCGUGCGGAAGGGGAACUCGUCGCCCUCGAGCAUGUGCACGAUCUGCCCCAUCCGUGGCCGCUUGUGGGCGUCGGCGUCGAUGCAGCGGAGGCAGACGAGGAGCACCCGGUUGAGCACCCUUGGCGGCGGCGGAGCGGCGACGCGCGGGUCCACGAGGUCCUCCACGCGGCGGCCGCCCACCAUGCCCCGGAACCACUCGACCAGGUUCACCUCGCCGGCGGGGCGGUUGUAGUCGACGGGGCUGCGCCCGGAGACGAGCUCCAUCAGCAGCACGCCGAAGCUGUAGACGUCGCUGCUCUCGUUCAGCAUCCCCGUCGAGGCGUACUCGGGGGCCACGUACCCGAACGUGCCCAUCACCCGGGUCGUCACGUAGCUGGAGCCGGAGCCCAGGACCUUGGCCAUGCCGAAGUCCGACACCUUGGGGUUCCACUUCUUGUCCAGCAGGAUGUUGCUCGACUUGAUGUCGCGGUGCACCACCUUGGGCUCAAGGCCUUCGUGCAGGUACGCGAUGCUGCAUCGAUGAAGCAUCGGUGAGCAACGAACAGAUUCGCAAUCGAAGAUCACGAGGUGCUCUGUCAGUGAAGUGUCUGAAGAAGAAGAAGAAGAAAAUACCCUUUGGCCGUUCCGAUGGCGAUUUUCAUCCGAAUGUCCCACGUCAACGGGCUGACAGGGCCGACGUCGCCGUGCAGCCACUGCUCCAAGUUGCCGUUCUCGACGAACUCGUACAGGAGCAUCCUGUGAACGCAAAUUUAUGGCAUUGCCAGUGAGUAUCAGAAUUCAGCAAGCAUGAGUGGCCGACAGGUUAUUCAGGUGAAUUCAGAAGUGCGUGUUAACCGACAGGUUACUACUCAGUACUCCUCACCUUUUAGGCCCUUCUGCGCAGUAACCGAUGAGCCCGACGAGGUGCUUGUGCCUCACUUUGCCUAUGGCUUCCACCUCCACCUUGAACUCCUUCUCGGCCUGACCCCUAAAAAAUUAUAGUCUCAAUCAGCAUUCCGAUCAGUGAAGGUUCAGAGUAGAAAUUGUUUAAUUCUCAUCCGCCGUCUUUCAUCUUGAUUAUUUGCCCUGAAUGUCCUAGCAUGGUAUGGUGAGGGUAAACAAACAGAAAUAACUGUUGCUUCUCUGCCAAUCAUCAGGAAUCCACGUGCAUGCAUUUGAUUUGCUUCAAAGCUAACACUGCUCCAAAGUUCAUGGCACUGCAUAUUUUAGCUGGAUAUUUGUCAUUGAAAUGAAACUGAAAAGGAAAAGUUUGGUCGUCGCUUUGCCUUUCCUCUGCUUUAUCUUUUCUUGAAAGAAAGGAUUUCGAUCCGUGGCGCAUAUGACUGCCGACGAAACUCAACCAACAAGUAGAUGGAUAUACAUACGGGCCAUCACAUAAAAGCACAAAAAGACCCACCUACUCAUAUCACAAUCAUACGUAGCCUUGGAAAGAAAAUAAAUUCGUAUCUUUUUUUUUUGGAAAAUCAUUGACUUCAACCUGUGGACAUUGUGGGCGUGCAUUCGCUACAUUAAAUCCAUUCACAGGAUCAUCAGAGACCAAUAAUAUUAACAAUCGUGCACGCAGAUCAGUGAAGAACUGAAGAUCAUGGUGUGGACAUGUCUGCAUUGUUAAAGAUUUUUCUCCAGCGACUUGUGGGCGUUCAGUCAGAACUGACAGCUGAAGAUUGUGAACUAACUUUAAAGGCAUCAAAGAUCAACCCUUUUUUGUUUUUUUGUUUUUCUUUUGGCAAAGCCAAAAAGGAUUCAGCUAAUGAACCUUUUUCAUCCUGUGUUUGGAGAACUAAAAAUGCACAGAAUUCUAAGAAUUGUCUUCGUUAAUCUUUUCGGGGCCAAAUGCUGCUGUCGCGAAUGGUUAGUUGAUGAGCAGUCAAUUGAUUAAACUUGUGCAGAACUGAAGGCUCACAUUGGUAACAAAAGUCAGAAGUAUUGCUUUUAAGCUAAUAAAAACAUGUUUUACAAGCUUUUUUUACAUGGCCAUGAUACUUGACAAUCUUGAAGCCACAUCAACAGCAAAACCACAACCACCCCGAUAUAAUGUGAGUACGUGACAAUUGACCAAGAAAUGCAUCCAGUCUAGGAAAGCAUCAAAACGUAUACUCCUUGCUUGUCCAAAUGCUACGCCCCAAAGAGUACCACUAGGAACUUGUACUACCCGUUCAAGCAUUUACACCAAAAGAACAACGGACAUAAUUGUACUGCUAAGUACUACUUACUACGGCGGUUAAUUUCUUUUACACAUGUCCAUUCAGUAGAUGCACAGCUAAUGAGCUUUUUUUUUUCUGAAAGUUAACACAUGGGUUCGAUGCUUUUUACCAUGAUCUGGGAUAGAAAAGAAAGAUAACAGUAAAGAGGAAAAGGGCAGAGGAGAACAGGGGAACUCACUUGUGAUCAAACAAGUCCUUGACCGCGACAACCUCCCCGCCGGCGAGCACGCCGCGGUACACCGUGCCGUAGCCUCCCUCCCCGACCACGUUCUCAGCGCAGAACCCGCCCGUGGCGACCUCCAGCUCCGCAAGCUCGUACCACCUCCCCCACCCCAUCUCCACCCCCGCCGCGGCCCCGCCGGCGACGACCCUGACCGCCUCCGGCUUCCUCUUCACCGGCGACUCGAGCGAGCUCGCGGCCGCGGACGAGCUGGCCACGUCGGAGGAGCUGGCGCCCGCGCCCGUACCCGCGGCACGAUCCGCGCCGCCGGCCUUGUCCUUGCGCGCGGACGACGCCGGGCGGGAGGAGCCCGAGCCCGAGGUGGAGGACGGCGCGUGCUCGACGCGCGACAGCGAGGGCGGCCUGGCGCCCCGCCGGCGCGCGAAGUACACGGCGGCGGCCACCGCGGCGAGGACGAUGAGCGCGGCCAGGGCGGCGGCGGCGCCCGCCGCGACGGGAACCGGCAUGCCGAGGAGGGCGUUCCUGUCGCCGCCGUCAGCCGGGGCGCCGCCACCGGCGUCGGCAGCGGCGGCCGAUGCCGAUGCCGGCCCGGCGGCGUCCAUUGGCGGUUGAGAGGAGCUCAGGGCGGUGGGGCCGCCUCCGUCUCCGACCCGUUGGGCAGAGCAGAGGGGGUGGUGGCGAGGGAGUGGAGGGUGGGAGGAAGGGCGGAGCGUGCCGCGGGCGGCAGCCAGCUCCGUUUUAUGGCGCUGUGGGAGUUUUGUCGUUGUUAACGUUGGUGGAUUCGGCGUUCCGUGGGCCCGGCCCAUCAAUUUCGUUUUCGAGCCCUCCUUUCUUUUUCUAAAUCAUUUCCUUUCGUUGCACUUGCACUGUUUUCUCUAGAAGUAGAGUAAUCCACGCAUUUGUAAGUUUAUUAUACCUAUGUCCCAUUAAAGACCGAUGAACAAUAGCUCGGUUUCAAGCAUACGAGUCACUAAUCAUCAAAUAGAACCCUCGCAUGCGGAUGCAGGGCAUACGUUGAUUGCUCAAGCGACGUCCAACCAGCAGCUAGCCCAACUAAAAUAGUACGCUAUCGUCUAAUGGCAUGCAUGGGAUACGAUCAAUUGACACCCAAACAGAAAGCACUCGAUCCUGCGAAGGCAAAUGAUGGCGGCAUCGACCACCGGUGGGCCAGGGCUACCGGUGGCGGGCGUAUUCUUCCUCUUCCUCUCCCUCCUCCUGGCGGUUCCGGCCGUUCCACGGGAGGCGUGUAUUUUUGUUCUGGUGCGCGGCCAUGCGUGGAGCGGUCGUUGGGCGGAGGCCGUCCCGUUCCCGUGAGCGGCCGGCGAGGUCUAGGGCCCCGUGAAGGCUCCGUAGCGCCCGUUGGUUUCUGGUCGGCUUUCUCUCGCACCUCGCCGGAAUCUGUUGCGUGCCCCUGAUGCUUCUGCGUACGAGAAGGUGUUUACGCAUGUACUGGUAUACUGUACGUGCGUAUUUAUACGUCUACAGUACACCGCCGCUGGUAGCGCAGAAUACAGACUGUUUUGUUGUUUCUAUUACGACAGCUCAGUUAGCUCUUUUCUUUUUUUGAAACUUCAGCUCCUUUAGCUCUAGGCUUUAGGCAUACAAGGUAUGCGAGUAGCACCCAACGGAUUUGGGUUCAACCACACCCUAUCGGAAUGAAUUAAAUAAGUUUGGAAUAAAAAAUUAUAAAAAUGAUAGGCAGAGGUUUCCCCUGCUGACUUCAGUCAAAAUAAUACAUGUCUCAGCUAGCUGUAUUGCUUCAGUGUCCCGUAUGCUCACCGUUUAUAUACUUUAUAGCCAUGUAUAUAAUAUAAAUACUCCUAGCUUAUAGGUACAUCUAUCUGGAAUCAAAUUACACUAACGAUCACUAGCAAACAUAAACAAACGGCCCCGUUCCCUGAGCUCGCUACCGACAGUAUCCGAUAAUCACCGUCGUCCGAGACAUUCCUGGUCCUAGCGCGCGCGCACCUCACGAUCGAUCCCUCCACCAACCAGUCAUUGCAUUCAUCUAAUCUCUCGCCUCUGUAUCGCCGUCUCCUUUUCAUAUGGGUCCCCUAAAAAAAGAGAUGUUUAUAAAUUUGCUAAACCCCACAUCGAUCAGAGACACUGCAGAGUGCAGUGCAGCUGCACCAGCAGCAGUUCUAGUUACAUAAACACAAUUAAACAGGGGAGGGCCUGGAGCCCUGGACAGCGACAUGACAGCCUAAUUAACAAAGGUAACCUUGGAUUAUGCUUGGUUCCUGCUCUGAGGGUGUCCGCCACGGGUUUGGUGGAUACUCCUCGCCGUGCCUCUGGCUGCCCUGUCCUCCGCGCCGCGCCGGUUGGUUGGCUUGGAAACCAAGCGUGCAAAAGAGUCGGGGAGGUGCGUGUGCCCAUGCUUGCCCUUCGGACUUUGGACUUUUUUCAGCUCAGUGUCAAAUGAAUUGAUUAGUUGUAGCAGCCGGUUCAAACUAAAAGGAAGGGUGAUCCUAUCUUAACCAAAACGUUGGUGCAUGUCUUCAGACUUCAGUGGUUAAACCCAGUUCGUACGUGGAAAUACACAAUUGGUAUGUAUACCACCGAGUUGACAGGCAUACGUGCAUAUACUAAACUUGUUACCCUUUUCCUCCCGGUAAGCUUUUUCGAGGUUUCGCCGGUACAGUAGGCAAAUAAUUCAGGAUGACCUAGCUAUGAUUGGCUCGUCUCGUUGGCACCCCAAGAUCAGUCGUGCCUGAAGAUGCCUACAGCUUUAAUCGAAAAUGGGGAACGUGGCAGCGCCCACUGUUCCAAACGGUACGCGCUGCUUGUCACCAAAUUGGAAACCCGAAUCUUUCAGCCAAGCCAAUGCAGGCUGGACGCGGGGGGGGGGGGGGGGGGGGGGGGGGGGGGGGGGGGGGGGGGCGGAGGAGGGGAGGGGGGAUGCGGACACGCCGUUGAAAAGGAUCACGGGCUAAGCUCAGCUCGCGUCGAUCAGUCCCGCGCCACGCACGCAGCCAUGAAUGGUCACCGACGCCACCACCUCAUCUCACUGGUCAAACGCAUUGCUCGGUCACAUGCGUGUGCGUCAAUCAUGAUCAUCUCCGCGAGCGCAUCCACAAUCAUCUGCUCGUCGAUUAGCCGAUCGAUUACCACGUCUCGACAGAUGCAGGAGAUGCAUGCAACUCGAAACCAGUGCAGGGUGCAACAGGCGACGAAGCGUACCAUGACAUGAGCUUCGCCGUGUAUGACGCUCAUAAUGCCAACCUACACCUACUAACGAAGAGUGGCAGCGAUGGCGACUCGGCCGGCCGGCCGGAGGGACACGUACGCCAGCGGCAUGCGCACGGUGGCACGGCGGCAUGCGACUGUGCACUGGACCCUCGGGGUCUAUCUUUUCGCAGGCUCGCAAUUAGUCGCGCCGUCCGGGAUCACCAACGAUCAUGCGACCGCGUCGACAGGGAACAAAGCUAACGCGAGUUACCGACAAUUUACAGUUCUAGGAGCUUUCUUCUGAAACCAAUUGUCUCAGGCUAUGUUUAGUUUCCCUAAAUUCCAAAUUUUGAUACUAUGCAAAAAGAAGAUUCACCAUCACAUCAAACUUGCGGUACAUGCAUGGAGUACUAAAUGUAGACGAAAUUAAAAAUUAAUUGCACAGUUUUGUUGUACUUUGCGAGACGAAUCUUUUGAGCCUAAUUAGUCAAUGUUUGGACAAUAAUUCACAUAUACAAACGAAAUGCUACAGUUGCGCAUUUAUGACAAACUCUCAACUUUGUCAUUCCCAAAUUGGGAACUAAACAAGGCCUCAGUAUGCAUGUUCAGACUUCAGAGUAGGCACGGGUGUCAGGGUGUGCACCAAACAAUGCAGAGCAGGCGGCAGCCCUGUUUACUUUGCCUAGUGAGUAGAGUAACUUGAAGGUAAAGACACGCAGAGAGAUUCUUUGGUACCUAAGUACCUUUGUCAGUUCUUUACCCCAUCACUUGUACAUACCUGCACUUGCCGUGGUUCCUGAGCCUGAGGGGCAUCCAAGAGCUCAGUCUGCUUCUGACAGUCUGACUGGUUAGCGUUCAGAGACCAAGCUUGUCGAUCUGCUUCACGAGAGGGAGAUGAUGGAAAGAACAGAAAGUAGCACAAGAGGAAUCGUAUUUUCAGCGAAUUCCCAAAACCAUUAGAAAAAACGGCUGUUGUUGUAUAUAUUUACCUUGAAAAAGAAAACUUUUUCCGAGACGCGCUACUGCCAAUUUGUAUAAUGCAGCACCAAGGGCUGGACUUUGCAUCAAACAAUUGAUGAACCGAAGCUUUUAGUAUUUAAAUAAAUUUGGUCAGCAAAGAAAUGCCGCAACAAAAAGAAAGGACUCCACCCUCGUUUUGAUGCAAAACCUUAAUCACGGAGGAAAUCUAUCUAUUAUCCUAAUACAAUAGUGUUAAAAGAAACCACCACGUUCGUCGAGAGGACUUAAAAAUGACCACAUUGAUCAGAAAAAAGAAAAGAAUACACACCGUUAGAUUUUAUAAUGAUCUAAUGGCUCAGCCAAAUAGUCCAUAAUUAAAAAAGGAAGAAGAAAAUGUGCACUUAUGAUGAUCCAACGGUUUAGAUCAACGUAGAGAGUCGGUAUCAAAUACUAUUAACCAUAAAAGUAUCAAAUACUAUUAACCAUAAAAGAAAGGAAACCUCUGUUCAAAAUAAACAUGAAGGUGUAGGUCAUGUCUACUUUGCGGCUAGAAAAAAUCAAAGGAAAGAAAGCCAACUGACGUGCGUAUUGGAUCCUGAUUGUACUAAAUAUGUCCAUUAUGUGGCCAACGAUUGAGAAACAACGUACUUUAGUUUAUAUGGAAAGAGACUUAUACAAGGCAGCGUACUUUUCAUUGGAUUAAAAAAAAAUGCAAAAUAAAGAAGCGUAUUUCUCAUACAAGGUGCAACACAAAAUAAAGAAACAGAUUGCUCAUACACGGUGCAACCUUGGACACAUGGGUGACGUAGGACUUCUAUUUUGCUUUGAUCAAUCUCAAUAUACCGAACCGAUGGAAAAGGGAUAAAAAUACAUUUUCUGUGGCUGUUCUAGCCUGAAGGACCAGAUUAUCUCAUUGCCUGUGGAUCAACGACUUCGCAAUUGACCACCGACAGGCGACAAGGGAAAGCCAACAUAGAAAAUGUAGCUCCGUAGGCGAAAACCCAAACAUGGAUGGCACCAGUGGAAUCGAACCGUAGCGGCGAAAUGAUAAGUCCCGCUAUUAGUGACUCCAUCCCCGGUGGGAAGAUCAACUUCUGGCCUUUUCUUACUACCGACAUGCCAAAGCUAAAAUGCGGGUUCGGCUUCUUGGUGCGAAGGCUCUUUUUCCAAGAACAUUGGUGCGAAGGCUCUUGAUUAGGCUGAUAAUGAUGAACUAGGAAACAACAAAGAAAACCAACCAGAGAUCGCGCUCUGCCUCCAGCGGCUGCGGGCUGCGGUAGUCAAACACCCUUACUCAUGUUGGACAACAGCUACACGCUUGCUCUGCUUUAGAUGAGAAGGAAGAGAGGAAAAAAUUAGAAGAAGCACAUGGGAAGAUGAUGCAUUCGACAUACAACAGCGAGCAGGGCAAGUGAGCGUGAAUUGGCAUGCAUCAAAGCGGUGAGCCAGAGAUGCAGCACUCUGUGGUAGCGAGCAAGGCAAGCGAGCGGCUGUGGUAAAUUGGCAUGUAUCAAAGUGCCGCGGCAAGGGGAGCAAAGUGUCUGUGAAAGAGAGAGCGUGCAAGGCUAAAUCAACAUUUUUAGAAAUUUUAUCUUUAAAAAUUAUUUUUGUCUUUCGUUGGAGCAGCGUGACGAAGUGAUUUUUUAAUUCCAAUUCCUUUAAACGUUCUUUUAUGGUAUAUGAGGACAAACAAGCUAUGACUAUUAACAAAAACGAUGAAGAAAUCCUUCAUAAAUAGGAUCAAUAGCAUGGACUGUCAGUUGGCCCACGAGAUCACUUGGGUGGCGUUUGAUUCCUUUUGCUUAUUUUUAGCACGUGUCACAUCAAAUGUUUAGAUACUAAUUAGGGGUAUUAAACGUAGACUAUUUACAAAACCCAUUACAUAAAUGGAGGCUAAACGGCGAGACGAAUCUAUUAAGCCUAAUUAAUUCAUCAUUAGCAAAUGUUUACUGUAGCAACACAUUGUCAAAUCAUGAACUAAUUAGGCUUAAUAGAUUCGUCUCGCCGUUUAGCCUCCACUUAUGUAAUCGGUUUUGUAAAUAGUCUACGUUUAAUACUCCUAAUUAGUAUCUAAACUUUCGAUGUGACGGGUACUUAAAUUUAGUGAACCAAACCAGGCUGAAAUCACUUGGGGCCACCAAGAUUUUACAUAGUAUGCCCCAUGAUGGGCACCACUCAGAAUUCAAAGGUCCCUCGCUAAAGUUGGAGAUAAAACGUUCCAAGACGAUACUCCUGUUGGCUGUUGCGAUUACCUCAAGUGCGCAGUGCAUAAGCACCUUAAUAAAUUAUCCUCAUAGAAUUGCUGAGGUGCCACAAGGGAGAGGAGUCAAGGAGAUCCAAUGUGCCUUUAUCCUGACGGUGAUCACAAGAAGACAGGUAAAUAGAGCAAAUGCAAAGAAACCGGAAUGAGUAGUUGAAACUAGAGGCUUUAAGUAACGGAUGAAGAAAGGCCUUAAGAAAGAGAAACAUAUGAAUAUCGGUGGGACAACAGUCAAUGGUGCAUGCCAGUUGAAGCGUUCCCACACAAGCAGAGACUAAAUAUGAUAUAAAUAUUAGUCCCAGGAGGUUGAUAACACAUUUAUUCAACACAUGGUUUAUAAACCGUACAACUUCUGAGGGAGCGGGCGAGAAAGCCACACCAAAAUGACAAGAGGGUGUUUGGCAGACGGGGGCUAAAAUUUAGCCCCUAUCACAUCGGAUGUUUGGAUACUAAUUAGGAGUAUUAAACAUAGGCUAAUUACAAAACUAAUUGCACAACCCCUAGGCUAAAUCGCGAGAUGAAUCUAUUAAGCCUAAUUAGUCCAUGAUUUGACAAUGUGGUCCUACAGUAACCAUUCGCUAAUGAUGGAUUAAUUAGGCUUAAUAGAUUCGUCUUGCGAUUUAGCCUAGGAGUUCUGCUAUUAAUUUUAUAAUUAGCUCAUGUUUAGUCCUCCUAAUUAGCAUCCAAACAUCCGAUGUGAUAGGGCUAAAGUUUAGUCCUUGGUAUCCAAACACCCCCCUAAGUAAAACAACAACGGUAAUGAUCCAAGCUACUAUCUAGAUGAACCCUAGAUAACACUCGGGACUAUGCGCCAGCGGAAGCAUCCUGCAAAGGGCCAACGCCACAGGUAACGUUGGGUGCAGAAGCGACCACCUACUCGAUGUCCUCGGCAACGAAGUCCGGGUCUUUCUCUGAAGCAAUAAAACAAGGGUGAGUACAAAAGUACUCAACAAGUCCAACCCCAUCCAUGGAGAGGGAUACAAUUAAGAAUAUGCACAUGAUAUAUCAAGGAUAAGGCUAAGAUUUAUUUGCAAUAAAGCUAGAUUUUCAACACAUGCAGGGUUUAUUUUCAAAAGGGUUUUUUGCAAAAUAUUUCUUUAGUAACCGAAUAAUUGAGUGGGGUUAAUCCUAUACAAAGGAUCCAAGUUUUAAUGCUAUCAGACUCCCCGUCCAUGGUAGCUCACGGCACAACUGUCAGACACUUCCAAAAUCCAACACAUGCCAUGAAAAUCAUCCAUCUCCAAAAGUUAGUUAUGUGAUCAAGCCGUAACUCGUCCAAUAUCGUGGACACGGCUAUUCGAAUAGGUUUUAACUCUGUAGAGGUGUAUACUUUACCCACAAGUAGGGUACCGUAGUACGAUCACCUUAGUGUCAGUGCGGAUCCUAUCAAAGCCAUUACCGACCUUAGCUAAGACUGACUAGCUAAUACAGAAGCAACCAAGGGGUUAAUGGCCUACCAACGAGGUCUUAACCGGGACCUAAGCCACAUAGACUUACUCAUUCUCCAUGAUCUCCUGUUGCUCGCCAACUCUCCUGAUGACUAACAGAUUAGCUAGUGAGAUUUAUGCUAAGCCGUUGCCGCAUACAACGGUCGAGCUAGUAGAGAAAAUUUUUCAACAAGGUCGACCUCUCAACACCACAUAACCUAUGCAAAAAGUAAAGAUGCAACGCCACGGUGGCUGAAAGGCAGCUUGGCCAACUUGCCAACGAAUGCAUCCACAAUCCUCAAUAAAAUAUUCAAGAGACAAGUCAAAUAGCUUGCUCAGUUGGAACAAUUGAGUUGAGUAGGCCUAUGAACUUAUCAAUAACAGACUACUUCAACUUCUAACUCACCCAUAUCUUCUUCAUAAAAUCUAAGAAUAUAUAAUAUCUCACCAUAACUACGGGCGGUGGGUCGUACUGCAACCUUUCCAUAAAAUGGUAGCAAUAUGUGCCUAUAAUGCAACGGACUAAAUGCGUUGCAAUAUGUGUGGUUUGUCACAUAUUGUCACAAUUUCUUGCCAAACUUGACUAAAGUUAAUUAGUUCGUCAAAUUGUAUGCCACACUUUUGAUUUGCAUAGGAGAAUCUUGCGACACUAUUUUAGUCACUAAUAUGUGCGACUGAGCUAGUAGAAGAGGAAUCUUGCUAUAAUUUGUGGCUACAACCAAACAGAUUGUAUCAAAAUCAACUAACCUUAGUGUGGCAAGGUUUGUUUAAAACCAAAUAAGCCCUCCAACAUAAAUUCACAUCACAAGAUAAAAAUAUGUUACUUUGAAUAAAUAUAAAUAUGUUUUAAAUAAGAUAUUUUAUUUUAGUAUAAAUUCAUGUUUCACGCCAUAGAAAUGAUUUUGUAAAAAAAUUAUGUUUUGGUACUAGCAAUUUGGAUAAAACAAUGGCAAUAUUUUGUUCAUGUUAGUAUUAGAAAGUAGCCGUGCUAUUUGCGCGGGCCAUCUGCUAGUAAAAUAGAACCGUACAGUCAGUUGAUGCAACCAUAAUGAAGGCGGAACCAGCCGUGGAACGUGAACAAAUGCACCUAAUCCUUGCCGCCUUGAUCGGUCUGAAAGUUACGUGACGGCACUGUCGUUAACUGCGGCGUCCUUCCGUAGCCCAAUCAGUUAUACCAGAUCGAUUGGCGGUUGCAGAGGAAAAAAAGGCUUGGGAUCCAGGCCAAGCGAUGCUGGUGGUUAGGUGGUCGGCGUCGCGGGACGCCUAGCUGGCUGACUCCGAGGCUUACGAUGAUUGCCAGCACCGAAACGGAUCCAUCGACGAUCGAUUGCGUUCUAGCAAGGGAAACCGUGAUGUCGCCAUUAGGUGGUGGGGGCUUAAACCUCGACUUCGUAGAGGUCUCUGGAGUGGAUUACCUGACGUCUCAGAAUUAUGGCAAGGCGGGGCACCUGCCAUUUCUUCCUGAGUUUACGCUGUGUCCCUGUCCUUGCUGGUGCUGUCUUUGGUUUGUUAGUUUCAGUGGGACUCUGUCUCGGAGAGGGAGAGGCAGAAUGUCAUGAGUUUGUGCAGACUACUUUUUUAAUUGCUAUAUUCCGUUAAUGUGCUUGCUGCGCAGUAGAGAAAGUAGAGGGAAAAUGGGAAAUGGUAUGUAGGAAUAGCAGCAGUGGCUAAUCAAUGCUUAACCACCCUUCUUUAACAUAGCGCGAGUUAUCUGGGACUAGCCAGUUAACAUUUAGCACCCCAAAGUGCAAGCACAUUAGUAAACUACUACCCAUCUCUUGAACUAAUUUAUUUGUCCUAAACAUUAGUUAAGAAUAGAGUAUGCCCUAAUAACUGCUUAAGUACGUAAUUAGUCAUGCAACCCUUUUAUAUGGGUUCAUUAAAAAUUAUAAAAGCAAACAUCGUAUUAUAUUAUUGUAGUAUCGAGAAGUAGCAGGAAACUAAAAGGUGCUUCACCUGGCAGUAGUUUUAAACUUCCUUAGCAACGCCUAUGUUUCCCAUUGCACUCAAACGCAGACGACGGAAAAUGGUCCGCCUUUGACAGCCCAGACAGGCCCAAUACGGACCGCUUCCGUCUUCAACUCUGAUUCUUGCCCUUCAAAUCCUGAGGGGAUUUUUUCCCUCCUGCGCUGAGUUCACUUUUUUUUUUUACUGCCACGCCAACUGCCAAGUUAACAAAAAAGCUGAGCGCCGUCUCACGUUCCGUAAUCCGCGACGAUCAAAUGUGAUCGAAGAUAUAGGGAGAUCGAAGAUAUAAUUUUUUUUUGGAACUAACAAAGGAGCCCAUAAUACUUGUCGAAGAAGCGCGCACAUCAGUGGAACUUUUGAAUGGAAAUCAGAUCAUGGACGAACACAGUAUCACGAUGUAUAUUGUUCGGCGGCGGCCUAGCAGUAGCACCACUGGAGCCUGCACCGGCCGCCGCCUCUCGGUGUCCGGUCUCCACGACUGCCGCGCAGCCUCCUCCGUCCCCCCUGCUCUGGACGGCGCGGGUCAGCGCACCACAGAGCCUCGCCGUCGCGCCGCGGGCGGGCACACGCAAGCCGACGACGACGCCGAGACCGCGUCCGCGUGCAGCCGGGCCCUGGACCCUGGUAGGUGGGUAGCACGGCCAUCUCCAGUCCGCCGGCCGCGCCGCCCUCGCCCAUCACCAGGUGACGCGCUGAGCUCGCACGCCAUGAGCCUAUGACCCGGCGAAUGGACGACGUGGCGGUUGUGCCCAGCUCCCGGACGCGCAUCGCCAUUGCCUUUUUUAACUCGAGCUGCCGCCGAGCAGCUAGAGAUCGAUCUCGAUGCAAGUGGCAGGAGUGCAUUCGAUCCGCAGCAUGGUCCUGGUGCGCGCACAUAUGUGUCUCUGCCCGUGGGCCCAACCGGACGGCCGAAGUCAAAGUCCCAAUGCCCAGACAGCUCCGCCAGAAAGCCAGAACACAAACAUGUCAGACAUGACGCGAUUCCCCUUGAAUCGAUCAGGAUUCAGGUCAGCCACUUGGGGAAAACCAGGCAGCCGCUUGCUGCCGGCGCGCCGCUUGGUUGUCGUCGGAAGAGGCAGCACAGCAGCAUCACCAUGGCACACGCACUGCCAAUAUACCAUACCGACCGCACAGGGAUAUACUACAAUAGGUGCAUUCGGCACAGCGUGCACAACGUUUCAGCAUCUACAUUUUUUUUGUCACUUGCCAUCGCUGAAGUUUUAGGAGAUGAGCACUCAAGCUGCCGUGGGUUCAGAGCAGGUUUGAGAUGAGGCGCCGCUUCAGGGUCCUGGAGGUGGACUGGUACGAUCGGACCAGGAGCCCGGCACCGAUGCCGACGCCUAGGCAGAUGCCCAGGCCGAUGCCGACGCCGACCCUCACCCCAGCGGUGAACCAUGACAUCUCGCUGUACUCCUCGUCGUCGUCAAGCCCUGCUGAUUUCAGGUAGAGGCUGUCCUCGUCGUCCGCGUCUGGGUCGGGCUUGUAGCACCUGUACUCCGAUUCCUGCACGCGACACGCAGAAGCGGUUCAGGUGUUUCAGUUCAGAGUGGAUACGGAAAUAAACUUCUCUGAAUCCAAAGAAUGACGAACGGAAUGAAGGCAAUGUGAUCAGGAUUCAGAUUGUACAAAGCAAUACUAAUCGGCAGACAAAGAUUGGGUCUUCUGUGAUCAGAAUCUGUCAAUCAGAUAACUACGCACCUGUGGUCCAUGCUUCGGAGGCGUUUCUUUCAUGUCUUCCGCCUGCUCGCCGCACUCCGGGAUCGGGUCCAUGAACGCCUUCACCUGGCGCCGCCUCCUGAACCGCAGCUGCAUGGCCUUCGUGAACACGGUCGGCGUGCCCCGGGACACGCCGGCCACGUACACCUCCACCGCCGGCGGCUUCGCCUCCCUCCCACCACCGCCGCACCUCAGGAACCCCGACCCGCGCUGCGUCGCGACCUGGCACUUCAUCACCCAGCUCUUCUUCCCCUCCGCAUCGCACAUCUCCAGGAUCCCGACCAGGAGCCGCUCGUCCUUGCUUUGGACCUCGAACCGCACGCUGCCGGACAUCCUGACGGACGCCGUGCUAACGAAGGUGGCCUCCUCCGACCUCGCGUCGACACGGUCGCGGCGGAGGGAGCACGUCACGGUGCUGCUGCCUUUGCCGCUGCUGACGCUUGGCUUCCGAUCGGCGCCGCUUACUUCCAGGUCGGUGUCAGGGGUGAGCGGGAUGUGAGUGAGGAUGAGGGUGUCAGCCAUGGACUCGUCGACCUCGCACCUGCUCACCCUCAGGUAGAAGAUUCGCAGGGUCAGGCAAGACGACGGCUCCGGCAUGGCCAUAGCAGCUUCCGGCUCGGGAAUUUCACCCAUGCUUCAGAGAGAAUUUCAGUCGCUGAGUUGUUCACAUGAGGCGAUAGGAUUAGAUUACAGUUUUGAACAAUCAGGAAUUGGGCAUCGCAGAGUAUUCCAUCUGCACAAAAAAAUAUUGCAGUAAUUAGAUUGGCAGGAUAUAUUAGUAUUACAGGCACUGAUCAGCGAUUAACUGUGGUACGUAAAUUGCGUCUCAACUUCAGGGGAUAAUGGAUGAACAUAUCUACAAAUUCGCAGGGAAACUGUCGGGAAAUUCACAUAUUACAGAUGAAACUCUAGCUAAACCUUGAGGUCGUCUGUGCAGAUUAAAGAUUUUUUCAGCCUUCUAACAUGGGGCAUGAAAGAAGACGAAGAUGAAAUCAAACUUGCCCUCAAUAUUAGGAUCGGUGCCUCUAAUUCCGGAUGAUUUCAUACAGAAACCAGUGGAACAGUGAACUCUACAUCCACAACUGCAUAGACAACAAGCUCCCAGAAGAACAAAGAACAAGAAACGGAUUUCCGAUUGUGUGACAGAACUGUAACCACAGCCGCAGCCACAACUAAAUGAUGAUACCUCUGUCCAUAGUUUGAAAUAGGAGAAUUCAGCGGAGUAAAAGACCAGAGAGGGACAGAGUCAUCAACUGCUUACCGGAUUGAGCUCCGAAGUUGAGGGGAGCCUCCCUCCUUCAGUCCCUCUCGCGUCCAGUUCUUCAGUGUGAUGGUAGGGUACAGGCCUGGCAGAGAAUUUCUCUUCUACUACUUAUAUAUCCAAGGGAUUUUUUUUUGGGUGGAGUUGAGGACCCGGAAAUCCCUCAACUGACACCUCACACAAUGCACACCAGAGUCCAAAACCACUGCUUCAUGCAUGACAGCAUAAAGUCCCUCUAGCUACCUAGGAGAAAAAUAUAGAAAAGCCCAUGAGGAGAAAGAGAGCAUUCUCCCGUUCCCAAUUUCCCACCUCAUAAUAAAGAAGCGAAUAAAUUGUCAAACGUAACUGAUUAUCAAAUUUUUAAUGUGGAUUUAAUUCAUACUAAUGUUGUAUAUUGCAAGCCUUUUAAAUGGGAAAAAAAACGAACGCGUCAUAUUCUCCUGAGAUUCAAAAUUUCAGCUGGAUGUGUUGUUGUUUUAGAUGUCUCAGAAGACUGCCGUCAGCAGUCAUCCACGCAACACGCACACAAAAGAAAUAGGACCGGUGAAUUUAGGUGGUUGGGCAGCAAAGAGUAUCCACUGCCUCCUUGUGACCAAGAUCUCAAACUAGGUAGUGGCAGUCCCACUAGUCCACAUCAAAUAUUGCCCACCACAAAGAAUUUGUGACGGAAAAUUAUGCUCGCGAAUUUCCACGACCAAGAUUCAACAAGUCAAAAUCAAACUUGUUAAAAUCUGCCGGGGAUAGGAUGAAGGCCUAUUGUUUUCCAUAAGAUCGGAGCCAAUCUUGACAGCUUCCACAAAAAUAAAGCAUGACUUUGUUAUCAAGAAGUUUGCCUAACAUAUAGAUUGGCAACAAAAAAAUGUGAAAGAUCUUUUCGCGGUCAUCUUUUGUUGGAGAUAUAUGGGCUUGCUUGGUUCCAGCCUGGGUGGAGCCAGGCAGCUCGAUCCAGCCCCAGGCGCUCGAAAUCGAACGCCUGAAAUCGCUGCCUGGUUCAGGCAGGUUUGCCAGGACCUCAACCAAAGAAGCCCAUAGAGCCUCGCUUGCAUAUAUGUUGGGUUCUUUGGGAUUUUAUUCGUGGAUUUGCCGCACUACAUUGUUGAAACGCAUCAUAUCUAAAAGUGAAAUAAAUAUAAAUAUUCUGUCAAGCAUACUUACAGUCUAAAAUUGUUACUAAACUGAUACAAACAACUUGGGACUAAAAUUAUUUAUCCAGCAAACUGAGAGUCCAAAACUGCUUCUAAAUCAUUACAAGGAUCAAAUAGACAUAAUUGAUCCAAACAAUUUAAAAUAAAUCAUUUUACCGGGCACACCGUGAAUCUAAAAAUGCUACUAAAUUGAUAUCAACAUUUUGUAAUAUUGAAACGAACUUAAAGAAUAAACACGUCCAACUACUAGUAAAACAAAACAAAAAUUAAUAAAAAAGAAACAAAAUUGCUAACAAUACUGACGCGCCAGGUAGGGGUCGAACCUACGACCUUCUGCUUAGGAAACAGACGCUCUAUCCACUGAGCUACAAGCGCUUGCGAUGAUAAUUUUUUCAUUAUAUCCUUGAUAGUCUAGUUUUCUAUGAUCCGCAAUUACCCGUCGGUUUCCUCUGCUGACUAGCGCUCGCGAUCUGAUCGUUACUCUUCCAGGUACAGCCGCCGCCGCCUCGUCGUCGCCGGCCAUGAUUCAGGCGGUGAUGGUGAUCAGCACCCAGGCCAAGCCCCGCCUCCUCAAGUUCUACAAUUUCCAGGUUCCGAGCCUCUCUUCUCUACAGUCAAACACUACUCCCCUCUCUUUCUUCACCAGCCGACAACUGCUCGGUCAAUUUCCUCACCGAGAUCAGGCACUGCUUCAUUCACGGAUCCUUUCGUGCUCAGUUGAUUACUUUAGUGAAUCGAAUCUUUCCUUACCUUAAUUCGUUUCCUCUUCCGGCUCAUGGUUGCAGCCACCGGAGAAGCAUCAGGACCUCGUCCGCGGUGUCUUCCAAUGUACGUACGGUUCGCUUCCCCGAUUCUUCCCCAAAUUUGUAUGGAUGCUAUUUUUGAGCUUUGGAGUCUCUUGUUGCAGUACUCUCAGCAAGGCCUGAUAGUGUGAGCAAUUUCGUCGAGGUCGAUGCAAUCUUUGGCCCGGUAAUGACCAAUAUAGGAGUAAAUCUUAUGCAAAUGCUAGCGAUGGAUAUAAAUAAUUAGGUUUUAAUUGAUCGGAAGCCAAUUGUUUUCCUUGGCUUUAAAUAUACAGAUCGGUAUCACAGUCAUCUGUAUGUAAUCUAAACUGUGCUAACUGCUCAGUGGGUAUGCAGAUGUUGUAAAGUAAGUUUUCCAUACUAGGUUUAGGAUUUUUGUCCGAAGAUCCCAUCUAGGUUAAAUUUUCUCAUAUUAUCGACAUCAAGUUGGUGAAGGUCAGAAAGGUUGAUUCUAUUCUUUGCGAGUUUCAGGGAACAAAAAUGGUGUACAAGCAUUUGGCUACACUGUACUUUGUUUUUGUCUUUGAUAGCUCUGAGAAUGAACUCGCCAUGCUCGAUCUCGUACAAGGUAACGUGGCUUAUUGAUGCUAUUUUUUUAGUUUCAGUUACUAGAAUUGACACUUGGACAGGUAAUGUGUUAUUGCCUAAUAAAAGAGGAAGGCAUUCUCAUUUGCAUAAGGAAACAAAUCAUAUUCAGUGUGUUAUCAUGAUAUUCAUCGGUUUGACUUGUCUUAGUACAUAAUCAUUAACUAUCUACUAUGCUUGUUCCAGUAUUCAAACAUCCUUUCUUGUAAUUUUCUAUUCUGUAUUUGCAAUGCAAUCUUUUUCUGUUGAUAAGUACCUGUGAUUGUGAUGUAACUAGAGUGGCACGUUCUCAACAUUCUUCUCUGUCCAUCAAUUAUGUCUAGCUGCUAGAAAGUUCAUCUUGUAUCUCAGUGUCACAUGGUAGCUAUACUUAGGGGGGGGGGUGCUGCAACACCCCUUCAGCCCAUGAAAAAUCAUGCAAAUUUAGCCUAGUAGUCUUAAAGUUAGUACAAGUUUAACAGCUUUUAAAAUGUAAAGUUAGCCCAAUUAUAAGAGAACCAGCGCUCCCUUUGGGCUAACCAUUGCUUUGCCCCUGCUGUCAUGAAAGAUUUCUUUUGUCUAACUUCAACAAGGAGAUUAAUUACUCUACAUGACCUUUGUUUUGUUCACAGUUUUUGUUGAAACGUUGGACAGAUGCUUCAAGAAUGUAUGCGAGCUUGACAUUGUAUUUAACUUCAACAAGGUGCCAUAAAUCCUGUUGAUUUGAUCCUUUAUUCUAGAUAGUUCGCCUAUAAAGGAUGCAUGGUUGUAUUCCUGCUGAAGGUUCCAUUUACCAUCGAUCCUUCAUUUGCAUAUUGCAUGCCAUUGGGCAGCCAAGGUGGAAUGCAUAAGUGAUAAUCCAUCAAAACUUUUCAAGAUUAACUGGGUUAUCUCUAUUAAAUUAGCCUUUUGAUGCACAAGUCAUCCACAGUGCAAAUCCAAAAAUCUCAGUAUAGUAAUGCCUGAUUCCAAUAAUAUCUGUUAUGCAGAAUAGCUACACUAUUUGCUACCCAUCUAGUUAUCGUAAUUGUAAUUACACGAUCAUUAUCUGACUUGAAGCAUGUGGUAUUAAGUCAGUCUAGUGGCCACAGAAGUUCGGCAAUACCUGGACACCUUAAAUACGAAGAGGUAACUUUUGCAUCAGUACUUCAGAAAAUACAGAUAGGUUUCAAAUGGCUGGUUUUCUCUUAGUACAUGCCAGGAGUAUGGAUGACAAUGGCCUGAAAGAAGAAUAGCACUAGACAAGGAGGGCAUCUGUAAGGGAGAGGCCUUGGUUAGGCAGAGGAAUAGACUUGAGAUGCACAGGGAAACUUUUUUGUUCCAUUGCUUUCGUGGUUCUAAAUUGCACACAUCUUUAUGUAGAGGGCAAUCAGAAACCUAUAAGAUCAGCUUACAAUAGACAGAAACAAUCUAACCAUGGAGUUGAAUCUGUAUUUAAGUAAUAAAUUCAAAACUAGGAAACCUGCUGCCUACCGAUUAUGACUGCUGUCUUUCCCCUUAAUUUGCCACCUUUCAGUUGCGCAGAACUUGAAAAAAGAAAUAUAAUGGGCCAGGUUAGUGGAGCAUAAUUUCAGGCCUUCACAAGAGGAGGAAAUAUAAUUUUGUUUGUACGCUGAUAUUGGUAGUUAAUCCUUAGUACAAAAGGAGCGCUACGCCAAAAUUCGUCUCCUUAGCACUGGACCCAUGGAUGUAUAUGGUGCUGGUUUUCCUUUGUUUCCCGCAUUCUGCACUCUGCAGUGCCCAAAAUGAAUGAUACUUUGACUUGUAUGUAUAGAAAUGCUCAAUUGUAAGACAAAAUACCUAAUAAUUCAUUUCAUCGGCCUUGCAUUUCUUCUAGUUCCUUUCAUAUUGAUGUCUUGUACUACUUACACCCGUUCUUCUUUGGCUCAUACUAAUAUCUGAUGAUGCAGCUGCACACAAUUUUGGAUGAGAUGAUUCUUGGGGGACAGGUAAUCGAAACAAGUUCUGAGCAAAUAAUGAAGUCUGUGGAAGAGAUUGCAAGGUUCUACCCUUUGCCUCACCGCUCCAUAUAUACGUGCACUCUUAAUUAGUCUAAUUAUGACAGCAUUGUCCAUUACUUGACGCAGGCUGGAGAAACAAUCUAGCACAACCAGCCUCAUACCCAAGUCGAUUUCAGAACGUUUCAGCCGUUAAGCUUUCACUCGCUUCCAGGUCUGAACAUUUACUGUGUGAGCAGAACUGCAAAAGACAUUCGAUUGGCACUCAAGAUUACCUUCAGUUUGCUGCAGUUCUCUAAAGACCUGAUUGUCUGGACAUUUGUACUGUCAUCGAGUCAUUGUAGACGGGCCGAGCUGUAUGCCUGUAGCCUGAAUGGCAUGUUCAGUCUAAUACUAUCUUCUUACACUGAUUGUCUGAAUGUGCUUUCUGAGCUUCAGACAUCAUGCCUGUAGCAAUAUAGAGAGUUAGCUGGUUUCUCACUUGCCUCAUGAUUUCAGCUGUAUGAGCUCAGGUCGAUGUGAAAUUUUUGGACGAGAUGUUGGCCACUCAUAGAUGUAAAUCUGCCUUGUGCUUCAUUUUAUUUCUUGUUUCCUCUGUGGUAAUAUGACAGUUGUCUGAAUUUUGAUCAAUGUAAAUCCAUCAGCGUUCUUAAUUAAGAAAGGAGGACCGAUUAGCUGCUGUAAGUGUAAAUCUAACUCAAUAAUCAGCCAUAAUUCUUAUAUGCCAAUAUAAAGAGAAACCGUGCAAUCUGAUCCCUAGCCAUAAUUCUUAUAUCCCAAUUACGUGCAAAUGGAAAUUCCCUAGCCAUCUGAUCCAUUGCAUCCAACGGCUGAUAUUUUAUUCAUGUCCGUCCACAAUAAUCAAUAAUAACGUGUCCUAAACGUGUAUAUUCGAAUUUCAGUUACUAGGUUAGACAUAUAUGGUCACAACUCGCAAGCAUAUUUCUCUUGUUCACCAUUUACAGCAGAACUGGAUCGAGGCUUCCAGCCGGCACUUCCCGAUCCCCAUGAGCGUUCCCAAGCCGCGGCCGCCGACGGCGGCGGAGGUGGUGGGCCGGCUCAAGGACGACGGCGACUUCGACGCCCUUCGCCGCGCCAUCGUUCGGAAGGUCAAAGACAACGUAAGCUUCCCCUCAAACGCCCGAUCCCCCAAAUCCUUUACCCUAAGGUUUUGCGGUUUCGUUGUUCCUAGUCCCUAAUCCUGCGCGGUGGAACUUUGAUGCGUGUAUGCCACUACAUUUCACUGAAUUCUCCGGUGGAUCACUCAUCGCCGUUACUUGAUUCGCUGCUGUGUUGUUUGCUUGUAAGAGAUUGGGAUGGGUGGUCCGGAGAUUAGGGUUUCGUCCGUUUGGUCCCCUGUAGACCUACAGCGAUUACGAGACUCUGUAGGGAUCAUUUUAGAUCGAGCCCUGGUCCAGGCUGGAAUGGAUGCUGUGGAGAAUUUCUACAGAAGUCUGGUGAGAUUGAAAGUUUUGGCUAGUGGGUUUAGUAUGGCAGGAAGCAUUUUCAGGGGUACUUGAGUUAGACAUAGAUCCUUUUGCAUCACGUCUUGUUUGGGUGAACCGUAGUGUGAGUUCUGGUGUUAGUUUCUUGGAUAGGAAGGUUGUUUCUGUGGGAAAAUUGAAGGUUCAAUCACGAGAGGAUCUUCACAUGCAUAUGCAUUUUUUUCCCUUAGCUGUGUUUCAAUACCUUAGGUAUGUGAAAUUUGGCGCGCAAGAAAGGCAAACAUGCUUUGUGCCAAGCCACCAUAAGACCGAUGUUUUCCUUUUUGUCGUAUUAGCAUUGUGGAAACAUUUCAGCCUGCCACUCCAACACGUGCGGUGGUUUUGCGAUGCAGCAUUAAUUAUGACUAUAAAUGGAGUGGAUAUUUGAAUAAUCCGUUGCUAGCGAGUGCCAUGCCAAAGAUGGUUACAAUUGAUUGGAGCUAGUGAUGAGUAACGGUUAAAUAUUUUUAUGAGCUUUUCACAUUGAGCUGAUGGUCUUGACUCUUGACAUUCUGGCUUGACCUUGUCGGGCUGCUGCAAUGUGGUUGAGUAGAGAUAAAUACUCAAAUCAGUAGCCUCAGUAAUCCAUGUGUCAUGUAACUGCAUUGCCAAUGCUGGAGGGCACCAAUUGUUCUGAGUCAUAUGUCAGAGCUCUUGCCCUUGGGGGAAUAUUCGAUACACCUCUGGUGAUGUUGCAUAAUUAGCAUUACCCGCUCAUCUAUUGAUAUAUAAAUGUGAGAGACAGUAAUCUGUAUAUUGUUUUCUCAUAAACACAUGUUGUCAGCAUGAUUUGCUUUAUUAUUUAUGAUUCGCUUCUGGCCAGCCAGGGUUUUGUGCUCCCCUGCCUUAGAACAAAGCCAGGGAAGCGGGAGGCGUCUCUCUUGCCUUGGCCAAGUUUUGUUUAUUAUUAUUCAUGAGCUGUGCUGAUUACCAAUUACUCAAUUUCAUUUUAAAUUUUGUUCCAGUGUUACAAUCUAUCUGAUGAAAAUGCCCUCUUCAUAGUGACUUUAUUUAUGCAAGCUUCACCAUAGAAGUUCUCUUGUAUUAGAAGCAUGGACUGUCUUUCUUUCUUUUCUUUUUUGAGGCCCGAAGGGUAUAUUACUGAGUUCGCUACGUAUAGUCAUUUUGACCAUGUUAUUAAUGCGCAUCUGAUAGAUUUCCUGUGAUCACACCUUAAUUACAGUUCUUGUAUUGUAUCACUUGUCUCUUGGGCAAUUUGAAAUAUGCUUGACAAUCUGUUUCACCAUGCUAGAUGGGUGUAUAACCUCUUGCAUGGUCAGCAUCUUGUUCAGUAGAUGUAGAUUGAAAACUGCAAUGCAGUAACAUAUCGUUGUUCAUCAGAUCUGGUAUUAACGAUGUAUACUAAUAUAAGUUGAUGGCAUGCUAUCUUUCUUUGCAGGAGGUGCUACGCAACCAAAUCAUCUCAGAGGUAAAACAGUCAGUGGUACUACAAGAAGAUGGAUCUGAGAAGUUAAAAUUAAAAGACCUUUCUGAUGCAAUUUAUAAAGAUAUUGGGUAAGUUGAGCCACAUCUUUGUAAAAGCUUUCAAAUGUUAUCACUUCUUAAAUGUCCACAAUAUAUAUUGAUUACUAACUCAACUUGUUGCUACACUGCUCUUCCAUAUCAGGAGAAAAGUUAUGGGUCAAAUAUCAGAUGAGGUAUGGAAUGUCAUUCAAUCCAAUGAAACUGAUAUAAGGGGAACCGUAGAAGCUGUCUACAACAGGAUACUGAACCCUGAAAAGGCCCCUGAGCCUUCUUCCAAGAAGCUGAAGACGAAAGGCAAAGAGCAACAAGUUUCGCCAGCGAAAACACCAACACCAACCACUGUUGCAGGCGAAGCGGAAGAUGAUGAUCUGUCGGAACCUCCAGGUUUUGGUUUCAGAGAUAAUCAGCGCAAUAACAUUGCAGCAGCAGCGCAGAAACAGCAGUCACCGCCAAAUUUGGAAAAUCAUAAUGAAGGGAAGCCAAAUGGAGGUGAACCUGUUGCUGUGGGAGGCCCAGCAGGUGAUGAUGAUGAUGAUGAUGAUGGUCCUCAGGUGCCCCCUGGAUUCGGCUAAUGCAGCUUGCAAGCUUAAAUGACAGUGCAGUUGUUUCUUGUUGUCAGCAAUGUACAAGAAGGGAAAUGCCUUUUAGUUCCUGUUGACAAGAAGAGACAGACUGUUCGCUUCAGCUUAUCAGCCGGCUUAUCAGCCACCAAACAGUAUUUUUCUCUCACAACAAAUCAGUCGUUUCAGCCGGCUUAUAAGUCCAGCCGAACAGGCCAAGAAAUGCUUUAGCUUGUGUUUGCGGCUCGAGAGGUGAGCAGUUGAAAUGAAUCUUGAGUCCUGAAACCUGUGUUAUGGUGGUAAGUCUGUGCGGCCCUGGGAUAAAUGUUGGCAGAUAUGUUGGUGGUUGACAAAGUUUCCAUUCUGUGCGCGGUUUCAAUGUUUCAGUUCGCGCGCUUCUUUCUUCUUGAGUUAAAUAUGAUAGUUGUUUGCUUCCUGUACAUAUAUUCCAAAGCGGAGAGCCCAUGGCAAUAUUCCAAAGCGGAGAGCCCAUGUGCCAUGGGAUGCCGUUGCGGCCCAUGGGCUAAUUUCGGGCGACUCCAAACAAAUUGUAUAUAUAUGUUCUUCAGAAUUCCCAUGCUAUACAUGCAAAUUCAUCUAGAUUCACAUAAGUCGCUAAUGGCUAUAUUAUUCGACGUUUGCCAAUUCCAUACAAGGUUGUCCAGUUUUGAAUUUUUCUCUCUCUCUGAAGUUCAUGGUUCGAGCAUUUGAAUUCGGGACCACGUCCAUGAAGUAAACAAACAAGUUUUCAUGAUGGAUUUGAAUUGAAUCGUCUUUCUUUCGGGUAGUACAAAAAACAUUGCGGUAUCAGAGCAACAAUACCGUGCCAGAGCCAGACUGGCCAAACAAAACAAGCACCGUACACACCUAGCAUUCAGCUCUGCAUCACCCACAUCAGCGACUCAAAAGCUCAUUCUGUCAGAAACUCUUCACCUGAGCUCAGAGCUCGUCGUGACACCGGGGCAGGCGCUCCAACACGAAUCAUCGCACAGCUGCAGCCGGACACGAACGCAUCAUUGAUCCUAGAGCCCUAGCGCCACCGCCAAGCCUGCCGCGACGACGACAAGCAGCCGGUACAUCCAUCUCGAGUCUCCUGUGCGUGACGUGCCUCGCGUCGUAGGCAUAGGCUUCGAGCGAGCCCUAGCCGCGCCGAUUGGAAGCUGGCCAUUGGCGGCGCGUGAGCUCUCGAGCAUAGCUCGGAACCAGGGGCACGCUACGCCGGAGCCGCGGUGCUAGGCGCUAAUGCUGCUUUGCUCUCUUCUUUCUGUGCACCACUGGGAACUGGCUAGCUGUUCCAGCCUCCACUCUCCAGUGCCUGGAUUAUUCCUCCUGUUCCCGUCAGAAUUGCCUGCACUAUAGACUAGGGUUUAUUCCGUCACCAAGGACGUCAGUCACGGCAUUUUUAUUAUUAUUAUAUGGUGUAGUGACAUUCUAUAUCAAAGUGAGUGACCGCCACUCGCUCUUGUCCUAGCUUUUUCUCCGCUCUUCUUUCUACUUGAACGCUGUCUUCCCUUCAGGCUUCAGCAGCAGCUAAUUUUUGCUCGACGUGACUGGAAGAAUGGAGCCACCUUUCGUUUUCUUUCACGUCGAUCAAUGCUGUCGCGUAGGGCACUAAUCGUAGCGACAUGAUGCUGUGCUGGAGAAGUUGUAGCUGAUGAUGUGCUAGCUAACAUAUAUGACUAGUCCUUCCGAAUGAACGGCAUAGGAUUCACCUGUCUGGAUAGCAGUAUGGUAUAGGUACCGAGUCUGUAAGCAAUUUCAUUACUACAAGUAGAAUUUUAUGAUGUACGUUUGUACUUGCCUGGAUGAGAAAUUGGGAAUGAUGGAUUCAGAGUAGAUCCCAUCAUGAACCCCGGAGAAGUCAUUCUCAUCAGGUGGCUGCCAAUCUUGUAACGUCUUGCUGUGUCACAUGAACAUGACCGACUGGCUCGUUUUGAGGCCCUCGUCAACCUGUAAAUUAUACCUCGUUGCGUAUCCUUGCAAGCGACGGGGACAUGAAUUGCGUGCAGCAAGAAAAAGACACUCAUGAGUCAUGACCUGGACCAAGCAGGACUGUAUCUGUAUGCACCUCUGAAUGACCUGCAUCUGGAUUCAUGUGUGGGACUUGGAACGAAACAGGCGAUGCGUGAUCGAUCGGUCGUGCUCAAUCAAAGACUUCUCUUGGACCAAGAAAUGCUCGGAAUAUCGAUCGAUUGUCUCGGAGAAGGAUGAUUUCGACGUCAGAAAAAACACGACAGCAUUCAGAAUUUGGGAUGAUGAAGCUUCGAAAGGAAUCUGCGCUCGUAUCUAAAGGGAGGGGUGAAUUAAGCAACUUAAAAUAUUAACAUAUGACUUUCACUAGUUUUGCAUCAAACUUAAACUAGAUCAUGCUAUCAAGAUGUGCAACUAUGACUGAUCUAGUGUGAAACCCUCAUCAAGAACAAGUUUUGUAACCUAGAGCCAAUCCUAGCAAGAUACUGCACAAAGAAAGUAAAUGCACACAAGUUGCAGGUAUAAAAUAUGGAAACAUAAGAGGUAAGGAUGAGGAGAAGCAAGCUCUUACUACUAGAAAAAGCAGCUCUAGGACCGGUUGGGAACCCCCUCUAGUACCGGUUGUGCAACUAGUACUAGCAAAUCGGUAGAGGGGGGUCAUCUAGUACUAGUUUAAGGGUAUUAAAAAAUUAAAAAAAGCAAAUCCCCCACGGCCGGCCCCGCCACCCCCACCGCCGGCCUCCUCCGUCGGCCACGCCUCACUCCCUCGCCUGCUCCUUAGCCUUCGCCCUACCACCCACCCACCUGCUCCUCCGCCUCUGCCCCUCCCCGCCACCCUCCGCCGCAUCCAGCACCUGCCGCUCCUGGCCCCCUCUGCCGCCCUCCACAGCCCGCCCCUCCCCGCCGGCCCCCACUGCCGCCGCUCCUGCCAGGUCCUCGCCCCCGCCCCCACCGCCCCCUGCACACAGGCACAACAGCACAACCACACAAGAAAUCUCCGCCCUCCGCCAUCCCUCCACCGCCAUCCUGUCGUCCUCCGAAUCUCACGCCGAGCCCGCUGCAGCCGCCGUUGCUCCACCGUCACCGCCGCUCCCGGAUCUCGCCCCAAUGGCCGCUGCCGCCACGCCUCGCCCCGCCACCGCUCCUCGCCUCAAGCACGAGGUGAGGGGCAAGCAGAGGGAGAAGGAGAGGGGAGGUCGGGGAGGGAGAGCUCGAGGGAGGGAGGAGGAGGAGGAGGAGGGAGAGGGAGAGCUCGAGGGAGGGAGGGGGGCGGUGGAGGGGAGGGAUAGGGAGAGCUUGAGGAAGAGAGAGAGGGCCAGUGGAGGGAGCUGAGGGAGGUGAGAGGAGAAGGAGGCGAGGAGAAGGAUCGGAAUGCGAGGAGGAGUGUUAAGGGAGCCAGCGGAGGGACGAAGAGGAUAAGGUAGCGGAGGGGGGAGAAAAGGUGGAGGGAGGUGCGAGGACGGAGGGAAAAAAUCUAAAUGUUGGUGGGGGAACCCUCUAGUACCGGAUGGGGGUUCCAACUAGUACUAGAGGUCACCCUCUAGUACCGAUUGGAACCUCCACCUGGUACUAGAGGGCCGUGGUAUCCCAAACUUAGAUCCGGUACUAGAUAUAACAUUGUACCGGGUCCAAAAGUAACCGGUACUAAGUCUUGGGAUGAGAGCUCAUUUUUCUAGUAGUGUCUUGACACGAUUUAUCCCAUGGUAUCGGUGGUACUAAGCCACCACUAGUCCACGUUGUUGAAGCACUCACACAACUUCUCGGUCACCAAGUCCCUUCCGGGACACCCCUUGACUUGCCGCAAAGGCUUGGCCACUAAGUCUCACGCCAAGUUUUCCGGUCACCUUGGUACCGUCUUCACUAAAGAGCUUCUCACUAAGGAAGGGGGUCUCCACGUCCCACGCACACGGUCGUCGACAACGCUCCACACCAAGCCGGAGGAUCGAAGACUUGCCGGCGAGCCACGAAGGCUCCAAGGCGCCGGCACACCUUGUACAACUGUGGUUCACUCCUAAAAUCGAUCACAAGGCAAACACAGCUUGCACUCUCUCUUCUCUAGACCUAUCCUAGCACUAAUCACUCUUCUAAGCUUGUGCUAAGUCUUUAAUUAAUCACUUAUUCACUUUUGGUGGCUUGGAUGUAUUCUUAAUGACUCUUGAUCUCCAAUGGACUUCCGCACACUCCAUCAAACCUCAAAUGGUUGAGUAGAGGAGGUAUAAAUAGCCCAAAGCGUCAAAAAGUCGUUGCUCCAACGGCUAGUUAAAGUGUACCAUCGGAUGUUCUAAUGGUGUAUUUUUGGGUAGCAACGGAAUAUCCAGUGCAACUAGCUGUUGGCUCCCCCGCGCCCAAUUUCUUCAAAAAUUAAUCCGACGCUUCAUCCAAUGCCCCCAUCGGAUCAUCCGGUGCUGAUGGUUUUCUAGCCAAAACCUCUCUGGAACUUCGCAAAGUAAAUAUGCUUCGUCCGACGCCUCCAACUCCUGACCGUCGGAUCAUCCGGUGCUAUAGGUCCUUUUCUACCUUCUCCAAGAAUUUCUCCGACGCUUGUAAAAAUCAUGCCGUUGGAUCAUCCGGUGCUUCCUAGAACUUAAGUUGAUUUUCCAGUUGUACCAAUUGCUCCAACGCUUGCUCCGAUGGUUGCUCCGACGGACCAUCGGAUCAUUCGAUCGUUGCUCCGACGGACCAUCGGAUCAUUCGAUGAUACUGACUUUUAUGAAUUAAAUACCGCCACUUGCAUACCAAAAAUACCGUCAUUUUCUCUUUCAUUUGGUUGAUUGAAUACUGUAGAAUAAUCUUAGGUACCAUGGCUUGGUCACUUGAAUACCAUAGCUUGGACACUUGAAUACCAUGAUUUGGAUAUCAAGAAUACCAUGACUUGGACUUUGCCAUGGUUUGGUUUGUAUUCUUGGGACUUAGAAAACCUACAAGGUACAUGCUAGAUAAGGUAUUAAUCCCAAUAAUUAUAUUGUCACUCAAUCACCAAAAUCACAAACUAUAGUUUAAUGAGACCAUAUUCGCUACAAAGUUACAUAUUCAGGUUGUUUUCUUAAGCAAACAUAUGACCAAAGAUACAAAAUUUGUGGAUCGCAGUGAUGCCUGUGACCUAGGUAGCUAAUAUCUUUUGUCAAUUAGCUGCCGAUUUUGCGUUUGUAUGCACAUGAUAGAAUGCCCAAUCUUCUUUGUUCUCUCCUGCUGUCCUGCGCCUCCUGCAACCGGGAGAUUACAAAUUGUGAUCCAUGAAACGUCUAGCUCCAAUUUGUUUUAGCUUGCAAGCGACGCCUUUUCAUUUCUUUAUGCAUGAUGAAGCGUGACAGCACUGAAUUCAGUCAUUCACCGUUGCUGACUGCUGAGCCACAGAUUCAUAGUGAUCACAAGCAUUUAAAGAUGUCAUCCGAUCCGACAGGGAGGAAGAUGGUGACGCGAUGAUGUCGUCUGCAGGAAAUGUUGGAUCGCGAUCAUGCUGCACGCAUGUGCCUGCACAUAGUACAUCAUAGGCAAAAUACACAGGCCCAUCGGGGAGCGAAUAUAUCUGAAUAUAGUACACUGAUUAUUCUUCAGCUCGCGACGGCUACGAGGGGGCGCUACGGACUCAUGCUGUCCCUCUUGGAAUUAUUGGAUCCGGAAUCUGGAAACAGUGUGCGCGGCUUGGCAACUUUUUUCCUUUUGAACGCAGCAGUUCGACGGAUGCAAGAUGUAUAGUACAAGCAGUUCUAUUCUCCAGUCACUGAUGCAGCUCACUUUUCUGAACAAUUACAAUGUCCUCCCUCUCUGCUCCCGUGAGCGUGAAUACUCCCCCCAUCUCGGAAAGAAUAGAACUCUAGCAUUUGAAAUUUGUCUUAAAAAAAUGCACCUCCAACUAAAUGUGGGAUCCACUGAUGCAUAGAUGUAGAGGCACAUACUUCAUUUUAUAUGUUCAUUGAUCCGUACGAAGAAUGUUAGACUUGCAUCUUUUUUGGACGGUGGAGUAGAAGAGAACAACCUGAACCUAUGCAUUUCUGACUUUCUGCGCCCUAAUUUUCACGAGGAUGGAGAAUGGAAGCUAGGCAACCCUGUCUCCCAAUGCCAUGUGAGCCCCACUGGGAUGAGGCCGCACGCUCCAUCAUCCUCCGGUCAAAGUUCCUGGAGCGGGUACGUUGAUGUCGCCAUUAGUUUAAACCCUGAUGAAACAGGCACGACACAUGACCUGACAAAAAGUUGCCCGGCUGCUUAGGCCUAGCACAAAGGCUUGCCGUGAUUGGUGCAUUCUGAAGCCAUGGAAUGUCUGGCGUCCUUGUCGCCUCCAGACCCUCCAGGGCCAAACCACCAGCAAACCUCACAUCACCAGCUAAAAAAAGGUUGCCCCGGGCGCCCACUCCUUGCCUGCCGCUCAAGCAAGUGCGCAGGUUGACAGGCGAUUAGUUUAAUCAACGAGGUGAAGGAGUCAGUCAGGACUCAGGGCUCCUAAGCAAAGUGCAGGAAAUGAGGAUGGAGUGGCUGCAGGUAAACACGGGCAGAAAGCGAAGCUGAUAAUCUAGUGCUACAGCUGCCACUCGGACAUGACACGUAGGAUUGGUACGUCGGCUGGGCCCCGUGGAAUUGCGGUUGCCUGCAUCUGCAUCUGCGUGCGUGCAUGAUUGAGGCGCGCACAUGGAAGCAUCAGCGCGCAGGGGCGCAGGCGCAGCGCUCAUGCUCAUCAGUCACCAGUUCACACCAGAGGGAAGAAAUUUGCCAGCCACAGGCACUGCCUGCACUCUGCUAUAGUGAUGGCGAUGUUCAGAGGCAGCUGCUGCUUGCUGCUCUCAUUUCCGGGUACGCUUGCGCUGUACCGCCUCUCCAUCCUUAUUUUUCUGAUAACUUUCUCCAUCUUUAUUGUUCACGCCAUGCCAUCGCCAUGCUCCCUCCGCUGCGCUCGUAUCUGCCCAUGGCACAGUCGCGAUCCUGGGUCGGAGCCUGUGGCAGCGGGUGCCUGAUUUUCACGAGUAAUUUGGAGGCUACCACACGGCCGCUUUUGGGGGUCGGUGAGGCCUCUCCUCUCGUUUUGGAAUUUCUUGGCGGUUGCAGUCUUGCAGAUUGCAGAGAGCCCUGCAGAUUCUUUUGUUUUUUAAAAAAACUGGCAGUGCAGGCUUUGUUAUGCAGCGCGAAAGCGAAAGGUUCGUGCGGGGCACGUGUGUCCGUGUGGGCUUUGUGCCCGUCAGUAGUAGUGACAGGGAGAAGAGGAUAAGAGCGAGGUUUUAAAGGGGACAUUUCUUGGUAGGAAUGGCGGAGUUCACUAGUUAAUUGAGAUUCAGUAUUCAGAGAAGAUACAGCAGUGGAUUCGGAGCCUGCCUGCACGGAAAGUCUGAAGCGAUGCGUUUGGGGAGUGUAUUGCUAUGGCACGCACAUGCCCGGAAGCCUGCCUGAGGCCGUAACUGUUGCCACCACCGAAAGGUGCACCAGGCCAGCCGCCAGCUGGUAGAUUCCAACCGGCAAGCUUCCACGGCAAUAUCUACCGGCUACGGUGUUUCGGUGACAAGCGCACCUCACGUUUGACUCCUUGUUUCCUUCAGAAGAAAAAAAGGCUAUCAAAAUGCCAGAAAACGUAGCGUUGGACCUUGCAACGAGCUAGUCACCAAGUAAACAAUGACAAAAACUCCUGGUUUGAAGCUGAAAUCUUGGUACAGCACUUCAGCUCGCUUUUUCAGUACAGUACUCUCGGGCACUGUUGACAAAAAGAGAAGAUACGGCCGGAGCCCUAAUCUGAUAAUCCUAUCCUGCUCACAAACUCGUAGCUAGGACGGAUAGACAUCAUGCAAUUCACCAAACAUUUUGAAAGGAGCGUGUGCUCGGAAAGGAAACAGACAACAGUAGAGUGGUAGUGUGGUACGAGCCGGAAGCAGAUGGAUUUGGCCCUUCCGGGACGUCACGUUCCUCAGCCCCAGAAGCGGCUCCGGGACAAAGGAGCUUUGCCACUGCCCGCCUGAGAAGGGAUCAGCUCCUCAGCGGGACGCGACGAGAGGCCCUCUUUGUAGCCAUCGAUCGCACUCCGGGGUUCGCGCUCGGCACGGACCACGCCGCCGCAGAUCCGCCCAUGGCUUCGUGUCCCCUUCGCUUCUCUUCCAGUCUUCACCGACGCCCCGGACGGGGAGCCGAGUCAGCAUACGCCAAGUCGCCAACAGCCGCCGUCGUGGCAAUGGCAACGCCAAAUCGACAUGCUGGCAGGCGCAUGUGAAUGUGAACGAUGUGGCAGCGCCAGCAGCCCACUAGGCUGAUCAUCAGUCACUGAUAGGUGACGGGCUAAUCAGGAGAAAUGGGGCGAGUGUUCGUACUCCCUGUGACCAUACCGGCCAAAAGAGAUGAGGAGAGCCGUCGCCUGCACACAGCACACACAGUGGGACAGUGGUUCACCUCCGACGACCCGUGCUCCGGGCUCCGGCGCCAAGCACAAGAUCGAGCAGAACGCGCUGCUACGCGCUCCCCUGCAGCUAGCACGAACAGUGGGUCCGCUUCCGGGCAGGCUAGCUGCCUCCUGCCGGCCCCAAGCCCAUGAUUUCGCGGGCGGCGACGGGGAGGACGAUGUGCAGCCAGCGAACAUCGUUCGGCGCGCACGCUGCUUGCUCCUGUGGAAUCAGCCGGCGUGGCGUGUGUAGUGGCGCUUGAUGCUGGGUGAGCAACAGGGCCCAGGUGUGGCGCGUGCGUGCAUGGGGACAUGUGUACUUGCGUGUACCGAAAAGGAGGUCCACUACUAGCCGUAUUCUGGCUUCUGCGUCGUGGCAAGGCCGGUCGAUGGACGGACGGAAGGACGGGCACUCGGCGUCGCCACCUGACGUGAGGGCGAAGCGAGUUGCUGCGCAAUAGCCAGCAGCAUGAACUGGGUCCGUGUUUGGGAUAAAAAAACUAAGCACCCUCGAACGCCGUUCCCAGCAUGUGAAAUCUUUUGACCUCGCAAGUUGCACACAGGCAACAAGAAGAACGAAACCCUUUAACCUCGCAAGUUAAAAAAAAA
rnacentral:lncRNA from 1 species